rnacentral:lncRNA from 1 species
ACUGUGUCCAAUGCGGAGAGUGUAGGCCAUCGUGACUUUGAUGGAGAAGAAUUUUGGAAUUCUGCAAAGUGGAGGAUCUACCAGUGUUUGAUGCAUCUCAAGCAUGUUGAGAUUGUUGAUCACGGUAGCAAUUCGCUGGCAUGGGAACCUGUUCUUUCCCUGCUGAAGUUUCUCCUCCAGAAUGCACUCUGGUUGGACAAAAUAGUGAUCGAUAGUACCAAUUCCAAAUCGUCCCAGGCAGUUGAUCCAUGGGGCCUGCUUGAUGUGGCCAGGAUUCUUCUAUCGCUCCCGAAGCGUUCCCCAAGUGCAAAUGUCAUUCUAAGGUAUCCUUCCCAAGGAAGUUCGUCUAAACAUGUGCGUAAAUCCUGAUUAUCUCAUCGACACCAAUGAUGUCUUUUCCUCUGUUUUGUACCUUUACAUUUAUAGGAGAUGUGAUUGAAUGCAACUCCCGGGGCAGAAAUUUGAAAUAAAACUUCCCCUUUCUGUAUGUUUCAACUGGAAACUUUUAGCUCAGCUUAAUAUUGUUUCAGAAGUUACAAUGCAUGUCUUUCUCAGAAUGCAGCUAAUGAGGUUGAUUACCUAAGUGAAUAGCACAGGUUCACAAGCACUUAACUCUUGUCUUGCACCAACAUCCCAAAAGUUUUACAAAGCGCAGCAUCAUCCUUUGAAAUACGCUCUCUUUGUGGACUGAACUAGAGGAAUCCACAUUCUCACUCAAUGAUUUAUGGAUGUGCGAGAGUUGGAUUAUAGUUGUGAGAUUUAUAUGUCAUAAAAGAACAAGUUUGUUGGUAAAAGGUUGUGAUUGAGUUACUAACAUUAGUUUGACCAAACAAAUUACUAAUUACUCUUUGAUUAUUUAUGAAUUUUCAACUUCUGUAACAAUUUACCAAAAUCUAUAUACAUAAUUUGCAGUUUUAGAGUUAUAUCUCCACUCUUGUAUCAAGUUACCAAUUCUAAUUUGAAAGAUUUACCAACCAUCCCCAUUUGAGAUACCAAAUCUUAUUGGAUUGACUGAAAAAUAUUUUUGUGAUUGUUUUCAAAUUAUUAACUUUUAAUUUCGUAACUUUUAUACGAUUGUUUACCUUUGCUUUAUGUUACCAACUUUUUUCUUCGUAACCUUUAUUUGAUUGUUUCCAAAUCACCCUUUUUUUUUUUUAUAAUUUUCAAUACAUGCCAAUCUUUGAAGGCGAAAGUUUUUAUCGAAUUAUCAAUCUUCAUUUAAGCGAGUCACCAAUUUUUCUCCAGUAAGUUAGCAAUUAGUUGAAGGUUAUUAAUUUUUACUUGUUUGACUUAUCUAAGUUUAUUUGAUUGUCUUGAAAAUAAACAAGUACUUAUUUGAUUGUUUCUGAUUUAUUUCCUAGUUAGUAACUGAUCUGUUUACGUAACUUACUAACGUUUUAAAUUGAACAUCUCUUAUAUCAAAUAGCCAACCUUAAUUUGAGUGGUUUAAGAGAAUGUUUCGAUUAACAAUACUAGAUUUAGGUUGUCAAUUCUUGGUUGAAUAACCUAUCGACAUUUAUCAUAAAGUUCCGACAAAUAGAAAAGGGGUAAAAAAAGGGCUUAAAAGGAGGCUCAUUAUCCAGCAACAUAUGUGAGAGGCCACCCCACGACAUUCACAUACCAAUUCCUGCUUUCCCUAAGAAAGGAAAAUUGAACCCCUCCUUGUUGCACAAAUAAACAGAUUGAUCUCGCCAUCCGGUUACGUUAAGGCGUCCCCGCAUAACUGAACCAUACGGAGCUCGAAAUGUAUUGAAAAACUUUUGGAUUUCAGACGGAAAAUUGCCAGUGAAAGUUGGGGAAGUUCGAUCCGAACAUAAGCCAAGACUUGGAAAACUUAAAAUGAAGCGGUAUCAAAGCAUUUUGUCAAACCCAACUUAAUCGCACAUUGUCAAAAGUGGCACAAAAAGAGACGAGCAAUGUAAUUUCCAUACCUAUGUCGUGCAAAUCUAGGGGUGUACAGUGUGGCAUUUUUCCCAUAAAACUAGGGACUUCUCAAGGCACCUCUAAUGCUCCAUUAAGCCAAAGGCUUUGACAGGCCUUUGGAGAUGCAAUUGCAUCUUCUUAAAGCUCUCCAAAGAAUUUGCAGAAUGCCAUUUGCAAUUGUCCAAUGGAUUUUGGAGCCCCAAAGUUUCCUGAGAAAUCCGAACCAAAUGCAUCCUGUGUACUUGUGAUCUCUGACAGCCUUUUUGCAGCUGAAUCACAUCAUGAAAAUCCCAAAGAUCAUGAGGGUCGGUGGGUACUCGUCGAGGCGAUGUCCUUAAUUCAAUGUUAAUUAUCAUCUUCUCCAAUCCAAUUGCCUCCUGAAGAAGAAACUCAGCCAGAUCAAGCAAAAGUUUUGAUUUUCGUCGUCAAAUUCCCACUCUACAAAUUCAACCCUUUUAAGAUGAUUUGCCACACAAUAGAAUUCCUUCUGUGAGCGCCAGAAUUGCUUCUCAUCAAAGGGGCAAAGCUUUGAAAAAUCCCUGUUCUUGAACAGAAAACACACAUGGACAGUAAUUUUUUUUGGAGCUAAUUAAGAGAAAUUAUAAACAUAGCAGUGAUAUUAAGUACAAAAAGAAAAAUGUAAAACAAGCAAGCUUGUUUGAUCUGGUACGAUACAUCUUAAGUUCUCAUAGACCCAAAUGAAUCAAUGAUCACAUCCUUUGCUACUGAACAAUCGACGUUUUUCUUAAGAGAAGGCCAGUUGAUGAUAGCAUCCCCUGAAAGAUGACAUCCAGAUACUCACAAGCUCACCAGCGAUACGCAAUCGUUCAAGGUUCGAUGUAACUCAUGAGACACGCGUUCAGAGCCCAACGAAGCAUCUUCAGCGAUGAUGACAUUAGCAUCGAGAUGGAACUUCUCUAUCUUAGAAGCAGUGCAGAGACUCAGUGCCCUGUCGAUCUCGCUGAUGACAAUAGCAUCAAGUUGGAACCUCUCUAUCUUAGAAGCAUUGCAGAGUCUCACCGCUCUGUCGAUCGAAGGAACAACACACCAAGGGGAGAGAGAGAUCGAUGUAUGGAGUGGAGGUCCAAGUGAAACGCCAUUGCUUGGACAGCACGCUGGUCGUGACCACGUCUUUGAAGGGCAAGAAGGAGAAGAUGCGGUGGAUUAUGACGUCCCGCAAGCGGCUGACGUGAUCAACCUCCUUUGCCGCAGACGCCAUCUCCACGUUGAUGUUUAGAGAAAAUAAGACGAGCGUCUAUGGUGGCCCAACCCUAAUCAGGGUUGUAUGAUAUAUCUUUAUAGGAUCAUCAAAUGUAAAGAUAGAAACAUAAUUAUAGAAAUAUCUCACGAUAUAUAUAAAUUACACAUUAAUACUUCCCGCCACGAAUGGAUUUUGAGGACCUGGAGGGGUUUAAUAAGGUGUUGGUGGAUUGACAUAGAAGCCAAAUCAGAUCAUCGAAAUGCAGACAAAUCAGAUAUUGGAAAUUAUUGUCAUGAGAUUUUGAACAUUGGUCAUGGUAAAAUAAUGGGGAGAUUUUAAUUCUCUGUUAGUAUCUUUGUCAACCUUACUUGACACACCAACCGAUAAAACAUACACAAACAUGCACAUUAGAUACAUGAAAAAAAGAAAGUGAUUUGGAUUAUUUUAGUAAAUCGAUCCAAUUUAUGGUACUAUGAUAAAAUUAGAAGUAAUUUUAAAUCUUUGAGAAACUUUGUGACGAGUGUAUGAUAUUUUAAGUGAUGGGGGUGACUUGUGUUAUGUGCGUAUUAAAGGGCUAUCUUCAAAUUAUCUUUUUGUCAAUUAUUUAGUAUAUACUUUUGCUAUUCGUCUUGCAGUGGGCAAGUAUAUUAUAAUCUUGGGCCGAAAUAUGAAAUUGAAAAACGCUUUUAAUGUCCUAUGUAGUAUAGGGAGAUUGAAGAUUCAUUUGUUUAAUCGAAAGUUUUAACUCCAAGGUAGUUAGCAUUAUUACACUCAAUCAAAACAAUCUUAGUUAGAUUCUAUGCCUCCUCCAAGAUCAAGCAAAAACCAAUAAAAAGGAAAACGGCACGUCCUUUUUUUUUUAUAAAUAAAUUAUUAAAAUUGUAAAGGAUACUGUAUAGUCAUUAUUCGUAUCCAAAUUGAUUAAUAUUGGUAAUUUGAGGGUAAAAAUACUCAAUAUAGAGUGCAGAAGCAUCUACAACUUUUAUUUAUAUGCGUGUUAGAAUAAUUUAUGUACAGCACUUUGUUUCUUUGAUACAAAAAUUGAAUAUAUGAUUGCUUUCUUUCACACAUUUUCUAUUUCCUCCACCAUAACAUUACUAAUUAAGAAUCGUAAUGAUUAAAUUUGUAUUAUUUGUUAAUGGAAAGAAGUUAUUGACAACAUAUGAAGAAACUUGUACAAAUAUACAUAUGGAAACAAAGCAGUGUUGCAAAUUUUGAAUUAUCUUUGUAAAGUUUUUUAUAAAAUAGACAAAAUUAACCGAUUUGGGAUUUGGGAGGGGGGACGCUUCAUAUUGGUAUCUGCUGCGAUGGAAGUGGGUUGCUGUGUUCUACUGUUCUUUAUUUUGUUGAGUAACAUUGAAAGGUGCAUGAUCUAUUUCAAUGCCUGUACCUUUCGCAAAUUAACCGAUUCGUUCUGACGUUUCAUUCUUCUUUUCUUUUGUGGUGAUUGAACCUUCAGUCCUCUUACCUGGAGAAAGCAUGCUAAGUAAAGCUGAUAUCGCAUAGCACGCUUGCGUGGCAUCAUCAAUGAAUUGAAUAUACUUAUUUAGUUUACUUUCGAAGGUCAUGAAGGAAAAAUUACAAAAAAAUCUUAAAUCUAUAGAACUUCUAUCAAUUCUGUAAUAAAUAUUUUAAAAUGAACAAUUUAGUCAUUGAAUUUUUUAAAAUUCGUCAAUUGUUGGCAUUGAUGUCGCCCGUCCUACAUGGCAUAACCUGCAUUCAUGUGAGCAAAUAUUUUAAUGCUUUUUUUUAAUUUUAUUUUUUUUAUCAUUAUUUUAUAAUAUUUUUCUUUUCUUUUCAUUUUCCUUCUUCCUCUACCAAUCACUAGGCCUCGGCGAUGGCUGGUAACCGGGCACAAAUAAUGACUGGCGAGGAUUGCCCUUGUUGGUUUCAAGCUAGGUCGCCCUCGCUUGGAUCUAGAUGGGGGCUGCACAGAGGUGAACCGGAUUCUCCUAUCACACCCAAAAGUGUUCUCCAAGCACGAAAGUCAUUUUUAGGUGUCCGUCCCAAGGAUGUUCGUCUAAACAUGUGCAUAAAUACUGAUUUUUUCGUCAACACAGAUGACUUUUCCUCUGUUAAGUACCCCUCAGCUCAACAUCCACAGGAGAUGUGAUUAAAUGCAUUAGAAAUAUUUAGGCAUCUCCCAUAGAUACUUAGGAUAUUUUUUAUGAUUUUCUAUAUCUAUUUUGAUGUCAAAAUUAUAGAUUCAAGGGAAAAUUCCAAAAAGGGCCCAAGUGUCCUCAUUUUCUUACAUAAGAGUUUAGAGUGAACCUUAUUUCAAAUAAGGGUCUGAAGUAGUUAUACUUGUUUCAAAUAAGAACAUAAUCAAUGACAUUUUUGUCAUUUUUUUCUUUUCUCUUUCCUUUUUCUUUUCUUUCCUUUUUUCUAGUUUUUCUUCCUUCUUCACCGAUGGCUAAUUGGCCAUUGGCAAUGCCUACAAAGGGCUAGGUGAGGGUUGCCCUGGGGGAGAGGUCGCCCCUUGUGGGUGUCAAUGAGGUCGACUCUCUCCGACCCUAGGCCACGGCUUGACACCCAUUGCCAGUAGUAGUCGAGCCCUCACUAGCUCCUAUCAACGAUGGGUGUCGAGCCUUCGCUGGCCCUAGGCGAGGGCUUGCAAGCCGACCCUUGCUAGAUUUGGCAAGGGUGGCCUUGCCCGUAGUCGGUGAAGGCUGACUUCAUUAACGGCCACGAGGGUGGCCCUCGCUGGAUCAAGGGAAGGCGGCCCUCACCCGUUGGCAUUGCUGGGGGCGGCUAGCCACCGGCGAAAAAGGGAGAAGGAAUAAAGAAAAAGGAAUGAAAGAAGAAAAAAAAGGAAAAUGAUGAAAAUGUCCUUACCAAGCUCUUAUUUGAAACAAGUACAAUUACUUCAUCCCUUAUUUGAAACAAAAUCCAUUUUGGGCUCUUAUUUUAAAAAAAUGAAAGUAUUUCGAACCCUUUGAUGCUCCAAUUUACUUACAAAUUUCAAACUCACGACUGAAAAGAAUAGGGUCGAGGAGGUCGGGACCCGACCCCAGACCAAGAACGACAACACAAGGUGGCCAUGUCAGUAACGGCCAAUCUUCUUCAUCUUCUCUCCAUCCUCCUCCUCCUCUCGCUUUGCUCUGUACAUCAAGUCAUCGCCCACCUCGUAUGCUCUUUUUUUUUUUUUUUGGUAAGGACCUCGUAUGCUCUUUUUAUGCAUUAAACUCCAAAAACUUAGGCACUUACCAAACAGUGCCUAAUUAUGAUUUUUGGUUCCCAGAAUCAGUUUGGGAAUGGAAUUGUGUUUGGUAAAAUUUUUGUUCCCGGGAACAGUUUUGGACAAGGAUUAUAAAAAAAAAUGUGAUUCUCGAUCUAGAAAUUAAAAUAGUGAAAGUCUUCUUCUUCCCUUCCACUAUCCCGUGAUUGCCGUCCACCACCGCUUGCUACCGUCCGUCGCCGCCCGUCGCCGGUCAUUGUCCACCGAUUCAACAAGCUCACCGGCGGCAAGCUCAGCCAUCGGCGAGGCUGAGCCUCGUUGGGAGCUAGGCGAGCCUCACCGCGGCUGGACGAGGCCCAUCCAGCCCUAGCGAGGCUCACCCAGCCCCGGUGAGGCUCGCUUGUCCACCGGCGAGGUCGAGCCUCGCGACACCCAGCCUUGCCGGUGGCCAGGUGGGCCUCGCUCAGCCCUGGUGAGGCGCGCCUGGCCACUAGCGGGUGGCUAGGCAGGCCUCGCCCAGCCUUGGUGAGGUCGGCCUAGCCAUNNNNNNNNNNNNNNNNNNNNNNNNNNNNNNNNNNNNNNNNNNNNNNNNNNNNNNNNNNNNNNNNNNNNNNNNNNNNNNNNNNNNNNNNNNNNNNNNNNNNCAUGGAGUCAGGCUUUGGAAGCACAUUAGGCAAGGAUGGGAUGCUUUUGAAAACAGACUUUCCAUUGAAGUGGGAAAUGGUAGGCAUACUAUGUUGCGGGGUGACAUGUGGUGUGGACACACUGCUUUCAAAGACUUAUUCCCAGAUGUGUGUGCACCAGAAACAAGAGAGCUAGGAUGGCUGAUUGUUGGAAGACUGACAACAGGGAAACGGUGUGGUAAAUUAAUAUCUUACAUGGGGCUCAAGAUUAGAAGCUCAAAGCUUUCUUGAAUAUUUUUGAGUUAUUGUAUCGAGCAAUGUUAGAUGUGAGGACGAUAGGCUAUGGAGGAAUGUUGUCCCUCUGGAACUUUUUCUGUCAAAGGCUACUAUUCCGAUCUCUGUUCUACUCAGAUGCAAUUACAACAGAGCACACUUUUCCCGUGGAAAUCUAUUGGGAAAGUCGAGUUUCAAUUGAAGGAUUCUUUUUUUGCUUGGCAAGCUACUUGGGGAUGUAUUCUUACUUCGGAUAAUCUUUAGAAGCGAGGAAAAUACUGGCUAAUAGGCAUACUAUUUUAUUUUUGUGCAAGACUAAAGAAGAGAGCAUGAAUCAUUAAGUUUUACAAUGUUGCUGGACCAGAAAGAUUUGGGCCACAGUUUUUGCAAUUUUAGGAGUAAAUUGGUUGACCUUAGGCACAGUAUGACACAAACUCAGGGCUUGGAGAGGGACUUUCAGUUCGUGUGUCAUAAAGAAAAUAUUACUAAGAUGAUUCCUCUCCUUGUUUUUUUAGCUCAUUUGGAGAAAAAGGAAUAAAAGAGCAUUUCAAGGAGUUGAAUCCUCAUGGGAUUUUUUAAGGGAUAAUUGCUUGUACACUCUCACUUUUGGUGUAGCGGGAAAGUCCAAUGUCACACAUAGUUUGGUGAAAAUGCUGGAAAGUCUUUGUGCAUUAUACUGUAUAUGGGUGUCUUCUGUUUUUGGUCAUUUUGUUAGGGGUGGUACCCCCUUGGUACUUCUUAAUGAAAUCUUAUUUAUCAUUGACGAGAAAAUGAUUGGCCAGAAAUAAUUGCAGCUGAAGUGCAAAUCUCUUUUGAUAUGCAGAAUGGAGACUUUGAAGAGACAUAUUCCUGUUUCCGGUCCAGAGGAUUUGCGCAAAAUCAAUAGAAUUGCCGUGAAGUUCGAGGGAAAUUUUUAUGCUUCUGCCACAAGCCGGGUAUUAUAUGAUGUCCAUGUCCACUGUGCGCAUUUCAUUCUCUUUGAUCUUAUCUUUGAUAGCAUUUUAUGAGGUUGCCCGGGAGGUAGUGCUUACUUAUUCCGUAUCAAGUUUCCAUGUGGAUAGAGGAUGCAUAAACAAACCGGAUAGGCUUGUGCUUAAAAGAAUUUGAAAAGCAUUCUUUAAUUGAGAAUUCCUAUGAUGCGUGCAUUUAUGUAGUAACUGGAACUGUUUAAAUAUUUAAAAUUAGCUUUGCACCAGUGAUAUCAGGUUUGCUCAGUGCUGUGAUAUUGUACGGAGUUUUAAGUUGUAGUUUCAAAUUGAUAUCUACUUUAUUUUCUUUCUAAUUUGAAUUUAAUUAGUUGGUCUAUUAUGAAGUGAUUUAGUGAUUUCUGCUUCCUUUCCCUUUUAGUCUCAUCAUUCGAGGGAGUUAUCUUCGAAGAUGUAAAAUAUGGAUUAGAGUCUCAGAGUACCUUACUUAAGGCGCCAUCUAAUUUUGCGGGGGAUAGCAGUGAGAACUUGGGUAUGAUUUAAGUUCCUGUUAUUUGAUACCAUUGAUAUAGGAAUUGGAAUUUCUGUUUUGUUAUCCCCUUGUAUAUUUACAUAUAUGUAUAUUUCAUCUUACACAAAUUUUCAUUCAUGUGCUUGCACAAUUUUUUUUUUUUUUUGACUCAUUGUUUUGAGGGACUUAAGUCCUAAAAAUUGUUAUGAUAUAGCAUUUGAGUCCUAAAACUUUCAUUGUGUGCGCUUAAGUCCUAAAAUUUGUGAUAGUCAUCCACUUUAGCUCUUCCAUUAGCUCUUUUAUGUUUCAGUGGACGGAAAAUCUACGUGGCUUUUUUAUUUAUUAAUGGCCACAUAGUAUUAAAAGAUUAUAAAAAAAGUCGUGGCAUCUUCCUUCCACUUAAAAUUGAUAGAAUUAAUGGAAUGAAUCAAGUGUAUUCAAUUGCAAGUAUUGUGACUUGAAUGCAUGAAAUUAAAGUUUUAGGACUUAAGCACAUUAGCAUAACAAAUUCUAGGACUGGUCCUCGAAUUGUCCUUUUUUUGGGCUUUACAUGGUACACAUUUAUAUACCCACGACAUGCCAUGCUGCUUAUUUAUAGGGUAAAUGCCCCACUGGCACAUGGAACUUUUGGUGGAUUUUGGUUUUAGUACCCCGAAGUUAAUUUCUUUUUGCCAUUCUUGCUAAUUUGUAACCUCAAAACACAUUUAUACCAUGGGCAGUGGCACAUUGGAAUUGCUUUGUUUCAUUUGUAACCUAUUGAUUUAAGAACCAUAAGAUCUUGGCUGUUUGCUUCAUAGAAUCAGAUAUGCAUUUGUGAAGAAGAAGUUCAACCAGAAAGGGCCAAACACUUGCAUAUUCUGUAACUUCCUCCCACUUAUUUGCCUCAAAAUUUCUGAGUCUCUCUUACGGCGUCAAAAGAUGCAUGCCUGUAAAAGAUAAUUCACAUUACUCUUUUUAUUUUUUUUUAUUUUUUUUUUAUUUUUUUGUUUUCUUUAAGAUUUCAGGACCAAUUCAAGUACAUGAACUUCACAGAGAUUUUUAUUUAGUACUUGCUGAAAAGAAGUGAGUGAGUGAUUGUUUGUCUGUUUUUGCAUAUCCAUUAUCCAUCUAGUGUCACUUGCUCAGAAAGCUUCAAGUUAUAGUAAUUAAAGGUCGUCCUCAGGGUGCAUCUAUCCCUCAUUCCUUUAAUCUUUUUUGCUAUUUGCAUUUGCUGCUGCUAUGCAUGUAUUGAUCCAGCUUCUUGAUGCGCUAACAUAACUUGUAUAUAUUGUAUGUCAUCUCAAGUUAUGCAUCCAAAAAAUCAAGGCCGAAGCCAACCAAUUCCUAAUUCCUUAGCUGUGGAUCAGCCUCAGGCAAAUCAACAGUGGUUAGUUUGGAAAGCUCAGAAUAAUUGUUCCUUCUGGAGUUCAGGCUUCAGCCUGGUUUGGCCUGCCCAUUAAUCAAAUAAGUUGAGCCUCCACUCCUCUAAUCAAAUCUCUCCCUCUGUCUCUUCCUCAUUUUCUCUCCCGCUUGUUCCUCUUCUGCAAUUUCUCUGCAAAUUCUCAUACUCCAGUGGACUUUGUUGCUCUCUCGCUCUUCCAUUCUUUGUAACGCCUCCAUUCCCUAAGUAGCUCAGGUUUUUGAUCUCAAUUCCUUCACAUGCUAUCUCUCAAUUUGCUUUUCAUUUUUCUUUUUUUCUUUUCUUGAAGAAAAGCCAGGAGACUUUUUAGGGUUUAGUUACUUUCCUCAUGUGCUGAUAAGAGUUUCUCUAGUCUUUUUGUCACAUUUCUUGCCAACCUUACUCUUCAUCAUCAUCAGCAGGCAAACGUGCUCGGUUACCUCCUUCCAAUCAAGAUGAAAGGCAAAACUCAGUGGAUUACAUCAGCGAAUUGCCUGACGCCAUAAUCCUUCAUAUCUUCUCCUUCAUGACCACAAAAGAUGCCAUCAAAACCAGCGUCUUGUCCAAGCGAUGGCGUUCUACUUGGACCUCUAAUCAGUAUAUGAGUUUCUCUUUGCCCCCCGACAGUAGCCGGAAAUGCAAGAGCUUCAUCACUUUCGUUGACUCAGUGCUGUCACGCUGCACUGCAAUUAAGGCAAAAAGAUUCCUCUUUGAUGCUCCUUGUUACGCCUUGAUACGAUCAAGUCUUGAUAGGUGGCUCCAGUUUGCCAUCGAGCACGGCAUCGAAGAGGUAUCAGUAAGUCUGCAUUACUGGCACCACAAGGUUUAUGUGUUGCCGCGAAUCUUGUUCUGCUGCACCACGCUGGUGAGUUUGCGUGUGUCCCAAUGCUGUUUUUCAGUGUUCGGCACUGUGAAUUGGUGUUCAUUGAAGACAUUGCGCAUCGAUUAUGCGAAGUUGAACGAUGAUGGGAUGAUGAGAGUUUUGAGUGGCAGCCCUGUUCUGGAGUUCCUUGAGUUGAAAAGUUGCGAGGGCGUCAAGCACAUCAUGGUUGAAUCAAAAAGUUUUAGAGAGUUGGCGAUUGAUUCUCAUAAGUUUUGUGGUCAAGUUUCAAUGUUGAAAAUUUCGGCCCCACAUCUUCUCAAAUUGCGUCUAUUGGGCAAUUCUCGAGGGGGAGAGUUUAGACUAGAUGAAGUCUCUUCCUUGAUUGAGGCGGAGUUAAAUUUCAACAUGGAAAUUUUUGCACUCGAUAAGGUUAAGGCUCAUGCGGAUCUUGUCAAGGGGCUUCUCAACAGGCUGCAUCAUGUCACGAUAUUAGUGAUGGGAAGCUGGUGCCUUCAGGUGUGAACCGAUUCUUUAGCCCUAUUAUUCCUGGUUCAAGUUGCGGACAUGCAUUACACAUUCUGCCAUUUGCUUAGGAUAAAUCGUGAGAUUGUUUAUUGGUGCUUGAUGGUACCAUGCUCAUAAAUUGUUAUUUCAGAGAAACUUUUUCACCUUAUCAACGGGAUGUUUGCUGGAUGAGGCUUUUUUCCUUUUUAUAAAAGAACUUUACACACCUAAGCUGAUAUCACCUUUAUGUGUCCAGCAUUAUAUUGACUUUGAUAAGACUAAAAUCUGAUAUCCUUGUUUGCUCAUUCGUUUGGUCUGUUGGCUAUUGUGAGAGGUUUUUGGAAUUGCAAGCAUGUCUUACGUUUAAUCUUCUUUAGUGCUUAAAGAAAGUAAAGUGAUCAGUUUCUGCUUCUUCCACCACGAUGAUGUGCUUAGGCGCUGUCGCUAAUGGAGGCGAGAAAUAUGUUUCUUCCAUCCUUAAAAUGUCGGCAUCUGAUAUUACUCGGCGCAGCAGGCCAUAAGGGAGUUCCCGAGGCUAUAGCGAAAAUACUCGAAAGUACGCGGCUCUUGGAGAAGUUAUCCUUACAAACGACUUGCACACCCGAUUCUGCGGUACACAACUGCUAGAACCCUCUCAGUUCACUGGGUUAAUUUAACACCAGAUUUGCUUGAACAUAUACAGAUUGUGAAUUUUAGCCUUGGGCUGCAUAUAAACCUGUCAUUUCUUUUCUUCUCGUGAUUGAAAAUCAUUUUUGUACCUGUCUAUUUAAUUGACAUUUUGGAUUCUCAAUAGAUUUAUAUCUCUCUUGGUGUAGUAAAUGCUAUAUUAUACUCUCAAAGCUCGAUGUUUGUCUCAUCUAGUUCCAAAUGUGUAUCUACUCCUUAGUCAUGAUGUUGUACAUCUGCAGAUUGAGUUGAAUACAGACAGUGUAGGCCGUCGUGUCUUUGCUGGAGAAGAAUUUUGGAAUUUUGUAAAGUGGAGGAUCUAUCAGUGUUUGAUGCAUCUCAGGCAUGUUGAGAUUGUUGAUGGCGGUGCCAGUCUGCUGGCAUGGGAACCUGUUCUUUCCCUGCUCAAGUUUCUCCUCCAGAAUGCACUUUUGCUGGACAAAAUAGUGAUCGACAGUACCAAUUCCAAAUCAUCCCAAGCAUUUGAACCGUCACCGCUGCUUGAAGUGGCCCGGAUUCUUCUGUCGCACCCAAAGUGUUCUCCAAGCGCCAAGGUCAUUCUAAGAUAUCCUUUCCAAGGAUGUCCGUCUGUGUAAAUCCUGAUCAUUUCGUCAACACCGGUGACUUCUUUUUCUCCUUUUUGUACCCCUGAAUUUUAGCUUGACAUUUUCAGGAGAUGUAAUUGUAUGUACCUGUCGCAAAUUAACCGAUUCGUUCUGACAUGUCGUUCUUCUUUUCUUUUUGUGGUGGUAGAACUUUCAGUCCUCUUACUGGGAGAAAGCAUGCUAUAUAAAGCUGAUAUUGCAUAGCAUGCUUGCGUGGUGUCAUCAAUGAGUUGAAUAUCCUUAUUUAGUUUACUUUCGAAGAUAAUGAAGGGAAAAUUACCAAAAAUGUUCUAACUCUGUAGAAUUUGUGUCAAUUUAGUAAUAAACAUUUUAAUUUGGCGUACUUGCUACUGUUUGGCAGUUUUCUUUGCCGUGUUUGUGUGUCUUGCUGGUUGGCUGGUUUUGCUGUUGUUUUGGCAGUCCUUUUCCAUCCCUGCACCAUUCCACUCGCUAUGACUCCUUGUCAUUUUGAGUGUAACUUUUGGUGCCACGAUCGCCUUUUGUAUAGUUUGAUUAAAGCUCAAUAUAUUUUUUACUUUAAAAAAAAACAUUUUAAGUUGGCCAAACUUUUAAAAAAAUUGUUAAUAUAGUCCAUCUGAUCAAUUUUGACGAGAAAUUAUUGGAAUUGAUGUUGCCCGUUGUAUGUAGUAUGGNNNNNNNNNNNNNNNNNNNNNNNNNNNNNNNNNNNNNNNNNNNNNNNNNNNNNNNNNNNNNNNNNNNNNNNNNNNNNNNNNNNNNNNNNNNNNNNNNNNNUUUCAGAAUCAAAAAUUUGAAUAGUUACUAAAUGCGUUUUUUAUCCAAAAUCAGUUUUCGAAAAUAGAAUAAAUAGUAAUAAAAAGCGACCCACUUUAUGGAUUCUCUUGCCCAAUCGCCUCACCUUGCGUCUCCCCCUCUCUCUCCCUCCUCCCAUCGCAUUUCGGCGGAAAGUUAUCCCUUUUCAUCAAAGAGAUGAGACCGACGCACCCUUCUUUUUGGGUUCUCGAGGGGGGGAGGACUUUUGGGUAUGGGUUCUGAAGCCGCGCGUUGGUUGUGCUGGGGUGGGUGGGUGUGUGUGCUGGUCGUGCCAGGUGGUGGGGGAGGAGGCGGGGGCGCUGGAGGUGCGCUUGACGGGGGCGACUGGAGGGCUCAUCUGCCGCCCAACUCACGGGAGAGGAUCGUCAACAAGAUGUGAGUGCCCGAUUCCCAAGGCUUUAGCAAAUAUGGUCAUGUUAUUAGGUCGAGGCACGACAUGAAUUCUGAGGUAGCUUUCGCUGUAAUGUUUUCUCGUUGGAUAGUUUAGUCUUGAUUAAUUUUCAAUAGGGGAUUGAAAGGGUAUGUAGGCCGGAUGCUCUUGUUACAUUGGUGAUUAUAUAGCAUAAGAAGAUGGUUAUAUUUCUUUCUUGAUUGAAAUGGAUUGUCUUCUAUUACCAGGAGGGCUUACCAUAGUAUGUAGAUGAACAUAAUAGCAGAAGUAAUGCCACGUGGCUUUCUGGUAGGAGAACAGUUACUGGAAGAUGGCUGUCGUGCUCGUGACAAAAAUUUACUUAUCGGAGCCUAAGGAUUUUUAGGCAUCUCAUUGCUUGUAGGUUGCGUUAUUUUUUAUUAAUCUCAAAUAUAUUUAGUUUAUACAAGCUCUUACUGGAAGAGAUACAUGGACGAUCAUCUGAUUUUUCCUUCUCCAAUUCAAUAUUGUCAAUAAAGUCGUAAUAGGUGUUGAAGGCCCAAAGGUUUUCCACAGGAAACCUUUUCUUCACUUACCGUGAGUUGCAAUGGUUAAUCUCUCACCUGUGCCACCUGUAAUAGAAGUAGAUGCUAUUAAUGUGUGUGGGUUUAGGUGUCACCAAAGUUUUAUAGGUUUGUGAAUUCUUAUGUGUGUUAUUUUGGAUCAUUUCCUAGUUGCUUUCUUAUCUGGUAGAAAGCUAUCCAUAAUUUGUUGAACGAUAUGCAAAUUCCACUGGAUCUUUUUAUCUGUUGUCCACUGGAUUUUUUUGACUAUAUUACCUCCUUAACCUCCAUUGAGCGCCAUGAACUCUGGUGAGCCUUUGAUGAAGGCUCCAUUGGCUAUGUAGGCUCUUUUCCUCUUCUUUUCUCUGCUGUUUGCUUUCUCUGAGACGUUGAAGACUCUUUCCCUCUUUAUCUUCUUUGCCGUGUAAUUGNNNNNNNNNNNNNNNNNNNNNNNNNNNNNNNNNNNNNNNNNNNNNNNNNNNNNNNNNNNNNNNNNNNNNNNNNNNNNNNNNNNNNNNNNNNNNNNNNNNNNNNNNNNNNNNNNNNNNNNNNNNNNNNNNNNNNNNNNNNNNNNNNNNNNNNNNNNNNNNNNNNNNNNNNNNNNNNNNNNNNNNNNNNNNNNNNNNNNNNNNNNNNNNNNNNNNNNNNNNNNNNNNNNNNNNNNNNNNNNNNNNNNNNNNNNNNNNNNNNNNNNNNNNNNNNNNNNNNNNNNNNNNNNNNNNNNNNNNNNNNNNNNNNNNNNNNNNNNNNNNNNNNNNNNNNNNNNNNNNNNNNNNNNNNNNNNNNNNNNNNNNNNNNNNNNNNNNNNNNNNNNNNNNNNNNNNNNNNNNNNNNNNNNNNNNNNNNNNNNNNNNNNNNNNNNNNNNNNNNNNNNNNNNNNNNNNNNNNNNNNNNNNNNNNNNNNNNNNNNNNNNNNNNNNNNNNNNNNNNNNNNNNNNNNNNNNNNNNNNNNNNNNNNNNNNNNNNNNNNNNNNNNNNNNNNNNNNNNNNNNNNNNNNNNNNNNNNNNNNNNNNNNNNNNNNNNNNNNNNNNNNNNNNNNNNNNNNNNNNNNNNNNNNNNNNNNNNNNNNNNNNNNNNNNNNNNNNNNNNNNNNNNNNNNNNNNNNNNNNNNNNNNNNNNNNNNNNNNNNNNNNNNNNNNNNNNNNNNNNNNNNNNNNNNNNNNNNNNNNNNNNNNNNNNNNNNNNNNNNNNNNNNNNNNNNNNNNNNNNNNNNNNNNNNNNNNNNNNNNNNNNNNNNNNNNNNNNNNNNNNNNNNNNNNNNNNNNNNNNNNNNNNNNNNNNNNNNNNNNNNNNNNNNNNNNNNNNNNNNNNNNNNNNNNNNNNNNNNNNNNNNNNNNNNNNNNNNNNNNNNNNNNNNNNNNNNNNNNNNNNNNNNNNNNNNNNNNNNNNNNNNNNNNNNNNNNNNNNNNNNNNNNNNNNNNNNNNNNNNNNNNNNNNNNNNNNNNNNNNNNNNNNNNNNNNNNNNNNNNNNNNNNNNNNNNNNNNNNNNNNNNNNNNNNNNNNNNNNNNNNNNNNNNNNNNNNNNNNNNNNNNNNNNNNNNNNNNNNNNNNNNNNNNNNNNNNNNNNNNNNNNNNNNNNNNNNNNNNNNNNNNNNNNNNNNNNNNNNNNNNNNNNNNNNNNNNNNNNNNNNNNNNNNNNNNNNNNNNNNNNNNNNNNNNNNNNNNNNNNNNNNNNNNNNNNNNNNNNNNNNNNNNNNNNNNNNNNNNNNNNNNNNNNNNNNNNNNNNNNNNNNNNNNNNNNNNNNNNNNNNNNNNNNNNNNNNNNNNNNNNNNNNNNNNNNNNNNNNNNNNNNNNNNNNNNNNNNNNNNNNNNNNNNNNNNNNNNNNNNNNNNNNNNNNNNNNNNNNNNNNNNNNNNNNNNNNNNNNNNNNNNNNNNNNNNNNNNNNNNNNNNNNNNNNNNNNNNNNNNNNNNNNNNNNNNNNNNNNNNNNNNNNNNNNNNNNNNNNNNNNNNNNNNNNNNNNNNNNNNNNNNNNNNNNNNNNNNNNNNNNNNNNNNNNNNNNNNNNNNNNNNNNNNNNNNNNNNNNNNNNNNNNNNNNNNNNNNNNNNNNNUCCUCUGCUGAUCAUUAGGCUUGACACUGGCUGACAGCGGGGCACAAGCGACUAGCAUGGGUCACCCCUCACUGGUCUCAAGCAACGUCGACCUUGCCUGGAUCUAUAUAGGUGCUGCUGGGAAGUGACCUGGAUUCUUCUAUAAAACCCAAAGUGUUCUCCAAGCGUGACGGUCAUUCUUAGGUAUCCGUUCCAAGGAUGCUCGUCUAAACUUGUGCAAAAAUACUGAUUUUUUCAUCAACCCCGGAGUUUUGGCUUAACAUCCACUGGAGAUGUGAUUAAAUGCGUUAGAAAUAUUUAGGUAUCUCCCAUAGAUACUUAGGAUAUUUUUUAUGAUUUUCCAUAUCUAUUUUGAUGUCAAAAUUUAUAGAAAUUCUAACUUGGUAUCAAAAGCAAGGCAGUGCUAUUCCUUUCACGGAAUGUGCAUCUACCCCCCAUUAGUCAAAAUUCCAUGCCAAGGGAAGAUACUUGAAAUAAAAACUCCCUUUCUGUUUGUUCAACUAGAAACUUUUAGCUCAGCUUAAUAUUAUUUCAUGAAGUUACAAUGCGUCAGUCUCGAAAAGCAGCUAGUAAGGUUGAUUACCUAAGUGAACAGCACAGGUUCACAAGUCCUCACUCUUGCCUUGUACCAACAUUCCAAAAGUUUUAUGAAGCGCAUCAUCCUUUGAAAUAUACUCUCUUUGUAUGCACUGAACUAGAAGAAUCCACAAUCUCACUCAAAGAUUCAUGGAAGUACAAGAGUUGGAUUAUGGUUGUAGGAUUUAUUUGUCAUAAAAGAACAAGUUUGUUGGUAAAAGGUAGUGAUUAAGUUACUAACAUUUUUCUACAAAAAAAAAAAAAUACUAAUUUUUAUUUUAUUAUUUCUGAAUUUUCAACUUCUGCAAUAAGUUAUCAAAAUUUAUUUGGCAGAAGAAUAACCCAAGUGCCAUAACUUGGCACGGAAGGACACUUAAGUGUCAUAACUUCAAAAUUGUACACUUGAAUGCCAGUUUUGAAGUUAAAUGAAACACUUAAGUGCCACUCUGGCGAAAAUCUGGUCAAAUGGCUGACGUGGCCAUUUUCAAACGAGUUUGGUCCAAGACAGCGUCGUUUUGCACGCUGACCUAGCGAGAAAAUGCAAAAACGACGCCGUUUUGUGUUUGACGUCUAAAUAAUAAUAUAAAAAUUAAUUGAAUUAGAUUUAAAAUUAAUUUUAUUUAAAAUAUUCUAAAAAUUUUAAAAAUUUUAAGAAAAAUUAAAAAAAAAAGAAAAAAAGAAAAAAGAAAAAAAAAGGGGGAGUUCGAAGGGGGUGGCUGAGGGCUAAGCCCUCGCCGCUGCCGCCUCCCUGCCGUCGCCGAGAAGGGCCGGCGAUGGAGGGGGGAGGGUCAGCCGAUGUCCCCGGCCCUUGGCCAAAGCUUGGUGACCUCAGCUAACGUCCCCGACCCCUGGCCAGAGCCUGGUGACCUCAGCCGAUGUUCCUGGCCCCUGGCCAGAGCUCGGUGACCUCGGCCGACGUUCUCGGCCCUUGGCCAGAGCCCGGUGACCUCGGUCGACCCUCCCCACUCAGUCGCCGGCCCUUCCAAGCGGUGACGGGGAGGUGGUGAGGGCUCACGAGUCUUCGCUGGAUUUGGGCAAGGGCCGCGACCCUCGCUCCAGAUCUGGGGGAGGGCUCGCGUGGGGCGAGGGUCGCGGGCCCUUGCCGCCUCCUCGCCACCGCCAGGAAGGCCAGCGAUGAAGUGGGGAGGGUCGGCCAAGGUCACCAGGCCCUGGCCAAGGGCUGGCGAGGCCGGUCGACCGGCGGCGAGGGCCCGUGAGCCCUUGCCCAGAUCUGGGGCAAGGAUCGUGGCCCUCGCCGCCGGUAGGCCGGGGGCCGGCGACCCCAGCCGACCCUCCCCCCUCCAUCGCCGGCCCUUCCCGGCGAUGGCGAGGAGGCGGCGGCGGCGAGGGCUCAGCUCUCAGCCGCCCCCUUCGACCUCCCCCUUUUUUUUUAUUUUUUUAAAAAUUUUCUUACUUUUUAGAAUAUUUUAAAUAAAAUUAAGUUUAAAUCUAAUUUAAUUAAUUUUUAUAUUAUUAUUUACAUGUCAGACACGAAAUGACGUCGUUUUUGCAUUUUCUCAUCACGUCAGCGUGUAAAACGACACCGUUUUGGACCAAACUCACCCGAAAAUUGCCACGUCAGCCAUUUGACUGGAUUUUCGCCAGAGUGGCACUUAAGUGUUUCAUUUAACUUCGAAACUUGCACUCAAGUGUACCAUUUUGAAUUUAUAGCACUUAAGUGUCCUCUCGUAUCAAGUUAUGGCACUUUAGGUAUCCCAAACUCAAAUUUAUUUGCAUAAUUUGCAGUUUUAGAGUUAUAUCUCCACUCUGGUAUUGAACUACUAAUUCUAAUUUAAAAGAUUUACCAAUCAUCACCAUUCGAGUUACCAAAUAAUUUGAAGAUACCAAAUCUUAUUGGAUUGACUUAUCAAUAUUUUUGUGGUUGUUUUCAAAUUAUUAACUUUUAAUUUAGUAGCUUGUUAUGUUUUAAAUUAACAAAUUUUUUACAUAAAAUUAUAAACCAUAAUUUCAGUAACUCACAAAAUUAACCCAAAUUUGAGUGACAUACAAACUUUUUUUUUGGUGAUUGAUUUCCAUUUAUAUUUGAGUAACUUAUUGAUAUUUACUUGGUUUACUUGGUUGUGCCAACAAAAGCGCAUUAUUUUUAUUCUUUAAAAAUUGCAAACAUUUAUUUGCGUAACUAAUUUAACAACGAUUUAGAGGUAAAAACUCUUAUAUCAAACUACUAACUUUGAUACCAAAUUAAUGGCCUUAAUUUAAAUCAUUAACUGACUUUAAUAUGAUUGCUUUACCUUCACUUUGUAUUAUCCACUUGUUUCUUCGUAACCUUUACUUCAUUGUUUCCAAAUUACCAAAUUUUAUCUCCAAUAGAUAGUAAGAUUUUCAAGCUAAAGUUUUUAUCAAAUUACCGAUCUUAAUUUAACUGACUUGCCAAUUGUUUUCUGAUAAGUUGCCAACUAGUUUAAGGUUAUUAACUUCUACCCGUUUGAUUUAUCUAAGUUUUUUCAAUUGUCCUCAUAAUAAAUAAGAAUGUAUUUGAUUGUUUCAAAAUUAUUUCAUAAUAAGUAACUUAUCUAUUUGCAUAACUUACUAAUGUUUUAAAUUUAACAACUCUUAUAUCAAAUUGCCAACCUUAAUUUGAGUGGUUUAAGAGGAUUUUCUCGAUUCUUUAUUACUAGAUUUAGGUUGUCAAUUCUUAUUUGAGUAACCUAUCAAUAUUUAUUAUGAUGUUCUGACAAAGAGAAAAAUGAAAAAAGAAGCACAUGAUUCCGACUCUUGUAAUAAGUUAUCAACUUUUAUAUGUAUAAACAAAAAAAAAUGAGUCCUACCUUGUGGUAUCCAUGAACCUAUAACUUCUUGGGAAGAGAUAGAUGUACAUGAUCAUCUCAAUGUUUUGCAAAUUUGAUCAUUUUAUUUAGGGGAUAGCUACAGGAUUAUUGUACGAAGGAGUUUGGUUGCGGUAUAAAUUUCUGCUUGCCCUAGCAAUUAGUAUUUCCUCGAAGCCUGGUUAAUAAGACUUAAUCUCACUGGCUAUCUUUGCAAAGCCUUGAUGUUAAUUAGCGUUAGAUGAGAGAAAGAGCACGCAUUUUGCGCAUUAAAAGAAUGUAAAAAACAAAUGAAAUGUGUCUAAUAGAAACAUAAUUAUAAAAUGAUGUCGUCAGUUUACAAAAAUAAUCUUAAAUUAUUCUAUGAUAAGAAAGAUUCAUAUUCUAAUUUAAAAAUAUUAAAGAUUGAAGAAAUUAUCUUGCUUUAAUCGUAUUUUACAUUUGGAUGGCGACUUGGACAUCAUUCGGUAUUGAGAGAUUGUGAUUUAUCUUUACAACCUACAUGGGUUUUCAUGGAAUUUACUUUUGUUUGGAAACGGCCUUUGAUUUGCUUUAUACUAUGCGGAGAUAACCAGAAAGAGCACACUCUUAUGCAUGUUGAAAAUGACAAAGGAAUUCAUAGAUUUUUCGGGGAGAAAGAGAGUUUUAAGAUGCAAAUUAAUUUAGCAGAGAAUAUAUGUCUUUAUUUUUGUUUUAUUCUAUCUUUUUUUUAUUGAUUAAAGAGAAUUUGUUGAAAUAAAAAAUUAUUUCAUUUAUAUUUGUAGACACUUUCUCUAAUUUAUCCAUUUUUCCAAUUUUAAACUCAAGAAAAAACGAAUUUCCAUAAAUUGUUGCUUUAUCCACGUUCUGACAUUCAAAUUAAACAUAAAAGUUAAGAGAUGAUAAAUAAAUAAGCUAAAAAGCUUACUAGUCAAAUUCGGGCCACAUGGCAAAAUAAUGUCAUGUGUCUUGCCAUGUGGCAAAUGUAGCUGAAAAAAUAUGUGUAACAUGACAAUAAAAAAAGCAAGAAUUUUCUCAGCUUUGACCUUAAUUAUAUAUAAUAAGAGAGGAUUCCACCUCUUAAUCAAUAUUACAAGAUUGUAAUGCACCAAAGGAUCUUAUGGCAUUUAAUGGUAAAAUUUUGAUAUCAAAAUCCUCAUUUGCAUUCUUUUUUUAUUAUAUAGAGAGAUUUGCAUACGUUAUUAUAUAAUAUAAACAAAGUUAGAAGUGUUUGGGCCCAUUACAUAUUAGUCGGUCUAGUUCAACUUUUGGAAUAUAUGCUUUGCAUUUUUAUGCUCUCAUUGGCUCGAUGCAUCUUUUCAAAUUGAAUAGAAAUUUGAAAGAUCUCCGUGUAGUAAAAUUAAAAAGAGAAAUCAUUUUGAUUUGAGGCAAAUCCCUUUUCGAUUUGCCUUAUAAAGUCAUCAUUUAACCCAAAUUUUUUGAAAUGAUUCAUGGGCCACCUCAUUUUUAGCCGGCCUAGCAUAAUGGGUUUUAAAAAUGAAAAGCCCAAAACAAAUCGAUAUUUCUUUUUUGUCUAUAAAAUGAAUCAAUUUAAAUGGGUAUAUUAUGAAGACUCUCCCUCCACGCUGGUGGGCCUCUCCUCCUCUAAGCCUUUGGACGUUGCUUUGUUUGGAUGCCCCACCUACGGGGUUUGUUGCCUCUGCCGUAUAAUAUAAAUAAUAUAACUCAUGUUGUCCAAAAAAAAAACAAGGCUCUCUUCAUUCUUCAUAAGAACUUCUACAUUCUUCUAGACCUGAUUCUCUUGUCUGUCUCCCUCUUUGGUUCCACAGAUUUGACUUGGCAGUGGUUGCGACAUUAAAAUUAAGGGUUAAUACCAUAAAAAUCUAAAAUUGAUACAUAUGUGAUAAAUUUAUCUUAAAUUAAAUUUUUACAAAAGGGCUCCAAGUGUUCUCAUUUUCUUAAAUAAAAGCUUGAAGUGGAUCUUAUUUCAAAGAAGGGCUCGGAGUAGUUAUACUUAUUUCAAAUUAGAGCCUAGUCAAGGACAUUUUCAUCAUUUUCCUUUUCUUUCCUUUUUCUGUUCUUCUUGCUUCUUUGCCUAUGGCCAACCGGCCAUCGUUAAUGCCCGCAACAGGUUGGGUGAGGGUCGCUCUCGGUUGAUUCGGCGAGGUUCGCCUCACCCUCUGAUGAGGAUAGCCUCACCUUGGGGGAGAGGCCACCCCUUGCAGUCGUCAGCGAGGUCAGCCCUCAUUGGUCGCUCAACCCCCAUCAUCGAGCUCUCACUUGUUGCCGGCAAUAGGCGUCUAGCCCUUGUUGGCCCUAAGAGAGGGCUUGCAAGCCGACCCUCGCCAAAUUUGGCGUGGUGGCCUUACUCGCAACCAACGAUGGCUGACCUCGCUAAUGGCCACAAGGGUAGCCCUUGUCGAAUUGAGUGAGGGCAACCCUUGCCCAGCCCUUUAUAGGCAUUGUCGGGGGUUGGUUGGCCACCAGCGAAGAAGGAAGAAGGACUAGAAAAAAAAAAGAAAAAAAAAAGAAAAAUGACGAAAAUGUCAUUGACUAGACCCUUACCACUUCAUACAUUUAUUUGAAAAAAUGAGAGCAUUUCAAGCAUUUUAUUGAAAUUUUCCCUAGAUUCAAUGCUCCAAUUUACUUAAAAAUUUCAAACUCAUGGCUGAAAAGAAUCGGGCUGAGGAGGUCGGCACCCGAUCCGAUCCGAUCCGAUCCGACCCGACCCGAGACCAAGAACGACAAGACAAAAGGGGAACAGACAAGGUGGCCAAGUUCGAGUCCUCGCCCACCUCGUCUGCUCUUUUUAUGCAUUAAACAAAAAGUCUCCCAAAAACCCAAUGCACCUAAACCACUCUUCAGGCUCGAAGAAUAUAGCAGUGAAAAGCGACCCGCUUGAUGUAUCCUCUUGCCCAAUCGCCUCGCCUUGCGUCUCCCCCUCUCUCUCUCCCUCCUCCCAUCGCAUUUCGGCGGAAAGUUGUUCCUUCUCGUCCAAGAGGUGAGACCGACGCACCCUUCUUUUUGGGUUCUCGAGGGGGGGAGGACUUUUGGGUAUGGGUGGGUGUGUCUGCUGGUUUCUUGUUUAUUGCUUGCUUUGUGUUUUGAGUCCCGUGCGAUUGUUGGGUGUUGAGGUUUCUGAGGAGUGGACUUGAUGGAUAACGCUGGCUGGAGGCCGAUGCUGCUGCCGCCGGGUGGCGGGGGAGGAGGCGGGGGCGCUGGAGGUGCGCUUGAUGGGGGCGACUGGAGGGCUCAUCUGCCACCCAACUCACGGGAGAGGACCGUCAACAAGAUGUGAGUGCCCGCUUCCUUUGCUUGGGUUUUCAUCCUUUUCGUAGGGAAAAAUGUGGGGUUUUACGAUGGAUCGUUGCUUGGGGACGAUUCCCAAGGGUUUAGCACAUAUGGUCAUGUUAUUUGGACGAGGCGCCACAAGGAUUCUGAGGUAGCUUUCGCUGUAAUGUUUUCUCGUCGGAUGGUUUAGUCUUGGUUAAGUUUCAAUAUGGGAUUUAGCGGGUAUGUAGGCCAGUAGCUCUUGUUACAUUGGCGAUUAUGUAGCAUAAGAAGAUGGUUAAAUUUCUUUCUUGUUUGAAAUGGAUCGUCUUCUUUCACCAGCAGGGUUUAUCAUAGCGUGUGGAUGAACAUAAUUGCAGCAGUAAUGCUGUGUGGCUUUCUGGUAGGAGAACAAUUACCGGAUGAUGGCUGUUAUGCUCAUGACAAAAAUUUACUUAUCCGGAGCCUAAGGAAUUCUAGGCGUCUUAUUGCUUGUAGGUUACGUUAUUUUUUAUUAAUCUCGAAUAUAUUUAGUUUAUGUAAGCUCUUACUGGAAGAGAUACAUGGACGUAUCAUCUGAUUUUCCCUUCUCCCAUUCAUUAUUCUCACUGAAGUAGUGAUAGGUGUUGAAGGCCCAAAGGUUUUCCACAGGAAACCUUUUCUCACUUACCUUGAGUUGCAAUGGGUGAAAUCCCACCCGUUCCACCUGUAAUAGAAGUAGAUGCUAUUAAUGCGUGUGGGUUUAGGUGUCACCAAAGUUUUAUAGGUUCGUGAAUUCUUAUGUGUGUUAUUUUGGAUCAUUUCUCAGUUUGCUUUCUUAGCUGGUAUGCAAAUUCCACUGGAUCUUUUUAUCUGCUAUCCAUUGGAUUUUUUGACUAUAUUAGGAUUAUGUAAUUUCAGCUCUGUUAUACAUUGGAUUUUGUGAUCAUCUCCGGCAAACCUUUUCUUUUGACCUUUCAUCCUUUUCUUGCCCACUCUUAACUCCUGACCCUCUUCCAGCUCUCAACCCUCUGUUUUCCAGCUCUAGCAACCUCCUUAACCUCCAUUGGGCGCCAUGAACUCUGCUGAGCCUUUGACAAAGGCCCCAUUGGCUAUGUAGGCUCUUUUCCUCUUCUUUUCUCUGCUGUUUGCUUUCUCUGAGACGUUGAAGACUCUUUCCCUCUUAUCUUCUUUGCCGAGUAAUUGUUGAGGCUGAAAAGGACUUUUUAAGAGCAACAGAGUAUGCCAGAUGGAGGAGAUUGUCGAUAUACCUCUCUAUUGAGAACUUGAAAUGGUGGAUGGAUUACCGUGCAGUUGUAGAACCUGGUAAAACGGGUGUAUGGGGAAUUAGAUGCUGUAGUUGGAACUGGAAGAAUUACUGGUGUUUCAAACAUGUGGUGGCAUUGUAGUGAUGUGCAAUGAGAACUCAUUCAACUUAGUAGAUUGCUUAGUGGGCCAAUUUAGUGUCUUGUGCCUGUUUGGUGGUGCAGACAAUGGGGAAGAGCAGGUGUUUACUGUGGUGUAUGGUCCUGGAGAGGGUAGCGCUGGGAGUUCUUUCAGGGAUUAGCUCUCUGAUGUUAGAAGUAAAUGGGGAGUGCCUUCGGUGAUUGGGGGAGACUUCAACAUGGUAUUAUGUACACAUGAACAGAAUGGGAUUGGUACUGACAUAGCUUGCAUGAGGGAACUUCGGCAAAUCUUAGAUACCAUUUGCCUAAUUGGCUUGUCGUUGGUAGGUGGGGGAUAUACUCGGUCCAGGGACGGGGAGGGGCUAUCCUUUUCAUGCAUUGGUCGGUUCCUAGUUUCAACAAUACGGGAGGAUAUCGAUUUGAGCUAGAUUCAAAAUUUGUUACCUUGAGUGAACACCGUCCGCCAUCCAAUUGUGUUAGAGGAGAUAGGUAUUAAAUAGGGCCCCUCUCUCUUCCAGUUUGAGAAUAUGUGUCUCACAGUAGAAGCUUUCGAGGAGAUAGUUCUUAUUUAUUGGAAGAAUAUUUCUUUUAGAGGGUAUGCCAGCUUCCCUUUUGCUUCGAAGGUAUAUUCUGAAACAAAAAAGUCAUGAGAAGGUUGGAGAUGCGGAAAACAAAAUUAAAGAAACAGUUUAAGAAGUUGAAAGGCUUGACGAUAAGGAGACCGGAUGAUCUUAAUGAAGGAAGAGCGCUUUAGGAGAAUGGAAUUGAAAAAAACUGUUACUUUGUUGAUUCUAAUGAAAGAAACCUCCUGGAUACAUAUUUCUCAGGAGAUUUGGUUUGAUGAGGGUGAUAGAAACACGAAGUCCUUCCAUAAGAUGGGCAAUGCUCAUAGAAGAUAUAACUUCCUUAGUGAGUUGGAAGUUUUUGGGAUGGUUGUUGAAGACAUGGAUGCCAUGAGUGUGUGGUUAUGUAGAAUUCUAUGCUGAUUUAUACAGGGAGAGAUGUUUCGGGAGACCAUAAUUUUGGAGGCUUCCCUUGAUCGCAAUAUGGUUGAGAUGCUGCAGAUGCCUCUUGGAGAGGAGGAGAUUAGAAGGGUAGUCUUGGAGUGUAAUGGAGAUAAGGCACUAGGUCCUGAUUUUGCCUUGAAAUUGUUCAGGAGAAUUGGAGAGUGUUAGUGAAGACCUUCUCAAGGAGUUCCAGAGUAGGGGGGAAGUUUGUAGAUAAUCUAAAUUGUACAUUCUUAGUUAUCAUUCCUAAGGAGCCUGGUGCGACGGAUGUUAAAGAUUUUCAGCCAAAAGCUUGGCGGGUAGCUUCUUGCUGGUCACUUGAAAAGGUUCUACCUCACCUUGUGGGACCUUUUCAAAUUGCUUUUAUGGAAGCUUGUCAAACAGUGGAUGCUAUUCUUACUGCCAAUGAGGCGGAUGAUUGUCUUGAGGAAAGAAAAGCAGGAGUGAUUUGCAAAUUCGACAUGGAGAAGGCCUAUGAUCACGGAUCAUGGGAGUUUUUGUUGUAUGUGUAAAGAAGAAUGGCUAUUAGUGACCAGUGGUGUAGAUGGAUUUUAAGAUGCAUUUCUUCAUCGACUUUCUUGGUUAUGGUGAAUGGCAGUCGAAGCUGUUUCUUCAAGUGUUCUAGAGAUUUAAGGCAGUCCUCUGUCACUUUUGUUUUUUGUGUUGGAUAUGGAAGUGUUGAGCAAGAUGCUGAUUAAAGCUACUGGUUAGAUUACUUGUUUCACGGUUGACAAUGUUUCUAAUGAGAAUUCCAUAAUUCCUUUUUCAUUUGCGGAAGAUGCCAUAAUUUUCUUGGAGGAUGAAAUCAAACAAAUUUUACACUUGAGAAGCACACUGUUAUGUUUUGAGGCUGUCUUGGGACUAAAAGUGAAUUUGGGAAAAAAGUGAAAUAACACCUAUGAGCGAGAAUGCAAAUUUGUAAGAAAUGUCUCGGAUUCUUGGUUGUAAGGUUGCCAGCGUACCUAUAAAGUACUUGGGGUUGCAGUUGGGAUCCACUUACAAAGCAAAAGCUGUGUGGAAUCUAAUGAUACAGAGAUUUGAAAAAGAGUUUAAGUGGGUGGAAGAUUGCUUAUUUGUUCAAGGGAGGUAGACUUAUGUGGAUGAAGUGUGGGCUUUCUAAUCUUCUGGUUUGCUUUCUUUAUUUGUUUCCAAUCCCUAUUUCAUUGGCAGAAGGACUUGAGAGCAUACAAAAAAAGUUUCUUUGGGGAGGGAUGAUAAUCCGAGAUUUCAUUUAGUUAAUUGGAGUAUUGUAACACAAUCAGUUGCUUUUUUUUUUUUUUUUUUUUUUUUUUUUUGGGGGGGGGGGGGGGGUUAAAGUCAUUGGUUCUUAUAUAUAAAGCUUUGCUUGUACAAUUGUUGUGGAGAUUUAAUGGGGAGAAAACUAGCCCUUGAAGGGAGGUACUCGUUGCAACGUUUGGUUUGGAAGAUGCAGAGUGGAUAACAAAAUCUAAUGGAGGAACACAUGGAGUCAGGCUUUGGAAGCACAUUAGGCAAGGAUGGGAUGCUUUCGAAAACAGACUUUCCAUUAAAGUGGGAAAUGGUAGGCAUACUAUGUUGCGGGGUGACAUGUGGUGUGGACACACUGCUUUCAAAGACUUAUUCCCAGAUGUGUGUGCACCAGAAACAAGAGAGCUAGGAUGGCUGAUUGUUGGAAGACUGACAACAGGGAAACGGUUUGGUAAAUUAAUAUCUUACAUGGGGCUCAAGAUUAGAAGCUCGAAGCUUUCUUGAAUAUUUUUGAGUUAUUGUAUCGAGCAAUGUUAGAUGUGAGGACGAUAGGCUAUGGAGGAAUGUUGUUCCUCUGGAACUUUUUCUGUCAAAGCCUACUAUUCCGAUCUCUUUUCUACUCAGAUGCAAUUACAACAGAGCACACUUUUCCCAUGGAAAUCUAUUGGGAAAGUCGAGUUUCAAUUGAAGGAUUCAUUUUUUGCUUGGCGAGCUACUUGGGGAUGUAUUCUUACUUCGGAUAAUCUUUAGAAGCGACAAAAAAUACUGGCUAAUAGGUGUUUUUUUUUUUUUUUUGGUGCAAGACUAAAGAAGUGAGCAUGAAUCAUUAAGUUUUACAAUGUUGCUGGACCAGAAAGAUUUGGGCUACAAUUUUGCAAUUUUAGGAGUAAAUUGGUUGACCUUAGGCACAGUAUGACACGAACUUUGGGCUUGGAGAGGGACUUUCAGUUCGUGUGUCAUGAAGAAAAUAUUACUAAGAUGAUUCCUCUCCUUGUUUUUUUAGCUCAUUUAGAGAAAAAGGAAUAAAAGAGCACUUCAAGGAGUUGAAUCCUCAUGGGAUUUUUUGAGGGAUAAUUGCUUGUACACUCUCACUUUUGGUGUAGCGGGAAAGUCCAAUGUCACACAUAGUUUGGUGGAAAUGCUGGAAAGUCUGUGCAUUAUACUGUAUAUGGGUGUCUUCUGUUUUUGGCCAUUUUGUUAGGGGUGGUACCCCCUUGGUACUUCUUAAUGAAAUCUUAUUUAUCAUUGACGAGAAAAUGAUUGGCCAGAAAUAAUUGCAGCUGAAGUGCAAAUCUCUUUUGAUAUGCAGAAUGGAGACUUUGAAGAGACAUAUUCCUGUUUCCAGUCCAGAGGAUUUGCGCGAAAUCAAUAGAUUUGCCCUGAAGUUCGAGGGAAAUUUUUACGCUUCUGCCACAAGCCAGGUAUUAUAUGAUGUCCAUGUCCACUGUGUGCAUUUCAUUCUCUUCGAUCUUAUCUUUGAUAGCAUUUUAUGAGGUUGCCCGCGAGGUAGUGCUUACUUAUUCUGUAUCAAGUUUCCAUGUGGAUAGAGGAUGCAUAAACAAACCGGAUAGGCUUGUGCUUAAUAGAAUUUGAAAAGCGUUCUUUAAUUGAGAAUUCCUAUGAUGCGUGCAUUUAUGUAGUAACUGGAACUGUUUAAAUAUUUAAAAUUAGCUUUGCACCAGUGAUAUCAGGUUUGCUCAGUGCUGUGAUAUUGUAUUGAGUUUAAGUUGUAGUUUCAAAUUGAUAUCUAUUUUAUUUUCUUUCUAAUUUGAUUAUUUAAUUAGUUGGUCUAUUAUGAAGUGAUUUAGUGAUUUCUGCUUCCUUUCCCUUUUAGUCUUAUUAUUUAAGGGAGAUAUCUUCGAAGAUGUUGAAAAUGUGGAUAGAGUCUCAGAGUACCUUACCUAAUGCGCCAUCUAACUCUGUGGGGAAUAGCAGUGAGGACUUGGGUACGACUUAAGUUCCUGUUACUUGAUACCAUUGAUAUAGGAAUUGAAAUUUCUGUUUUGUUAUCCCCUUGUAUAUUUACAUAUAUGUAUAUUUCGUCUUACACAAAUUUUCAUUCAUGUGCUUGCACAAUUUUUUUUUUUUUUUGACUCAUUGUUUUUGAGGGACUUAAGUCCUAAAAAUUGUUAUGAUAGAGCAUUUGAGUCCUAAAACUUUCAUUGUGUGCACUUAAGUCCUAAAAUUUGUGAUAGUCAUCCACUUUAGCUCUUCCAUUAGCUCUUUUAUGUUUUAGUGGACGGAAAAUCUACAUGGCUUUUUUAUUUAUUAAUGGCCACAUAGUAUUAAAAGAUAAUAAAAAAAGUCGUGGCAUCUUCCUUCCACUUAAAAUUGACAGAAUUAAUGGAAUGAAUCAAGUGUAUUCAAUUGCAAGUAUUGUAAUUUGAAUGCAUGAAAUAAAAGUUUUAGGACUUAAGCACAUUAGCAUAACAAAUUCUAGGACUGGUCCUCGAAUUGUCCUUUUUUUUGGGCUUUACAUGGUACACAUUUAUAUACCCACAACAAGCCGUGCUGCUUAUUUAUAGGGUAAAUGCUCCACUGGCACAUGGAACUUUUGGUGGAUUUUUGUUUUAGUACCCCGAAGUUAAUUUCUUUUUGCCAUUCUUGCUCAUUUGUAACCUCAAAUACACAUUUAUACCAUGGGCAGUGGCACAUUUGAAUUGCUUUGUUUCAUUUGUAACCUAUUGAUUUAAGAACCAUAAGAUCUUGGUUGUUUGCUUCAUAGAAUCAGAUAUGCAUUUGUGAAGAACAAGUUCAACCAGAAAGGGCCAAACACUUGCAUAUUUUGUAACUUCCUCCCACUUAUUUACCUCAAAAUUUCUGAGUCUCUCUUACGGCAUCAAAAGAUGCAUGCCUGUAAAAGAUAAUUCACAUUACUCUUUUAUUUUUUAAUUUUAAUUUUAAUUUUUGUUUUCUUUAAGAUUUCAGGAUCAAUUCAAGUACAUGAACUUCACAGAGAUUUUUAUUUAGUACUUCCCGAAAAGAAAAUGAGUGAUUAAUUGUUUGUCUGUUUUUGCAUAUCCAUUAUCCAUCUAGUGUCACUUGCUCAGAAAGCUUCAAGUUAAAGUAAUUAAAGGUCGUCCUCAGGGUGCAUCUAUCCCUCAUUCCUUUAGUCUCUUUUUGCUAUUUGCAUUUGCUGCUGCUAUGCAUGUAUUGAUCCGGCUUCUUGAUGCACUAACAUAACUUGUAUAUAUUGUAUGUCAUCUCAAGUUAUGCAUCCAAAAAAUCAAGGCUGAAGCCAACCAAUUCCUAAUUCCUUAGCUGUGGAUCAGCCUCAAGCAAAUCAACAGUGGUUAGUUUGGAAAACUCAGAAUAAUUGUUCCUUCUGGAGUUCAGGCUUCAGCCUGGUUUGGCCUGCCCAUUAAUCAAAUAAGUUAAGCCUCCACUCCUCUAAUCAAAUCUCUCCCUCUGUCUCUUCCUCAUUUUCUCUCCCGCUUGUUCCUCUUCUGCAAUUUCUCUGCAAAUUCUCAUACUCCGGUGGACUUUGUUGCUCUCUCGCUCUUCCAUUCUUUGUAAUGCCUCCAUUCCCUAAGUAGCUCAAGCUUUCCUCUGGGGUUUUUGAUCUCAAUUCCUUCACAUGCUAUCUCUCGAUUCGCUUUUCAUUUUUCUUUUUUUCUUUUCUUGAAGAAAAGCCAGGAGACUUUUUAGGGUUUAGUUACUUUCCUCAUGUGCUGAUAAGAGUUUCUAUAGUCUUUUUGUCUCAUUUCUUGCCAACCUUACUCUUCAUCAUCAUCAGCAGGCAAACGUGCUCGGUUACCUCCUUCCAAUCAAGAUGAAAGGCAAAACUCAGUGGAUUACAUCAGCCAAUUGCCUGAUGCCAUAAUCCUUCAUAUCUUCUCCUUCAUGACCACAAAAGAUGCCAUCAAAACCAGCGUCUUGUCCAAGCGAUGGCGUUCCACUUGGACCUCUAAUCAGUAUAUGAAUUUCUCUUUGCCCGUUCACAGUAGCCUGAAAUUCAAGAGCUUCAUCACUUUUGUUGACUCGGUGCUGUUACGCUGCACUGCAAUUAAGGCAAAAAGAUUCCUCUUUGAUGCUCCUUGUUACGCCUUGAUACAAUCAAGUCUUGAUAGGUGGCUCCAGUUUGCCAUCGAGCACGGCGUCGAAGAGGUAUCAGUAAACCUGCGUUACUGGCGCUACAAAGAUUUUCUGUUGCCGCGAAUCUUGUUCUGCUGCACCACGCUGGUGCAUUUGCGUGUGUCCAAAUGCUGUUUUUGGGUGUUCAGCACUGUGAAUUGGUGUUUUCUGAAGACAUUGCGCAUUGAUUAUGCAAAGUUGAACGAUGAUGGGAUGAUGAGAGUUUUGAGUGGCAGCCCUGUUCUGGAGUUCCUUGAGUUGAAAAGUUGCGAGGGUGUCAAGCACAUCAUGGUUGAAUCAAAAAGUUUUAGAGAGUUGGUGAUUGAUUCUCAUAAGUUUUGUGGUCAAGUUUCGAUGUUGAAAAUUUCGGCCCCACAUCUUCUCAAAUUGCGUCUAUUGGGCAAUUCUCGAGGGGGAGAGUUUAGACUAGAUGAAGUAUCUUCCUUGAUUGAGGCUGAGUUAAAUUUCAACAUGGAAAUUUGUGCACUCGAUAAGGUUAAGGCUCAUGCGGAUCUUGUUAAGGGGCUUCUCAAGAGGCUGCAUCAUGUCAUGAAAUUAGUGAUGGGAAGCUGGUGCCUUCAGGUGUGAACCGAUUCUUUUAGCCCUAUUAUUCCUGGUUCAAGUUGCAGACAUGCAUUACACAUUCUGCCAUUUGCUUAGGAUAAAUCGUGAGAUUGUUUGUUGGUGCUUGAUGAUACCAUGCUCAUAAAUUGUUAUUUCGGAGAAACUUUUUCACCUUAUCAACGGGAUUUUUGCUGGAUGAGGCUUUUUUCCUUUUCAUAAAAGAACUUUACACACCUAAGCUGAUAUCACCUUUAUGGGUCCAGCAUUAUAUUGACUUUGAUAAGACUAAAAUCUGAUAUCCUUGUUUGCUCUUUCGUUUGGUCUGUUGGCUAUUGUGAGAGGUUUUGGGAAUUGCAAGCAUGUCUUAUGUUUAAUCUUCUUUAGUGCUUAAAGAAAGUAAAGUGAUCAGUUUCUGCUUCUUCCACCAUGAUGAUGUGCUUAGGCGCUGUCGCUAAUGGAGGCGAGAGAUAUGUUUCUUCCAUCCUUAAAAUGUCGGCAUCUGAUAUUACUUGGCGCAGCAGGCCAUGAGGGAGUUCCCGAGGCUAUAGCAAAAAUACUCGAAAGUACGCAGCUCUUGGAGAAGUUAUUCUUACAAACGACUUGCACACCCAAUUCUGCGGUACACAACUGCUAGAACCCUCUCAGCUCACCGGGUGAAUUUAACACCGGAUUUGCUUGAACAUAUACAGAUUGUGAAUUUUAGCCUUGGGCUGCAUAUAAACCUGUCAUUUCUUUUCUUCUUGUGAUUGAAAAUCAUUUUUGUACCUGUCUAUUUAAUUGACAUUUUGGAUUCUCAAUAGAUUUAUAUCUCUCUUGGUGUAGUAAAUGCUAUAUUAUACUCUCAAAGCUCGAUGUUUGUCUCAUCUAGUUCCAAAUGUGUAUCUCCUCCUUAGUCAUGAUGUUGUACAUCUGCAGAUUGAGUUGAAUGCGGACAGUGUAGGCCGUCGCGUCUUUGCUGGAGAAGAAUUUUGGAAUUUUGUAAAGUGGAGGAUCUAUCAGUGUUUGAUGCAUCUCAGGCAUGUUGAGAUUGUUGAUCGCGGCGCCAAUCUGCUGGCAUGGGAACCUGUUCUUUCCCUGCUCAAGUUUCUCCUCCAGAAUGCACUUUGGCUGGACAAAAUAGUGAUCAACAGUACCAAUUCCAAAUCAUCCCAAGCAUUUGAACUGUCACCGCGGCUUGAAGUGGCCCGGAUUCUUCUGUCGCACCCAAAGUGUUCUCCAAGGGCCAAGGUCAUUCUUAGAUAUCCUUUCCAAGGAUGUCCGUCUGUGUAAAUCCUGAUCAUUUCGUCAACACCGGUGACUUCUUUUUCUCCGUUUUGUACCCCUGAAUUUUAGCUUAACAUUUUCAGGAGAUGCAAUUGAAUGUACCUGUCGCAAAUUAACCGAUUUGUUCUGACGUGUCAUUCUUCUUUUCUUUUGUGGUGGUAGAACUUUCAGUCCUCUUAUUGGGAGAACUUUUGUUCUGAUGUGUUGUUCUGGCCCUGGCCAGAUCUGGCGAGGGCAACCCUCGCCCGACGCUGGCGAGGGCUUGGCGAGGGCACCCCUUGCCGGACUCAGGCGAGGGCUGCCCUCGCCUGACGCAGGUGAGGGCCACCCUAGCCGGACUCAAGCGAGGGUGACCCUUGCCUGACGCUGGCAAGGGCCGCCCUCGCCUGAGUCCGGCUUCCCUCCGCUGGCCAUGGCAAAGGAAAGAGAGAAGAAGAAAAAAGGAAAAAUAUAAAAAAAUAAGACGAAAAUGUUUUUGGUAGGGUAAAUGUAUCACGGUUAGUAAAGUUUGGGGUUUUUCAUGUCAUAAAAAAAAAAGUUGAGGUUUUUGGUGGUCUUUUCCUAACUUUUUAAUUUGGUCAAUUUAGUUAUAGAAUUUUUAAAAAAAAUUGAUAUAGUCCAUCUAGCUAAUUUUGACAAGAAAUUAUUGGCAUUGAUACUGCCCAUCAUAUGUGAACAAAUUUUUUAAUAUUUUUUUGAAUUUUUGAUUAAUUUUAUUAUAAUUUUAUAAUUAUUAUUAUUAUUAUUUCCUUUUUCCCCUGCUAAUCAUUGGGCUUUGACAAUGGCUGGUAACCGGGCACAAGCGACAGACGAGGGUCACCCUUAUUGGUCUCAAGCAACGUCACCCUCGCCUAGAUCUAGAUGGGUGCUGCUUGGAAGUGACCUAGAUUCUUCUGUCACUCCCAAAGUGUUCUCCAAAUACGAAGGUCAUUCUUAGGUAUCUGUUCCAAGGAUGUUCGUCUAAACGUGUGCAUAAAUACUGAUUUAUUCAUCAACCCCUGAGUUUUGGCUUAACAUCCAUGGGAGAUGUGAUUAAAUGCGUCCUUUUUUUACCCAUGCGUUCAUUAAAUUCACCAUUGACCCUCCAUCUACCAUGCAAUGGUCAAUUGCGAUCCCAAUCACCUGUAAUUUGUCUUCAAAAUUAAUUAUGUUUCAAUAGAGAAUGUAGAACAUGUAAACAUGUGAAAAUAUUUCUGCGUGAAUUGAGUUCAUGCACUUUAUGUUCAUAUGUCGUCUUACAUUCAAUGGGAGCAAAUGGAAUCAGAAUGAAUGUUCUUGAUCCAUGCCAUAAUAUCUUGACUUUUUGCCUUCGAUAAAAAGAAAGAUUUUCCUAGACUCAAUACACUACAGAUUUAAUGAAUCUCAAUUGCUAAGCCCGUGAUUUAAGUGAGGGCCACAGUUUUAUCCAACGAUAUCAAAUCACCUCGAGUUAAAUGCACUAAAGUUUUUAAAUAACGAGUGCAACUAAAAAGGAGACAUUCAUGAUAUCAUUUUCGCUCUCUCUCUCUCUCUCUCAUUCAAGCUCUCAUGGGGAUUGAACCUCCAUUUGCAAAGAUGCCACGAUCGCCGAAUCUUGCAAAUCUCGUGUUACGAUACUUUUGUCUUGGAGCGAAAUUCAUCCUCCAGGCCAGACGAUGUGAUCGCGGUGAGAUCGAACAGGGUUCGACCGGGUCGGAUGGAUGGGGACUCCUUGUUGUCCUCGUCCAGCUUGGUUGAGAUGGAGAGCUAGAGGAUGGAGGAUUGCAUUGGGGUUUACGAGUUCCUUCGUGGGAUUGGAAUUGUCCUCGACGAGUUGGAGCUUCUAGUCACGGUCUAGGUCAUGAAGGAGUGAAUUGAAUUUCUUCACAAAUUGGGGCUGACGAUCGAGGACAUCAAUUUGAGAUGAUUUCCAAGCUUCGGUGAUUGAUCACCGCUCCACAACUUUUGGCAUCUCCUAGUGUCCUUUUCCCUUUUUGUUAGAGAGUUAUGGCUCAUUUGAUAGUUAUUACUUCCAUUGAAGCUUAUAAAAGAAGAGGAAAAGAGCCUGCAUAGCCAAUGGGGCCUUCGUCAAUGGCUCGCCGGAGUUCACGGUGGUAAAUGGAGGUUAGGGAGGUCACCAGAGCUGGAAAAGAGAGGGGUCAAGAGCCGGAAGAGGGUCAGGAGUUGAGAGUGGGUAGAAAAGGAUGAAAGUUCAGAAGAAAAGGUUGGCCGGAUGGUCAUAAAAUCCAGUGUAUAACAGAGCUGAAAUUACAUCUUCCUAACAUAGUCAUAAAAUCCAACGGAUAAUAGAUAAAAGAAUCCAGUGCACCUUGCACAUUGUUCAACAAAUUAUAAAUAGCUUUCUCCCAGAUGAGAAAGCAAACUGAGAAAUGAUUCAAAAUAACACACACAAGAAUUCACAAGCCUAUAAAAUUUUGGCGACACCUAACCCGCACGCAUUGACAGCAUCUCCUCCUAUUACAAGUGGUACAGGUGGAAGUUCAAGCGUUGCACGUCAAGGUUGAAAAAUAUUAAGUUCUCUAGACUGCAGACGAUUGAUGAUUCGCGCUUAGGCGUUGGCGUCUCGCAUAUAUUGGAAGAUGAGCCUCCUUUAAGCCACAAGUUAGUUGCAGUAACCAGAGACUCCUUUGGCAAGUGUCAAAAGCAUAGGUGAUUUGGUUAACGGUGAAUGCUUCUAUUGGAGUUAUCGUGCCUUCGCAACUUAUAAGUGAAAAGUAUUACAUUGACUCGGUCCAUCUAGACCAGUACCAUUACAGCAUGCCCCCAAGGAAACUAGUGAUCAAUGGCUAUAACGGUGUUGGUUCAUAUAGACUAAGUCUAUUCUAUUACUUUUAUAGCAUUUGCAAUAACUAAUAGGUCCAAGUGAUUCCAUUUAUAUUAUAUGACAAUUGACCUUGCCAUGAAAGGCAUAUGCAAAUCUCUCUAUGUAAUAAAAAAAAUGCAAAGGAGGAUUUCAAUCUCGAACUUUUACUAUUAAAUACCAGAAGAUAUCCUUUGACAACUUAUAAUCUCUUAAUACUAAAGGUGUGAUAAAAUCCUAACCUAUUUUAUAUAAUUAAGAUUGGAGAUGAAAGAAUGCUUGCUCCUAUGUUCCCCACGUGGCAUCUCACCUUUCCUUUAUUAACACCACAUGGCAAUACACCUACAUAGUUUUGCCACAUGGCUCGAAAUUCACUUGAAAUUCGACCAAUAAGCUUUUAACUUAUUUAUUUGGGGUGACGUUACUCUACCCUCAAAUGACUAAAUUGACUCACAUUUACACUAAAAGGAUAAAAUUGCCCCCAAUCUUUCAAUUGUAGUUUAAAGAGAUACCCUACUCCUCCUUUUUUCUAUCUUUUCUUCUUCUAUUUAGAUGAUCUCCCAACUUUCACAUCUUCAACAUUUUGAAGUUUGUAAGAACUUAUAUUUCUUACUAACCAUAUUUUGCACACUCAAAUUUACGUAAUAUCAUCCUAAAGUCAUAAAAUAUAAAAUGAAAAUUACCAAAAAAUCAUAAAUUUAUUGCAAUUAUAUUAAUUCAAUUUUAAACUCUUUUUUACCAAUUGAGUCUUAAGCAUUUUACAUUUGCGCUAGAUCAAUCAAUCCAAUCAAUUUUAGUUGGAAAUUGCCAACAUAAAUACUGGCCAUCUUACGUGAUACUACCAACAUUGACAUUAACAAUUUGUAAUAAUAUUUUGAUAUUUUUAAUAUUUUUCUUUUUUUUUUGUCUUCCCUUCUUACACCACAUCUACUAUUGCGCCAUUCAUUGAACUUUUUGAAAUCAACAAAAACCUCAAACUCGUACAAAUAUGAUAAAUAUACCUUUCAUCAUAGUUCCAUCCAAAAUAGCAGUGAAAACUCUACGAGGAAACUAAUAUAGAGAUUGGCUGGCAAACAAAGCUGUGUGAAUCCAAUAUGGCUUUAUUGAAAAUAUACGGUGGUAUCCUAGUAUCACGUCAGCAAAUUGAUCAAGCAAACAAUUAUUUACUUAAAUCCACUUACAAAUUGACAUUUGCCAUCGACUUGGAAUCAAACAAAAAAUUAUUAAAAAGUAAUAUUUUCCUCUCUUCCUUGUCCAUCACAUCACUUUCCUGAAAUGACAUCUCAAUCAUUUGGGUCGGGCCGAACAAUAACAAACAACGCUCGAAAGUGCACCUUUUGGGUCCAUGCAGGCUAAAGGCUCGGCCCAUCAAACCCAUGAAAAGGCACAAUACAGUCCAGUAAGGUCUUGUUUAGUAACUAGUUAAUUCUUGAUUUUUUUUUUCCCGUAACAUAAAAAAAAAAAAUCCGUUUAGUAAUGUCAUUUCAUUUUUUCCACUCCUGAAAGUAAAUUUGAAACAUAAUUAAAAGGUAGAAAAAAGUUACUUAUUUAUUUCCUGAAACAAAUCUAAAAUCAAGUCAUUUUCUUUUCUUUUUUCCCCUCUUUCUUUAACUUUUUCUUUUAUUUUAUUCCUCUUCCCCCUCUAGCUGGUAGUGGGGCUUGGCGAUGGCCGGCGAGUUUGCUGACUCUCGUCUAACCUAUUGUUGGCUAUGACCGAGGCCAAGCGACUAGCUAGGGAGGAAGAAGAAAAAAAGAAAGAAAGAAAAUAAAAUAAAGAAAAAUAUUAUAAAAUUAUUUAAAAAUUAAAAGAAAUUUCAUGUCAUAAAAAAAUUUGUGAGGUCAUACCAAAUAUAUUUUUAUUCUUUUUUUAUUUUGGAAAUAAAAAUUUUGCACAAUUACAAAAUACGUUCGAAUGCUCAUGAACUCAUUUAAGGAACAGAAUAAAAAUUAUAUAUUUAUAAGUAGAAAUUGUUUCCAACAAUAGAAUGAUUGCCAAAUAGACCAUAAGCGCAAAAGUGGGACAUAAAAGACCUUUGGUGCAAUAGAAAAUUGGUUUUGAAUUAGAAAAAGGUUCCUUCCAUUUAUUUUGCGGACAGUUUAGGCCCUGUUUGUUUAAAGGUGCAUUUGUUUAUGUUUCUGUUAAAGUUUCGGGGAACAGAAAUAUAAAAAAACUAUUUCUGUUCCGGGGAAUAAUUUUUUACUAGAAAGAUGCGUUUGGGGGAAUAAAAAAUGAAUAAAAAUACGUUUGGUAAAUUUGUAUUCUUUUUUUUGUUUCUUUUAAUCUUGUAAUAUUUUAAUUUUGUUUUUGUUUUUCCUUUUUUUUCUUUCUUUUUUCUUUUUUUCUUCUUUUGGUUGGUCGCUGGCAUUGGCCAUGGCCGACGACCGGCCGACGAGGGUUGGCGGCCUCGCCCAACCACGGCGAGGCGAGCUCGGGCUCGCCUAGCCAAGGCGAGGCCGAGCCUCGCUAGGGGCCGGCGACGCUCGGCCUCGCUGGGGGCCGACGACCCUCCGGCAAGGUCGUCAGCCCUCGACGGCCGGUCGCUAGCCAUGGCCGAGGCCGGCGACCGGCCAAAAAAAGGAAGAAGAAAAGAAGAAGAAAAAAAAGAGAAUAAAAGAAAUGAGAGGGAAAAUUUAUUCUUCAAAAGUAUUUCUGGAAUAAAAAAAUAACUUUUUUUUUGUUUCUUAUUUUCGUUCCAAUUUUGUUCCGGGAACAAAAAAAUAGAUUUUGAAUAAAAACGCAAACAAACGUGUUUCUGUUCUUUUUUUGUUCUCGGGAACAAAAAGUAAAAAAUUUGUUCUUGAAUAAAAAAAAAGAGUGCAACCAUGCACGCCUUAAUUGUGUUUAUGUUCUCCUGAACAAAAAUUUCUGUUCUUUUAUUCCGAGGAACAAAAAAAGAACAAAAACGUGUUUGUUUACACUUUUAUUCCCGAGAACAGAUUUGGAACAAAAAUAAGAAGUAGAAAAAACUCGUUUCAUGUUCUCAGGAACAAUUAUGAGAAAUACUUUUUUUUUUCUUUUCCUUUUUUCUUUGUUCGAUUGCCGGCUUCAACCAUGGCUGGUGACCAGCUGUCGAGGUUCGGUGACCUCGUCGAAGGGUCGCCGACCCCCAGCGAGACUCAGCCUGGCCUUAUCGUGGCUAGGCAAGGCCGUCGGCUCUUGUCGGCCGAUCGUCGGGCUAUAGCCGAUGCCGACGACUGGCCAAAAAGAAGAAAGAAAAAAAAGAAAAAAAGAAAAAAAUUUAAAAAUUUAAAAAUUAACAGAAAAUAAAAAAAUUAUACAAGUUUAUCAAAUGUGUUUCUAUUCUUUUUUUUUUUAGGGUAAAAAAACGUACUUCUAUUCUUUUUCUAUUUAUAAAUUUUGUAUUGUUACUAAAUGUGUUUUUCGUUCAAAAAUUAUUUCUUGGAAUAGAAAUAGGAAUUCCCGGAAAAUGUUACCAAAAACGUCCGUGACGUAUGCUUUUCAAAUAGCUCUUCAUGCAAAAUGCGAUAGCAAUGAAAGCAGACCCACUUCACGGUUCUCUUGCCAUAGCCUCUUCCGUCUCCUCCCACAGGUGAGGUCGACGCUCUUCUUUCGCCAUCCAUCGACUGUUCCUUUUGGGUUUUCGAUGGGGUCUUGUGGGAACGUGGGCGGAUUCGUGGGUCGGGGUUGCUUGAAGUCGGCGUUGAUUGUGUUGGUUUAUGCCAUUCGAAUCUGCUUGUGGGUGGGCGUGUGCUGAUUGUUUUGUUCCUCUUAUUGCUGGGCUAAAUCCCCGUGCGGUUGUUGGUUGUUGAGGUUUUUGACUGGUGGGUAAGAUGGUCAACGCUAACUGGAGGCCCACGCGGCCGGGUGGCGGAGGAGGCGGGGGCACCGAAGCUGCACUUGAUGAAGGCUGUUGGAGGGCUCAGUUGCCGCCCCGAUCACGGGAAAGGAUUGUCGACAAGAUGUGAGUGCUCCUUCCUUUGCUUGGGUUCUUAUCGUUUUCGUAGGGAAAAUUGUGGAGUUUUAUGAUAGAUUGUUGCUUUGGGACUAUUUCCAAGGGUUUAGCAGGUUAAUGAAGUAAUGGUUUUACAAUAUCGUCUUGUUAUUAGGUCGAGGGGCAACAUGAAUUCUGGGGUAGCUUUCGCUGUAGUUUUUUUCUGGUUGGAUAAUUUUUAGUCUUAGUUAAUUGUCAAUAUGGGAUCUAGAGGGUAUGUAGGACGGUAGCUCUUGUUAAAUUGGUGAUUACAUAGCAUAAGAAGAUGGUUUAAUUUCUUUCUUAAUUGGAAUGAAUUAUCUUCUAUUUUUGUUUGCAACCAGGAGGGUUUUCCAUAGAACGUAGAUGAACAUAAUUGCAGAGGUAAGGCCUUGUGGCUUUCUGGCAGGAAAACAGUUACCAGAUGAUUGCCUGUUAUGCUGGCGACGAAAAUUUACUUAUCCAGAGCCUGAGGAUUCUUAGGCAUCUUAUUGCUUGUAGGUUGUGUUUUUUCAUAUUAAUCUCAAUUUUAAUUCCCCAUCCAGCUCAANNNNNNNNNNNNNNNNNNNNNNNNNNNNNNNNNNNNNNNNNNNNNNNNNNNNNNNNNNNNNNNNNNNNNNNNNNNNNNNNNNNNNNNNNNNNNNNNNNNNGUAUGCUGGACAGAGGAGAUGUCGAUGUACAUCUCAACAAGGACUUGAAAUGGUGGAUGGAUUACCAUGCAGCUGUAGAACUGGUAAAACAGGCGUAUGGGGAAUUUAGAUGUCGUAGUUGGAAGAAUUACUGGUGUUUCAAACACGUGGUUGGACUGUACUGAUGUGGAAUGAGAAAUUAGUCAACUUAGUAGAUUGCUUAGUGGGCCAAUUUAGUGUCUCAUGCCUGUUUUGUGGUGCAUACAUCUCUCUGCAUCCAAAACUUAUUAUGGAGAGCACAAGUUAUCCCGUUUCUCAAGGGACAAAACCUCUAUGCCCAUGUCGAUGAAACCAAACGCGUCCCUCUGAUGUAGCUCUUGCAACAAGUUGCUUCUAUCAUGAGUCUUCCAAUUGCGUCUCUCUCAGAAUUGGUUUUACUUCUGAUUAUUGGUAAACCAACUAGCCUAAGCUUAAUGGAAAUACAUAACAAUUUUUGUCUUAUUAGACUUGAGAGCAUACAAAAAAAGUUCCUCUGGGGAGAUUGGGAUGAUGAGCUGAGAUUUCACUUAGUAAAUUGGAGUAUUGUAACACAAUGAGUUGCUAAUGGGGGGGUUGGGGGUAAAGUCGUUUGUUCUUAUAUAUAAAGCUUUGCUUGGACAAUUGGGAUGCUUUCAAAAACAGACUUUCUAUUAGAGUGGGAAAUGUUAGGCAUGCUAUGUUGCAGGAUGAUGUGGUGUGGAAACACUGCUUUCAAAGACUUAUUCCCGGAUGUGUGUGCAUUAGCAAGAAACAUGAGAGCUAGUCUAGCUGAUUGUUGGAAGACUGACAAUGGAGAAACAGUGUCAUAAUUUAGUAACUUGUGUAGGGAUCAAGAUUAGAAGCUCAAAGUUUUCUCAAUUUUCUUUUUUUUUGGGGGGGUUGUAUCAAGAGACGUUAGAUGUGAGGACGAUUAGGCUACAGUAGAAUUGUUGUACCUCUGGAACUUCUUUUGUCAAAUCCUACUAUUCCAACCUCUGUUCUACUCAGAUGCAAUUACAACAGAACACACUCUUCCCGUAAAAAUCUAUUUGGAAAGUUCAGAUUCCAUUGAAGGUUUCAUUUUUUUUUUUUUUGUUUGGCUAGCUGUUUGGGGAUUUAUUCGUACUUUGGAUAAUUGUUAGAAGGGAGGAAAAAUACUGGCCUAUAGGUGCCUUUUGUGCAAGACUGAAGAAGAGAUCGUGAAUCACUAAGUUUGACGUUGUAGCUGGACCAGAAAGAUUUUGGCUAUGCUUUUAUAAUUUUAAGAGUAAAUUGGUUGACCUUAGGCAUAGUAUGACAUGAACUUCGGGCUUGGGGAGGGACUUUCAGUUUGUGUGUCAGAAAGAAACAGAUGACUAAGAUGAUUCCUCUCCUUGUUUUUUUGGCUCAUUUCAAGAAAGAGGAAUAAAAAGGCAUUUCAAGGGAGUUGAAUCCUCAUGGGANNNNNNNNNNNNNNNNNNNNNNNNNNNNNNNNNNNNNNNNNNNNNNNNNNNNNNNNNNNNNNNNNNNNNNNNNNNNNNNNNNNNNNNNNNNNNNNNNNNNCUACAGUCUUUUUGUGCAUUAUUUUGUAUGGGGGUGGCUUCUAUUUUAAUCCAUUUUGUAGCAGUGGUACCUGCUUGGUACUUAAUGAAAUCUUAAUUAUCAUUGUGGAAAUAUAUAUAUCUAUUGGCUAGAAAGAAUUUCAGCUGAAGUGCAAAAUACUGUGAGGUUUGAGGAAAAUGUUUAUGCUCUUGCAACGAGCCUGGUAUUAUAUGGUGUCCACGUCCACUACGUGCUUUUCAUUCUCUUCAAUCUUAUCGUUGAUUACUUUUUACGAAGUUGCCUGGGAGCUAGUGCUUCCUUAUUCUGUAUCAAGUUUCUACGUGGAUAGAGGAUGGAUAAAGAAACUGGAUAGGCUUGUUCUUAAAUUAUGCGUGCAUUCAUAUUGUAAAUGGAACUGUUAAUAUCUGAAUUUAGCUUUGUGCUGGUGAAAUCAGGUUUGCCCAGUGCUGUGAUGUUGCUCCUAAGUUUUAAGUUAUAUUUUCAUUUUGAUAUCUGCUUCACUUUCUUUCUAAUUUGAUUAUUUAAUUUGUUGGUCAGUUAUGAAGUGAUUUAGUGAUUUCUGCUUCCUUUCCCUUGUAGUCCUAUUUUUAAAGGAAGAUAUCUGAAGAUAUUGUCAAUGGAGACAGAGCGUCAGAGUACCAUACCUAAUGCUUUGCCAUUUAACUCUGCUGGGAGUAGCAGUGAGGACUCGGGUACGACUUAAGUUCCUGUCAUUUGGAAAUAUGGAUGUAGGAAUUAGAAUUUUUAUGUUGUCAUCCGCAUAUAUAUAUCUGUAGAUAUGUAUAUUUCUUUAAACUAGUACUUUCAUUAAUGUGCUUGUACUUUUUUAUGAUACAUUGUUUUUGGGAACAUAUAGAGCAUUUGAGUCGUAAAACUACUUUCAUUUUGUGCACUUAAGUCCUAAAACUUGACAUUCAUCCACUUUAGUACUUCUGUUAGCUCCUUAGUGCUUUUAGGUUUUAGAGAGUGGAAAAUCUACGUGGCACUUUUUUUCUUAUUAGCGGCCAUGUAUGAUUAAAAGAAAAUAAAAAAUUCAUGUGGCAUCUUCCUUCCACCUAAAAUUUAUGGAGUUAAUGGAAUGUCUCAAGUGCAUUCAAUUGCAACUAGUAUGACUUAAAUGCACAGAAUUAAAGUUUUAGGACUCAAGCGCAUUAGCAAGACAAAUUUUAGGACUUGCCCCGGAAUUGUCCUUUUUUAGGCUUUACAUAGUACACAUUUAUAUACCCACUGUGAGCAGUGCUGCUUAUUGACAGGGUAAAUGCUCCAUGGGCACAUGAUUUUUUCGGGGGAUUUUCGUUUUAGUAUUCCGAAGUUAAAUUUUUUUUGCCAAUCUUGCUCAUCUGUAACCCCAAAUGCAAAUUUAUUCCAUGGGCAGUGGCACAUUUGAAUUUCUUCAUUUCAUUUGUAACCUAUAGAUUUAAGAACCGAAAGAUCUCGGUUUUUUCCUUUUUAGAAUCCAAUAUGCAUUUGUGAUAUGCAUUUGUGAAGAACAAGUUUUUCAAAGAGUGGAAGCAAGCUUCAGUCUAACUAGAAAGGGCCAAACGCUUGCAUCUUUUGUAACUUCCUCCUACUUCUUUGCCUCAAUUUUUUUUUUUUUUUUGGGUUAAAAGUGAGUCUCUCUUUUGGGGUCAGAAGAUGCAUGCUUGCAAAAGAUGAUUCACAUUUCUCUUUUGUGUUUUUGUUUUCUUUUAAGAUUUCAAGAUCAAUUCAAGUACAUGAACUUCACAAAGAUAGUGAGUCAUUGUUUGGCUGUUUUUGCGUAUCCAUUAUCCAUCUAGUAUCACUUGGUCAGAGAGUUUCAAGUUGGAGUAAUCACGAAGUGCUCUUAAUGUGGUAUUCAUGUGGCAUCUAUCCCUCAUUCCUUUCAUCUUUUUGUGCUAUAUGCAGUUAGUGCUGCUAUGCAUGUAUUGAUCCAGUUUCUUGAUUAACUUGUAUAUAUUGUAUGUCAUCUCAAGUAUGCAUUUACAAAUUCAAAGCCAAAUCCAGCCAAUUCCUAAUUACUUAGCUGUGGAUCAGCCUCAAGCAAAUCAACAGUAGUUGGUUCAGAAUACUCAGAAUAAUUGUUCCUUCUGGAGUUAAGGCUGCAGCCUGGUUUGGCCCGCCUAUUAAUUGAAUAAGUCUGCCUCCACUCCUCUAAUCCAAACCCACCCCCCCCCCCCCCCCCCCCCGGGGGGGGGCCCGGGGGGAGUUCCUCUAGACUUCUAUGUCAAAGUCUGAAGAUAGCCAAACUUUAGUGUCAAAGUCUGAAGAUUGCCAGAUUUUAGUUUCAAAGUCUGUUUGACUGCCUCUGUUCCUUAAGUAGCCUCAAGCUUUCCUCCAGGGUUUUUUUAUCUCUAACCUUCACAAGCUCUCUCUCAAUUUGCUCUUUGAUUUUUUUAUUUUUUAUUUAAUGAAAAGCCAGAAGACUUCUUAGUGUUUAGCUAUUUCCCUUUUGUGCUGAUCAGAGUUUAUAUAGUCUUUUCACGUUUCUUGACAACCUUUAUUUUCAUCAUUGUCAGCAGUCAAACGUGCACGAUUACCUUCUUCUAAUCAAGAUGAAACCCAGAACGCGGUGGAUUACAUCAGCCAAUUGCCUGAUGCCAUAAUCUUUCAUAUCUUCUCCUUCUUGACCACAAAAGACACCAUCAAAACCAGUGUCUUGUCCAAGCAAUGGCGUUCCACUUGGACCUCUAAUCAGUAUAUGAGUUUCUCUUUGCCCCCUGGUGGUAGUCAGAAAUCCAAGGGCUUCAUUGCUUUUGUCGACUCAGUGCUGUCACGCUACACCGCAAAAAAGUUGAAAAGAUUCCUCUUUGAUGCUCCUUGUCCCGCCUCAAUGCGGUUUAGUCUUGGUUGGUGGCCCCAGUUGGCAGUUGAGCGUGAUGUUGAAGAGGUAGCGGCAAGUCUUGAUAGGUGGCUCCAGUUUGCAGUUGAGCAUGAUGUCGAAGAGGUAUCGGUAACCCUAAAUAAUCACCGCCACAAAAUUUAUGCAUUGCCUCAAAUCUUGUUUUCCUGCAAAACACUGGUGAGUUUGCGCAUAUCCCGAUGCUGUUUUUCGGUGUUUGGCACUGUGAAUUGGUGUUCAUUGAAGAUAUUGCGCAUUGAACUUGCGGAGUUGAACGAUGAUGGGAUGAUGAGAGUUUUGAGUGGCAGCCCUGUUCUAGAGCUCCUUGAGUUGAAACGUUGCGUGGGCGUCAAGCACAUCAUUGUUGAAUCAAAAAGUUUUAGAGAGUUGGUGAUUGAUUCUCAUGAGUUUUAUGGUCAAGCUUCCAUGUUGAAAAUUUCAGCUCCUCAUCUUCUCAAAUUGUGCCUAUUGGGCAAGUCUCGAGGGGGAGAGUUUAGACUAGAUGAAGUAUCUUCCUUGAUUGAGGCCGAGUUAAAUUUUGAAAUGCUCGAUGAGGUUAAGGCUCGUGCCGAUCUUCUCAAGGGGCUUCUCGAGAGGCUGCAUAAUGUCACGAAAUUAGUGAUGGGGAGCUGGUGCCUUCAGGUGCAAGCCGAUUCUUUUAGCCCUAUUAUUCCUGGUUCAAGUUGCAGACAUGCAUUACACAUCUGCCAUUUGCUUAGGAUAAAUUGUGAGAUUGUUUAUUCGUGCUUGAUGAUACCAUGCUCAAAUAAUUGUUAUUUCAGAGAAACCUUGUCAUCUUAUCAACAGAAUUUUUGCUGGAUAAGGCUCUUUUCCUUUUCAUAAAAGAACUUUUCACACCUAAGCUGAUAUCACCUUUAUGGGUCCAGCAUUGCAUUGACUUCGAUAAGACUAAAAUCUGAUGUCCUUGUUUGCUCAUUCGUUUGGUCUGUUGGCUAUUGUGAGAGGUUUUAGGAAUUGCAAGCAUGUCUUAUGUUUAAUCUUCUUUAGUGCUUAAAGAAAGUAAAGUGAUCAGUUUCUGCUUCUUCCACCACGAUGAUGUGCUUAGGCGCUGUCGCUAAUGGAGGCGAGAGAUAUGUUUCUUCCAUCCUUAAAAUGUCGGCAUCUGAUAUUACUCGGCGCAGCAGGCCAUGAGGGAGUUCCUGAGGCUAUAGCGAAAAUACUCGAAAGUACGCGGCUCUUGGAGAAGUUAUUCUUACAAAUGACUUGCACACCCGAUUCUGAGGUACACGACUGCUAGAACCCUCUCGGUUCACUGGGUUAAUUUAACACCGGAUUUGCUUGAACAUAUACAGAUUGUGAAUUUUAGCCUUAGGCCGCGUAUAAACCUGUCAUUUCUUUUCUUCUCGUGAUUGAAAAUUAUUUUUGUCCCUGUCUAUUUAAUUGACAUAGUGGAUUCUCGAUAGACUUAUAUUUCUCAUGGUGUAGUAAAUGCUAUAUUGUACUCUCAGAGCUCGAUAUUUGUCUCAUCUAGUUCCAAAUGUGUAUCUCCUCCUUAGUCAUGAUGUUCUACAUCUGCAGAUUGGGUUGAAUGCGGAGUGGGCAGGCUGUCGCGUCUUUGCUGGAGAAGAAUUUUGGAAUUUUGUAAAGUGGAGGAUCUAUCAGUGUUUGAUGCAUCUCAGGCAUGUUGAGAUUGUUGAUCGCGGUGCCAGUCUGCUGGCAUGGGAACCUGUUCUUUCCCUGCUCAAGUUUCUCCUCCAGAAUGCACUUUUGCUGGACAGAAUAGUGAUCAACAGUACCAAUUCCAAAUCAUCCCAAGCAUUUGAACCGUCACCGCUGCUUGAAGUGGCCCGGAUUCUUCUGUCGCACCCAAAGUGUUCUCCAAGGGCCAAGGUCAUUCUUAGAUAUCCUUUCCAAGGAUGUCCGUCUGUGUAAAUCCUGAUCAUUUCGUCAACACCGGUGACUUCUUUUUCUCCUUUUUGUACCCCUGAAUUUUAGCUUGACAUUUUCAGGAGAUGUAAUUGUAUGUACCUGUCGCAAAUUAACCGAUUCGUUCUGACGUGUCGUUCUUCUUUUCCUUUUGUGGUGGUAGAACUUUCAGUCCUCUUACUGGGAGAAAGCAUGCUAUAUAAAGCUGAUAUUGCAUAGCAUGCUUGCAUGGUGUCAUCAAUGAAUUGAAUAUCCUUAUUUAGUUUACUUUUGAAGAUAAUGAAGGGAAAAUUACCAAAAAUGUUCUAAUUUUAUAGAACUUGUGUCAAUUUAGUAAUAAACUUUUUAAUAUGGCCAAUUUAGUUAUAAAACUUUUAAAAAAUUUGUCAAUAUAAUUUAUCCGGCCAAUUUUGACAAAAAAACUAUUGGCAUUGAUAUCGUCUGUCGUACGUAGCACGGUCUGCACUUAUGUGAACAAGUUUUUUUAAUAAUUUUUUGAAUUUUUAAUUAAUUUUAUUAUAAUUUUAUAAUUUUUUUUUUCUUUUAUUUUUCCUUCUUUCUUUGCUGAUCAUUGGGCUUUGACAAUAGUUGGCAACCGGGCACAAGCGACUGGCGAGGGUCACCCUUAUUGGUCUCAAGCAAAAUCGCCCUCACUUGGAUUUGGAUGGGUGCUGUUUGGAAGUGACUUGGAUUCUUCUGUCACAUCCAAAGUGUUCUCCAAUGAUGAAGGUCAAUCUUAGGUAUCCGUUCCAAGAUGUUUGUCUAAACGUGUGCAUAAAUACUGAUUUUUUCAUCAACCCCUGAGUUUUGGCUUAACAUCCACGGGAGAUGUGAUUAAAUGUGCUAGAAAUAUUUAGGUAUCUCCUAUAGAUACUUGGGAUAUUUCUUAUGAUUUUUCAUAUCUAUUUUGACGUCAAAAUUUAUAGAAAUUCUAACUUGGUAUCAAAAGCAAGGCAGCGCUAUUCCUUUCAUGGAAUGUGCAUCCACCCCCCAUUAGUCAAAAUUCCACGCCAAGGGAGGAUACUUGAAAUAAAAAAAAAAAAAAAUCCCAUUUUGUUUGUUCAACUAGAAACUUUUAGCUCAGCUUAAUAUUAUUUCAUGAACUUACAAUGCGUCAGUCUCGAAAAGCAGUUAGUAAGGUUGAUUACCUAAGUGAACAGCACAGGUUCACAAGCCCUCACUCUUGCCUUGUACCAACAUUCCAAAAGUUUUAGGAUUAAUACCUUGAAAAAUCUCAAACUGGUACAUCUGUGACAAAUUUACCCAAAAUUAUUUUUUUGACCAUGAAAAAUCUCAAAUUGGUACACCAAUGACAAAUUUACUCCAACUGACCAUAAAAAAAAAACCAUAAACUGAUAUAUUUAUGACAAAUUUACCAAAAACUAAUUUAUUCGAUCGCAAAAAACCAUAAACUGGUAAAUUUGUGACAUAUAUACACUUCGCUAAAUUGGAUUAAUACCACAAAAAAAUUACAAAAAUUGUAAACUAUGACAAAUGGAACGUAAAAUUGUAAAUUGGUAUACCAGUCAACUGUCACGUGUCAUUUAACUUAAUCAAAAUUUAAUGAAAACUAACAGAAAGUAAAUUUGUCACAUAUGUACCAGUUUGGGAUAAAUUUGUUAAAGAUAUACCAAUUUGGGGUUUUUAGUGGUCAAAAAAAUAGUUUGGGUUAAAUUUAUUACAUGUGUACCAAUUUAAGGUUUUUCAGGGUAUUAACCCAAAGUUUUAUGAAGUGCAUCAUCCAGUGCAUUGAACUAGAAGAAGCCACAAUCUCACUCAAAGAUUCAUGGAAGUACAAAUGUUGGAUUAUGGUUAUAGGAUUUAUCUAUCAUAAAAGAACAAGUUUGUUGGUAGAGGUUGUGAUUAAAAAAAAAAAGAGGUUGUGAUUAAGUUACUAACAUUUUUCUACAAAAAAAAAAAAAAUUACUAAUUUCUAUUUGAUUAUUUCCGAAUUUUCAACUUCUGCAAUAAGUUAUCAAAAUUUGUUUACAUAAUUUGCAGUUUUAGAGUUAUAUCUCCACUCUGGUAUCAAAUUACGAAUUCUAAUUUGAAAGAUUUACGAACCAUUCGCAUUCAAGUUACCAAAUAAUUUGAAGAUACCAAGUCUUAUUGGAUUGACUUAUCAAUAUUUUUGUGGUUGUUUUCAAAUUAUUAACUUUUAAUUUAGUAGCUUAUUAUGUUUUAAAUUAACAAAUUCUUACAUAAAAUUAUAAACCAUAAUUUCAGUAACUCACAAGCUUAACCCAAAUUUGAGUGACAUACAAACUUUUUUUUGGUGAUUGAUUUCCAUUUAUAUUUGAGUGACUUAUUGAUAUUUACUUAAUUUACUUGGUUGUGCCGACAAAAGCGCAUUAUUAUAUUGUUUUAAAAUUUCAAACAUUUAUUUGCGUAAAUAAUUUAACAACGAUUUAGAGGUACAAACUCUUAUAUCAAACUACCAACUUUGAUACCAAAUUAAUGGCCUUAAUUUGAAUAAUUAACCGACUUUUAUACGAUUGCUUUACCUUCACUUUGUAUUAUCAACCUUUUUCUCCGUAACCUUUACUUCAUUGUUUCCAAAUUACCAAAUUUUAUCUCCAAUAGAUACUAACAUUUUCAAGCUAAUUUUUUUUAUCAAAUUACCAAUCUUAAUUUAACCGACUUGCCAAUUUUUUUCUAAUAAGUUACCGACUAGUUUAAGGUUAUUAACUUCUACCCGUUUGAUUUAUCUAAGGUUUUUCGAUUAUUUGUAUAAUAAAUAAGAAUGCAUUUACCCACCCCGUGGUAGGCGAGUUGAUUAGGGCGCACGUUGGCCACACGAUGGCUAGGGUUCGAUUCCCCUCCUCAUCACAUUGCGCGACUUAAAUGGGGUGCUGUGGGAGGUGGGUCCCCGCGCUAGUGCCUCCCGGGUUUACAUCGCCGGCUGUUCUCAGGUUACAAAAGAGAAAAAUAAAAAAAUAAAAUAAAAAUAAGAAUGCAUUUGAUUGUUUCAAAAUUAUUUCAUAAUAAGUAACUUAUCUAUUUGCAUAACUUACUAAUGUUUUAAAUUUAACAACUCAUAUAUCAAAUUGGCAACCUUAAUUUGAGUGGUUUAAAAGGAUUUUCUCGAUUAUUUAUUACUAGAUUUAGGUUGUCAAUUCUUAUUUGAGUAUUCUAUCAAUAUUUAUUAUGAUGUUCUGACAAAGAGAAAAAUGAAAAGAGUACAUGAUUCCGACUCUUGUAAUAACUUAUCAACUUUUAUAUGUAUAAACAAAAAAAAUGAGUCCUACCUUGUGGUAUCUAUGAACUUAUAACUUCUUGGGAAGAAAUAGAUGUACAUGAUCAUCUCAAUGUUUUGCAAAUUCGAUCAUUUUAUUUAGGGGAUAGCUAUAGGAUUAUUGUACGAAGGAGUUUGGUUGCGGUAUUCAUUUCUGCUUGCCCUAGCAAUGAGUAUUUCCUCGAAGCCUGGCUAAUAAGACUUAAUCUCACUGGCUAUCUUUUCAAAGCUUUGAUGUUAAUUUGCGUUAGAUGAGAGAAAGAGCACACAUUUUGCGCAUUAAAAGAAUGUACAAAACAAAUGAAAUGUGUCUAAUAGAAACAUAAUUAUAAAAUAAUUUCGUCAAUUUACAAAAAUAAUCUUAAAUUAUUCUAUUAUAAGAAAGAUUCAUAUUCUAAUUUAAAAAUAUUAAAGAUUUAUCUUGUUUUAAUCGUAUUUUACAUUUGGAUGGCGAUUUGGACAUCAUUCGGUAUUGAGUGAUUGUGAUUUAUCUUUACAACCUACAUGGGUUUUCAUGGAAUUUAUUUUUGUUUGGAAACGGCCUUUGAUUUGCUUUAUACUAUGCGGAGAUGACCAGAAAGAGCACACUCUUAUGCAUGUUGAAAAUGACAAAGGAAUUCAUAGAUUUUUUGGGGAGAAAGAGAGUUUUAAGAUGCAAAUUAAUUUAGCAGAGAAUAUAUGUUUUUAUUUUUGUUUUAUUCUAUCUUUUUUUUAUUGGUUAAAGAGAAUUUGUUGAAAUAAAAAAAUAUUUCAUUUAUAUUUGAAGACACUUUCUCUAGUUUAUCCAUUUUUCCAAUUUUAAAUUCAAGAAAAAAACAAAUUUUCUGUAAACUGUUACUUUAUCUACGUUCUGACAUUUAAAUUAAAGAUAAAAGUUAAGAGAUGAUAAAUAAAUAAGCUAAAAAGCUUACUAGUCAAAUACGGGCCACAUGGCAAAAUAAUGUCAUGUGUUUUGCCAUGUGGCAAAUGUAGAUGAAAAAAGUUGUGUCAUAUGACGAUCACAAAAGCGAGAAUUCUCUCGGCUCUGGCCUUAAUUAUAUAUAAAAGGAGAGGAUUUCGCCUCUUAAUCAAUAUUACAAGAUUGUAAUGUACCAAAGGAUAUUUUAUGGCAUUUAAUGGUAAAAUUUUGAUAUUGAAAUCCUCCUUUGCAUUCAUUUUUUAUUAAAUAGAGAUAUUUGCAAAUGUUAUUAUAUAAUAUAAAUAGAGUUAGAAGUGUGUGGACCCAUUACAUAUUGCUCGGUCUAGUUCAACCUUUGGAAUAUAUGCUUUGCAUUUUUAUGCUCUCAUUGGCUCGAUGCAUCUUUUCAAAUUGAAUAGAAAUUUGAUAGAUCUCUGUGUAGUAAAAUAAAAAAGAGAAAUCAUUUUGAUUUGAGGCAAAUCCCUUUUCAAUUUGCCUUAUAAACUCAUCAUUCAACCCAAAUUUAUUGAAAUGAUUCAUGGGCCGCCUCAUAUUUAGCGGGCCUAGCCACCUCAUAUUUAGCGGGCCUAGCCAUAAUGGGUUUUAAAAUGAAAGGCCCAAAACAAAUCGAUUUUUUUUUUUUUUUUGUCUAUAAAAUGAAUCAAUUUAAAUGGAUAUAUUAUGAAUCCAUUCCCAACUCACCUGAUAAACAAGGCUCUCUUCAUUCUUCAUAAGAACUUCUACAUUCUUCUAGACCUGACUCUCUUAUCUGUCUCCCUCUUUGGUUCCACAUAUUUGACUCGGUAUUGGUCGUGACAUUAAAAUGAAGGGUUAAUACCAUGAAAAUCUAAAAUUGAUACACAUAUAAUAAAUUUAUCUCAAAUUAAAUUCUUAAUUACCAAAAACCCUAAAUUGAUACCUUUGUAACAUAAUUAUCCUUAGUUAAUUUUUAUUAAAUUGGAUUAAUAUCACGAAAAAUACAAAUUAGUAUACAUGUGACAAAUGGAAAUUAAAAAUCCCAAACUAACAUACUUGUCAACUGUCACAUGUUAUCAAAUUUAGCAAUUUAAUAGUAAAAUUUAAUGAAAAUUAAUUAAAAGUAAAUUUAUCAUGAUGUAUCAGUUUGAGGUUUUUAAUAAUAUUAAUCCUUAUUAAUUAAUUUAAAUUUCUUUUAUUAAGAUAGAAUCGGGCUGAGUUCGUGACCGAUCCAUCUCGUUACUCGACCCGAGAGCACAAACAAUGCGACAAAGCAUCGAUGACGGGGAAUCUGCUUCUCUUUCUUCUUCUGCUUUGCUUUGCUUUCUGUGUCUAGUCAUCUCGUUACUCGACCUGAGAGCACGAAUUUGACUCGCCAGAGUUCAUGACAUUAAAAUUAUGGGUUAAUACCAUAAAAAUAAAAAAAAUAGUAUAUUUAUGACAAAUUUACUCUAAAUUAAAUUUCUUAUUCUCAAAAAUUCUAAAUUGAUAUAUUUUUAAUAUAUUUUACCCUCCAUUAAUUUUUAUUAAAUUAGAUUAAUAACAUGAAAUAUCAUAAAUUAGUAUACUUAUGAUAAAUAGAGACUUAGAACCCUUAGGGCGCGCAUGACAAAAUUUCUGGAAUAUAAAUUAAUUUUUGGUCAAAAUUUGAUUUCUCAAUUUUUAUUCUAUAGACGAGUUUCUGAGUAAAGAAACACGUUUGAUAACAAUUCAAAAUUUCUAAUUUUGAAAUAAAAAUUCGUUUGAUAAUAAAAUAAAAUUUAUAUUUCUAGGAGUGGUAUUGACCAGCGUUUGGGGGCUAGAGUAUGAUGUUCGGUGAGCAGCGUUCAGUGUCCGGUGACUAGUGGCGGGCAGUCAAAAUCCAAAGUUUGACGUUCGGCGUCUGGCAGUAGGCGGCCAAAGUCCGGAGUCCAACACCGGAGUUCGGCAAUUGGCAACCGUCGUCCAACGUUCGGAGUUCAAUGUCUGACGUCCGACAUCCGGAGUUUGGUGACAGGAGGUCGGUGGCCAGUGGCCAGUGGCUAGAGUUUGGUGACGGGUGGCGGGCGGCCGACAUCCAACAGCUGGUGGCGAGCGGCAGACAGUCACCGACAAACAUCCGGUAGUUGGUGGUGAACCUCCGGCAUCCAAUGAUUGGCGAUGAGCAGCCAAUGACCGGUGGACGUUCGGCAUUCGACAAUUGGUGAUUGGUGACGGACGGUCGAACUGCAGUGGCCGGUAGCUAACGGCUAGUGGUUGGGGCCUAUCGCGGGCGGGCGGGCAGCGAGCAAUCGAGUAGCGGGUAUUCGGUAUCCCAUGGGCAGCAAGUGGGUGAUGGGUGGUGACAAAAAUGAACGAUGAGCAAAAUUUUGAUUUCUCAUUUCCGUUUUAGAAAUAGAUAAGCUAAAAAUUUUAACUUCUGAUUUUUGCUCCAAAUUUAUUUCUGGAAUAUAAAUCUAUUACAAAAAUAGAAAAAUGAAAUUUCGUUACCAAACGAAUUUAUGUUCCAAAUCUGUUCUGGUGAACAGAAAAAUAGAGAAAUAGAGAAAUAUAAAUUUUAUCAUGCGCGCCCUUAAAUUAAUAUAUUCGUCAAUUAUCCUGUAUCAUUUAAUUUAGCAAUUUAAUGGUAAAAUUUAACUGAAAUUAAUUAAAAGUAAAUUUGUACCAAUUUGUAUUUUUAAGGGUUAAAGAAUUAAUUUAAAAAAAAUUAUCACUCAUGUACUAGUUUGGUAUUUUUCAUAAUAUUAACCUUUAUAAUUAAUUUUAGGGAAAAAACCAUGAAAAACCCUUAACUUUACUCAAAAUGACAAAUUUACCUAAUUUUUUUUUGUGACGUGAAAAAUCCUGAACUUUGCCAAUCGUGACACAUUUUCCCCAAACUUUUUUUUGUGACACAAAAAACUUAAAACUUUUAUCAUAUGACAUAUUUACCCCCAAAUUAUAGGGCAUUUUGGUCUUUUUACUUUUUAUUUAUUUUUUCUUCUUCUUCCCUCCACCGGCCAUGGCCGAGUUCGUGACCCGACCGCAUACCGCGAACCAAGCGACCAAGCGUCAAUGACGGGGAAUCUUCUUCGUUAACUAGCUUCUAACGUUAAACAGAUGGUCUGUCUUGCCCGAUCUUCUCAACCUGCGUCUCUCUCUCUUUUCUCUCUCUUCCCAUUCCUAUUCGGCCAAAUCAUCGACCGUCUCUUCUGGGUUUUCGAGGGCUCUUGUGGGAGCGUGGGAGGAUUUGUGGGCUUGGGUUCUUGAAGUCGGCGUUGGUUGUAUUGAGGGGGCGGGUGGGCGUGUGCUGAUCGGUGCUUAUUGCUUGUGUUAAGUCCCGUGCGGCUGUUUGUUGUUGAGGUUUCUGAGGAGUGGAUACGAUGGAUGACGCUAACCGGAGGGCGAUGCCGCCCGGUGGUGGAGUAGGCGGGGGCGCUGGAGCUGUGCUUGACAGGGGCGAUUGGAGGGCUCAACUGCCGCCCGAGGCACGGGAGAGGAUUGUCAACAAGAUGUGAGUGCUCUUUCCUUUGCUUGGGUUUUAUCGUUUUCGUAGGGAAAAUGUGGAGUUUAUGAUGGAUGGUUGCUUAGGGACGAUUGCCGAGGGUUUAGUAUGUUAAAUAAGUAAUGGUUUUACAAUAUGGUCAUGUUGCUAGGUCGAGGCGCAACAUGAAUUCUGAGGUAGCUUUUGCUGUAAUUUUUUUCUCGUUGGAUAGUUUAGUUAAGUCUCAAUAUGGGAUUUAGUGGGUAUGCAGGCCGGUAGCUCUUGUUACAUUGGUGAUUAUAUAAGAUAAGAAGAUGGUUGUAUUUCUUUCUUGAUUGAAAUAGAUUAUCUCCUAGUUUUGUACACAACCAGGAGGGUUUACCAUAGUAUUUAGAUUAUCAUAGUCGCAGAGGUAAGGCCAUGUGCCUUUCUGGCAGGAGAACGGUUACUGGAUGAUCGCCUAUUAUGUUUGUGACAGAAAUCUACUUAUCCAGAGCCUAAGGAUUUUUAAGCAUCUUAUUGCUUGUUAGUUGUGUUAUUCUCUAUUAAUCUUGAAUUUGUUUUUCCCCUUUCCAAUUCAAUAGCAUCGCUAUAGUCAUUGUAGGGGUUGAAGGUCCAAAAGUUUUCCACAGAAAACUUAAUCCUCACCUACCUUGAGGUGCAAUGCUUGAACUCCCACCCAUACUGCUUGUAAUAGGAGGAGAUGCUGUCAAUGCAUGUGGGUUAGGUAUCGCCAAAAUUUUAUAGGUUUGUGAAUUCUUGUAUGUGUUUUUGAAUCAUUUCUCAGUUUGCUUUCUCAUCUGGGAGAAAGCUAAUCGUAAUUUGUUGAACAAUAUGCAACUUGCACGGGAUUCUUUUAUCUACUAUCCAUUGGAUUUUAUGACUAUGUUAGGAUUACGUAAUUUCAGCUCUGUUAUACACUGGAUUUUGUGACCAUCUCCCGCAAACCAUCUCUUCUGAACUUUUAUCCUUUUCUUACCCACUCUCAACUCCUGACUCUCUUCCAGCCCUUGACCUCUCUGUUUUCCAGCUCUGGCGAGCUCCCUAACCUCCAUUGACCACCCUGAACUCUGGCGAGCCAUUGAUGAGGGCCCCCAUUGGCUAUGUAGGCUCUUUUCCUCUUCUUUUCUAUUGUUGUUUGCUUUCUCCAAGAUGUUGAAGACUUUUCCUCUCAUCUUCUUUGCCAUGUGCGAUUGUUGAGGCUGGUUUUGUCGUGAGAGACCUACAAGGUAAAAGGGCUUUUUGUGGAACGAAAAUCUUUUGAGCUUGUGUUAGAGGUCAAAAAGGAGGAAUUGUUAAGAGUGACAAGAGUAUGCCAGAUGGAGGAGACCUCUAUAUUGAGGACUUUAAAAUGGUGGAUGGAUUACCAUGCAGUUGUAGAACCUGGUAAAACAGGUGUAUGGGGAAUUAGAUGUUGUAGUUGGAAGAAGUACCAGCCUUCCAAACAUGUGGUGGCAUUGUAGUGAUGUAGAAUGAGAAAUCGGGCAACUUAGGAGAUUGUUUAGUGGGCCAAUUUAGUGUCCCGUGCCUGUUUUGUGGUGCAGAAGUGGGGAAGAGUGGGUGUUUACUGGGGUGUAUGGUCCUGGAGUGGGUAGUGCUAGGAGUUCUUUUGGGGAUUAAUUCUCUGAUAUUAAAAGUAAAUGGGGAGUGCAGGGAGAGUUCAACGUGGUAUUGUUUCCACAUGAACAGGAUGGGAUUGGUACAGACAGAGCCUGCAUGAGGGAAUUUUGGCAGAUCUUAGACACCUUUUGCCUGAUUGGCUUGUUGUUGGUAGGUUGGGAGUAUACUUGGUCCAGGGACUGGGAGAGGCUAUCCUUUUUACGCUUUGAUGGGUUCUCAGUUUCAACAACAUGGGAGGGUAUCACCCAAACUCGAGUCAAAAGUUACCUCAAGUGACCUCAGACCACCAUAUAAUUGUGUUAGAGGAUAGAGUUAUUGAAUGGGCCCCCACUCCUUUCCAGUUUGAGAGUAUUUUUCUCAAACUAGAAGAUUUCAAGUAGGUAGUUAUCAAUUACUGGAAGAAUAGUUCUUUCAGGGUGUAGGCCAGCUUCACUUUUGCUUCAAAGCCCAAGGGGCUAAGAUAUAUUCUGAAACAUGAAGUCAUGAGAAGGUUGGAAAUAUGGGAAACAAUAUGAAAGAGACAAUUGAAGAAGUUGAAGAGCUUAAGGAUAAGGAGAUCCAGAUGACUUUAAUAGAGGAAGAGCAUUUUAGGAGAAUGGAAUUUAAAGAGCUCUUGCGCUGUUGAUUCAAAUGGAAGAGACCUCCUGGAGACAUGUCUUGGGAGAUUUGGCUUGAUGAUGAUGAGAGAAACACAAAGUCCUUUGAAAGAUGGCCAAUGCUCAUUGAAGAUAUAACUUCCUCAGUAAGUUGGAAGUUUUUGGGAUGGCUGUUGAACAUUUAAACGCCAUGAGUGCGUGGUUAUCUAGAAUUCUAUGCUGAUUCAUGCAGGGAGAGAUGUUUUGAGUGACCGGAAAUGGAGGCUUCUCUUGAUCCCACUAUGGUUGAGAUGCUGCAAAUGCCUUUCCAGGGGGAAGAGAUUAGAAGGGCAAUCGUGGAGUGUAAUGGAGAUAAGGCACUAGGUCCUGAUAAAUUUACGUUUAAAUUUUUGGCGAGAAUUGGAGAUUGUUAGCAAUGACCUUCUAAAGGAGUUACAGAGUAGGGGGCAAGUUUGUAGAUAAUCUUUAUUAUACAUUCUUAAUUCUCAUUCCUAAGGAGCCUGGUGCAACGAAUGUUACAGAUUUUCAGCCUAUAAGCUUGGUCGGUAGCAUCUAUAAGAUUUUUGCCAUAGUUCUUGCUGGUCAUUUGAAAAGGUUCUAGCUCACCUAGUAGGAUCUUUUAAAGACAGUUUUGUGGAAGCUCGUCAAACAUUGGAUGCUAUUCUUACUGCCAAUGGUCUCAAGGAAAGAAAAGUAGGAGUGCUUUUCAAAUUGGACCUGGAGGAGGCCUAUGAUCAGGGAUCAUGGGAGUAAUGUAUGUGUAAAGAAAAAUGUAUUUCUUCUUUUGUCAUUUUUGUUGGUGGAGAUGGAUUUCAAAAUGCAUUUCUUCACUGAUUUUCUUGGUUAUGGUGAAUGGCAGUCCAAGAGGUCUCUUAAGUAUUCUAGAGAUUUAAGGCAGUCCUCUGUCACUUUUGUUGUUUGUGUUGGUUUUGAAAGUGUUGAGCAAGAUGCUAAUUAAAGCUACUGACGAAGGUUAGAUUGGUGGUUUCACGAUUGACAAUGCUUGUAAUGAAGAUUCCAUAUUUAUUUUUUCAUUUGCGGAUGACGUCAUAUAUUUCUUGGAGGAUGACAUCAAACAAAUUUUACACUUAGAAGCAUACUGUUAUGUUUUGAGGCUGUCUCAGGACUGAAGGUGAAUUUGGGAAAAGAAUGAAAUAAUUCCUGUGGGCGAGAAUGUAAAUUUGCAAGAAAUGUCUGGGAGUAGUGAUUAUAAGUUUGCCAGCAUACCUAUAGAGUACUAGGGUUGCAGUUGGGAUGCACUUACAAAGCAAAAGCUGCGUGUAAUCUGAUGAUACAAAGAUUUGAGAAGAGUUUAAGUAGGUGGAAGAUGGCUUAUUUGUCCAUGGGAUGUAGACUUAUGUAGAUGAAGCAUGCACUUUUUAAUCUUCUGGUUUACUUUAUUUCUUUGUUUCCAAUCCCUAUUUCAGUGGCAAAAAGACUGGAGAGCAUACAAAAAAAGUUUCUUCAGGGAUAUUGGGAUGAUAAUCCGGGAUUUCAUUUAGUUGAUAGGAGUAUUGUAACACAAGCAGUUUCUAAUGGGGGAGUUGGGGGUAAAGUCAUUGGUUCUUGUAUGUAAAGCUUUGCUUCGACAAGGAUUGUGGAGAUUUAAUGGGGAGAAAACUAGCUCUUGGAGGAUGGCACUAGUUGCAAAAUUUGGUUUGGAAGAUUCAGAGUGGAUAACAAAGCCUGGUCGAGGAGCACAUGGGGUCGGGCUUCAGAAGCACAUUAGGUAAGGAUGGGAUGCUUUCAAAGACAGACUUUCUAUUAGAGUGGGAAAAGGUAGGCAUGCUAUGUUGCAUGAUGACAUCUGGUGUGGAGACACUGCUUUCAAAGACUUCUUCCUGGAUGCAUGUGCACUAGCAAGAAACUAGAUAGCUAGGGUGGCCAAUUGUUGAAAGACUGACAACGGAGAAACAAUGUGGUAAAGUAAUAUCUUACAUAGCGCUCAAGAUUAGAAGCCCAAAGCUUCUCAAAUUUUUUUUGAGUUGUUGUAUCGAGCAAUGUUAGAUGUGAGGACAAUAGGCUACGGUGGAAUUGUUGUACCUCUGGAACUUUUUCUGUCAAAUCCUACUAUUCCGAUCUCUCUUCUUGCUAUUACAACAGAGCACACUCUUCCCAUGGAAAUGUAUAUGGAAAGUCAUGGUUCCUUUGAAGGUUUCAUUUUUUGCUUGGCAAGCUGCUUGGGGAUGUAUUCUUACUUAAGAUAAUCUCUAGAAGAGAGGGAAAAUACUGGCCAAAAGGUUCUUUUUGUGCAAGACUGAAGAAGAGAACAUGAACCACUUACUUUUACAUUGGAGCUGGACCAGAAAGAUAAGGGCUACAGUUUUUGCAAUUUUAGGAGUAAAUUGAUUGACCUUAGGCACAGUGUGAUGUGAACUUUGGGCUUGGAGAGGGACUUUCAGUUCAUGUGUCGGAAAGAAACAGAUUACUAAGAUGAUUCCUCUCCUUGUCUUUUGGCUCAUUUCUUCACUUUUGGUAUAGCAGGAAAAUUCAAUUUCAUACAUCUAGUUUGUUGGAAAUGCUACAAAGUCUUUUAUGUGUUAUUUUGUAUGUGGUUUGGCUUCUAUUAUAAGCCGUUUUGUAGGGGAAGUACCCCCUCGGUACUUCUUGAUGAAAUCUUAUUUAUCUUUGAGAAAAAAAAUUAUUGGCCAGAAAUAAUUUCAGCUGAAGUACAAGUCUCUUUUGGUACGCAGAUUGGAGUAUUUGCUGAGACAUCAUCCUGUUUCUAAUCGAGAAGGUUUGCAAGAACUCAAUAAAAUUGCCUUGAGGUUUGAGGGAACUUUUUACGCUGCUGCAACAAGCCAGGUAUUAUUUGAUGUCCAUGUCCACUACGUGCAUCUCAUUCUCUUUGCUCUUAUCUUUAAUUGCUUUUUAUGAAGUGGCUCUGGAGCUAGUGCUUGCUUAUUUUGUGUGAAGUUUCUAUGUGGAUAGAGGAUGCAUAAACAAACUGGAUACGCUUUUGCUUAAAAAAAUUUUAGAACCUUUCUUUUGUUCUUAUAAUCUGUCGAGAAUUUCUAUGAUUUGUGCAUUUAUAUAGUAAGUGGAACUGUUUAAAUAUUUAAAUUUAGCUUUGCACCAGUGAGAUCAGGUUUGCUCAGUGCUGUGAUAUUGUACUUAAGUUUUAAGUUGCAGUUUUAAAUUGAUAUCUGCUUCAUUUUCUUUCUAAGUUGAUUAUUUAAUUUGUUUGGUCUGUUAUGAAGUAAUUUAAUGAUUUCUGCUUCCUUUCCCUUUUAGUCCGAUUAUAUAUGGAAGAUAUCUUUGAAGAUAUGGACAAUGGAGACAAAGUCUCAGAGUACCAGACCUUAUGCUCUGCCAUCUAACCCUGCUGGGAAUAGCUGUGAGGACUCGGGUACAACUUAAGUCCCUGUUACUUGAUACCAUUGAUGUAGGAGUUAGAAUUUCUGUUUUGUUAUCCCUUUAUAUAUUUACAGAUAUGUAUAUUUCUUCUUACACGUAUUUUCAUUUAUGUACUUGUACUAUUUUUUUUUGGGUAUAUUGUUUUUGGGGGACGUACAGCAAGAGUCCUAAAAUUAUUUUAUGAUAGAGCUCUUGAGUCUUAAAAAUUUCAUUUUGUGCACUUAAGUCCUAAAAUUUUUGACAGUCGUCCACUUUUGCUCAUUAGUUAGCUCUUUUAGGUUUUAGUUGACACAAAAUCUAUGUGGAUUUUUUUUUUUAAUUAACGGCCACGUUGGAUAAAAGAUAAUAAGAGAAGUCAUGUGGGCAUCCUUCUGUCCCCCUUAAAUUUGACGAGGGAAACGAAAUGACUCCAGUUGAUAGACUUUCAAAGUUUGUUUUGACUUAAAUGCAUGAAUAGAAAGUUUUAGGAGUUCAAGCACAUUAGCAUAACAAAAAUAGGAAUUGACCCUGGAAUUGUCCUUUUUUGGGGCUUUACAUAGUACACGUUUGUAUACCCACUGCAACCCGGUUGGGGGGAUUUCGAUUUUCUACCCUGAAGUCAAUUUCUUUUUCCAAUCUUCCUUAUUUGUAACCUCGAAUGCACAUUUAUAACAUGGGCAGUAGCACAUUUGAAUUUCUUUGUUUCAUUUGAAACCUAUUGAUUUAAAAAUGGGUAGAUCUCUGUUUUUUUUUUUCUUUCAUAGAAUCAGAUAUGCAUUUGUGAAGUUCAAGUUUUUCAAAGAGUGGUAGCAAGCUUCAUUUUAACUAGAAAGGGCCAUAUGUUUGCAUCUUUUGUAACUUCCUCCCACUUCUUUGUCUCAAAUUUUCUUUUUUAGAAGUGAUUCUCUCUGAUGGCCUUGGAGGAUGCAUGCUUGCCAAAUAUGAUUCACUUUUCUCUUUAUGUUUUUGUUUUCUGUAAGAUUUCAAGAUUAAUUCAAGUACAUGCACUUCACGAAGAUUUUUAUUUAGUACUUGCUGAAAAGAAAAAGAGAGUAAGAUUUUUAUCUUUUUUUGCGUAUCCAUUAUCCAUCUAGAAUCGCUUGCUCAGAAAGUUUCAAGUUGGAGUAAUUACAUAGUGCUCCAAAGUUUGUCCUCGGUGUGCAUCUAUCCCUCAUUCCUUUCAUCUUCUUGUGCUAUUUGCAGUUAAUGCUGCGAUGCAUGUAUUGAUCUUUUUUUUUUUUUUGAUUCACUAACAUGUAGAUUUUGUAUGUUAUCUCGAGUUAUGCAUCCACAAAUUCAAAGCCAAAGCCAACCAAUUCCUAAUGCCUUAGCUGUGGAUCAGCCUCAAGCAGGUCAACAGUAGUUGGUUCGGAAUACUCAGAAUAAUUGUUCCUUGGCUUCAGCCUGGUUUGGCCAGCCCAUUAAUCAAAUAAGUCUUGCCUCCACUCCUAAUCAAAUCUCUCUCUCUCUCUCUCUCUCUCUCUCUCUCUCUUCCUUAUUUUCUCUCUUGCCUCUUCCUCUUGUGCAAUUUUCUCUGCAAAUUCUUACACUUUAGUGGACUUUGUCACUCUCUUGCUCUUUAAAUUUUUGACUCUCUUCAACCGUCUCCAUUCUCUAAGGAUGCGUUUGGAAAAAUGUCUGUUCCUGAAAAUAAUUUUUUUGGUAAAGUGUUCCUGAAAAUAAUUUAUUUUCAGAAAUAGUUCUUUUUUAUUUCUACUCUCUGGAAUGGUUUUUGAGUGAAACAACGCAUUUGGUAACUGAAUCUAUUAUCGGAAUAGAAAAAGAACAUGAAUGUAUUUGGUAGGACGUACAAGUUUUUUUGCGACGUAAAAUUUCUUUUAACUUUUUAAUAAUUUUUUGAUAUAUAUAUUUUUUUCCCUUUCUUCUUUCUUUACUGGCGGGCGGCGGGUGGUGAGGAAGAAGAAAAGAACAAAAAAGAAGAAGAAAGAAAAUGACUUAUUUUUAGAAAUUGUUUUUAGGAAGAAGAAGCUACUUUUUUCUACUUCUGUUCCAAAUCUAUUCCCUAAUCACUUAGAAAAAUUAAAUGACAUUACUAAAUGGAUUUUUGUUCUUUUUCUAUUCCAUAAAGCAAAAGAACAAAAAAACAUAGGAAUAGAAAUGUUACCAUGUUGAGCCUAAGUAGCCUCAAGCUUUUCUCUAGAGUUUUAGAUCUCUAUCCUUCACAAGCUCUCUUGGUUCACUCUUCAAUUUUUUUUUUCUUGAAGAAAGGCCAGAAGACAUUUUGGGGUUUAGUUAAUUUCCUUUUGUGCUGAUCAGAGUUUAUAUAGUCUUCUUCUCACGUUUCUUGCCAACCUUACUCUUCAUCAUCAUCAGCAGGCAAAGGCAAAAUCUUGAACACUCCUCCAUCCAUGGCCAGUAUCAACAAUGGACUUUGCCAUCAGAAACGUGCACGAUUACCUCCUUCCAAUCAAAAUGAAAACCAGAAUCCAGUGGAUUACAUCAGCCAAUUGCCCAAUGACAUAAUCGCUCAUAUUUUCUCCUUCUUGACUACAAAAGAUGCCGUCAAAACUAGCGUCUUGUCCAAGCAAUGGCGUUCCACUUGGACCUCUAAUCAGUACAUGAGUUUCUCUCUGCCCCCUGGCAGUAGCUGGAAUCCCAAGAGCUUCAUCGCUUUUGUUGACUCAGUGCUGUUACGCUGCACUGCAAUUCAGGUGAAAAGAUUUCUCUUUGAUGCUCCUUACCUUGCCUUCAUGCAGUCAAGUCUUGAUACGUGGCUCCAGUUUGCCAUCAUGCAUGACGUUGAAGAGGUAUCGAUAACCCCACAUUAUUGGCAUUACAACAUUUAUGCGUUGCCGCAAAUCUUGUUCCUCUGCACCACACUAGUGAGUUUGUGCGUGUCCCAAUGCUGUUUUUCGGUGUUCAGUGCCGUGAAUUGGUGUUCGCUGAAGAUAUUGCGCAUUGAAUAUGCGGAGUUAAACGAUGAGGGAAUGGUGAGAGUUUUUAGUGGCAGCCCUGUUCUAGAGUUCCUUGAGUUGAAAAGUUGCCAGGGCGUCAAGCACAUAAUGGUUGAAUCAAAAAGUUUUAGAGAGUUGGUGAUUGAUUCUCAUGAGUUUCGUCCUGGUCAAGGUUUGAUGUUGAAAAUUUGGGCUCCUCGUCUUCUCAAAUUGCGCCUAUUGGGCAAUUCUCAAGGGGGAGACUUUAGUCUAGAUGAAGUAUCUUCCUUGAUUGAGGCCGAGUUAAAUUUUAACAUGGAAAUUUGUGCACUCGAUAAGGUUAAGGCUCGUGCCGAUCUUGUCAAGGGGCUUCUCAAGAGACUGCAUCAUGUCAUGAAAUUAGUGAUGGGAAGCUGGUGCCUUCAGGUGCGAGCCGAUUCUUUAGCCCUAUUAUUCCUGGUUCAAGUUGCGGACGUGCAUUACACAUUCUGCCAUUUGCUUAGGAUAAAUCGUGAGAUUGUUUAUUGGUGCUUGAUGAUACCAUGCUCAUAAAUUGUUAUUUCAGAGAAACUUUUUCACCUUAUCAACGGGAUGUUUGCUGGAUGAGGCUUUUUUCCUUUUCAUAAAAGAACUUUACACACCUAAGCUGAUAUCACCUUUAUGGGUCCAGCAUUAUAUUGACUUUGAUAAGACUAAAAUCUGAUAUCCUUGUUUGCUCAUUCGUUUGGUCUGUUGGCUAUUGUGAGAGGUUUUUGGAAUUGCAAGCAUGUCUUACGUUUAAUCUUCUUUAGUGCUUAAAGAAAGUAAAGUGAUCAGUUUCUGCUUCUUCCACCACGAUGAUGUGCUUAGGCGCUGUCGCUAAUGGGGGCGAGAGAUAUGUUUCUUCCAUCCUUAGAAUGUCGGCAUCUGAUAUUACUCAGCACAGCAGGCCAUAAGAGAGUUCCGGAGGCUAUAGCAAAAAUACUUGAAAGUACGCGGCUUUUGGAGAAGUUAUUCAUACAAAUGACUUGCACACCCAAUUCUGCGGUACACGACUGCUAGAACCCUCUCAGUUCACUGGGUUAAUUUAACACCAGAUUUGCUUGAACAUAUACAGAUUGUGAAUUUUAGCCUUGGGCUGCAUAUAAACCUGUCAUUUCUUUUCUUCUUGUGAUUGAAAAUCAUUUUUGUACCUGUCUAUUUAAUUGACAUUUUGGAUUCUCAAUAGAUUUAUAUUUCUCUUGGUGUUGUAAAUGCUAUAUUAUACUCUCAGAGCUCGAUAUUUGUCUCAUCUAGUUCCAAAUGUGUAUCUCCUCAUUAGUCAUGAUGUUGUACAUCUGCAGAUUGGGUUGAAGGCGGAGAGGGCAGGCUGUCGCGUCUUUGCUGGAGAAGAAUUUUGGAAUUUGGUAAAGUGGAGGAUCUAUCAGUGUUUGAUGCAUCUCAGGCAUGUUGAGAUUGUUGAUGGCGGUGCCAGUCUGCUGGCAUGGGAACCUGUUCUUUCUCUCCUCAAGUUUCUCCUCCAGAAUGCACUUUGGCUGGACAAAAUAGUGAUCAACAGUACCAAUUCCAAAUCAUCCCAAGCAUUUGAACCAUCACCCCAGCUUGAAGUGGGCCGGAUUCUUCUGUCGCACCCAAAGUGUUCUCCAAGCGCCAAGGUCAUUCUUAGAUAUCCUUUCCAAGGAUGUCCGUCUGUGUAAAUCCUGAUCAUUUCGUCAACACCGGUGACUUCUUUUUCUCCUUUUUGUACCCCUGAAUUUUAGCUUGACAUUUUCAGGAGAUGUAAUUGUAUGUACCUGUCGCAAAUUAACCGAUUCGUUCUGACGUGUCGUUCUUCUUUUCUUUUUGUGGUGGUAGAACUUUCAGUCCUCUUACUGGGAGAAAGCAUGCUAUAUAAAGCUGAUAUUGCAUAGCAUGCUUGCGUGGUGUCAUCAAUGAACUGAAUAUCCUUAUUUAGUUUACUUUCGAAGAUAAUGAAGGGAAAAUUACCAAAAAUGUUCUAACUCUAUAGAACUUGUGUCAAUUUAGUAAUAAACUUUUUAAUUUGGCCAAUUUAGUUAUAAAACUAUUAAAAAAUUUGUCAAUAUAGUCCAUCCGGUCAAUUUUGACAAGAAAUUAUUGGUAUUGAUAUAGCACGGCUUGCAUUUACGUGAACAAAUCUUUUAAUAUUUUUUUGAAUUUUUAAUUAAUUUUAAUAUAAUUUUAUAAAUAUAUAUAUUUAUUUUUUCUUUUUCUUUUUCCUUCUUCCUCUGCCAAUCAUUGGACUUUGACAUUGGCUGGCAACCGGGCACAAGUGACUGGUGAGGGUCACCCUUAUCGGUCUCAAGCAACAUCGCCUAGAUGGGUGCUGCUUGGAAGUGACCUGGAUUCUUCUAUCAUACCCAAAGUGUUCUCCAAGCAUGAAGGCCAUUCUUAGGUAUCUGUUCCAAGGAUGUUCGUUUAAACGUGUGCAUAAGUACUGAUGUUUUCAUUAACCCCUGAGUUUUGGCUUAACAUCCACGGGACAUGUGAUUGAAUGCGUUAGAAAUAUUUAGGUAUCUCCCAUAGAUACUUUGGAUGUUUCUUAUGAUUUUCCAUAUCUAUUUUGGUGUCAAAAUUUAUAGAAAUUCUAACUUGGUAUCAAAAGCAAGGCAGUGCUAUUCCACUUAUGAUUUUCCAUAUCUAUUUUGGUGUCAAAAUUUAUAGAAAUUCUAACUUGGUAUCAAAAGCAAGGCAGUGCUAUUCCUUUCGUGGAAUGUGCAUCACCCCCAUUAGUCAAAAUUCCACGCCAAGCGAAGAUACUUGAAAUAAAAACUCCCUUUCUGUUUGUUCAACUAGAAACUUUUAGCUCAGCUUAAUAUUAUUUCAUGAAGUUACAACAAGUCAGUCUCGAAAAGCAGCUAGUAAGGUUGAUUACCUAAAUGAACAGCAGAGGUUCACAAACCCUCACUCUUGCCUUGUACCAACAUUCCAAAAGUUUUAUGAAGCACAUUAUCCUUUGAAAAAUACUCUCUGUGUGCACUGAACUAGAAGAAGCCACAAUCUCACUCAAAGAUUCAUGGAAGUACAAGAGUUGGAUUAUGGUUGUAGGAUUUAUCUGUCAUAAAAGAACAAGUUUGUUGGUAAAAGGUUGUGAUUAAGUUACUAACAUUUUUCUACCAAAAAAAAAAAUACUAAUUUUUAUUUGAUUAUUUCUGAAUUUUCAACUUCUGCAAUAAGUUAUCAAAAUUUAUUUACAUAAUUUGCAGUUUUAGAGUUAUAUCUCCACUAUGGUAUCGAAUUUCCAAUUCUAAUUUGACAGAUUUACCAACCAUCCCCAUUCGAGUUACCAAAUAAUUUGAAGAUACCAAAUCUUAUUGGAUUGACUUAUCAAUAUUUUUGUGGUUGUUUUCAAAUUAUUAACUUUUAAUUUAGUAGCUUAUUAUGUUUUAAAUUAACAAAUUCUUACAUAAAAUUAUAAACCAUAAUUUCAGUAACUCACAAACUUAACCCAAAUUUGAGUGACAUGCAAACUUUUUUUUGGCGAUUGAUUUCCAUUUAUGUUUGAGUGACUUAUUGAUAUUUACUUGGUUGUGCCGACAAAAGCGCAUUAUUAUAUUGUUUUAAAAUUUCAAACAUUUAUUUGCGUAAAUAUUUAACAACGAUUUAGAGGUACAAACUCUUAUAUCAAACUACUAACUUUGAUACCAAAUUAAUGGCCUUAAUUUGAAUAAUUAACCGACUUUUAUACGAUUGCUUUACCUUCACUUUGUAUUAUUCUUCGUAACCUUUACUUCAUUGUUUCCAAAUUACCAAAUUUUAUCUCCAAUAGAUACUAACAUUUUCAAGCUAAAGUUUUUAUCGAAUUACCAAUCUUAAUUUAACUGACUUGCCAAUUUUUUUCUAAUAAGUUACCAACUAGUUUAAGGUUAUUAACCUCUAUCUGUUUGAUUUAUCUAAGUUUUUUCGAUUAUCUUUAUAAUAAAUAAGAAUGCAUUUACCCACCCCGUUGGUGGCAGAGAUGGUGGAGUUGCAUGCUGGCCACCCGCAAGGCUAGAGUUCAACUCCCCACCUCAUCAUUUGUGCGACUUACCUAUGGCCGUGGGAGGUGGGUCCCUGCGGGUCGCCCCGGGUUUACGCCGCCCACCGCUAGCUAUCGGCUAUACAACCCUUCCUGGGUCACAAAAAAAUAAAAAUAAAUAAGAAUGCAUUUGAUUGUUUCAAAAUUAUUUCAUAAUAAGUAACUUAUCUAUUUGCAUAACUUACUAAUGUUUUGAAUUUAACAACUCUUAUAUCAAAUUGCCAACCUUAAUUUUAGCGGUUUAAGAGGAUUUUCUCAAUUAUUUAUUACUAGAUUUAGGUUGUCAAUUUUUUAUUUUUUUUUUGUUGGUCAAUUCUUAUUUGAGUAACCUAUCAAUAUUUAUUAUGAUGUUCUGACAAAGAGAAAAAGGAAAAAUGAAGUAUAUGAUUCCGACUCUUGUGAUAUCAAUAUUUAUUAUGAUGUUCUUAUUUGAGUAACUUUUAUAUGUAUAAACAAAAAAAUGAGUCCUACCUUGUGGUAUCUAUGAACCUAUAACUUCUUGGGAAGAGAUAGAUGUAUAUGAUCAUCUCAAUGUUUUGCAAAUUUGAUCAUUUUAUUUAGGGGAUAGCUACAGGAUUAUUGUACGAAGGAAUUUGGUUGCGGGAUUAAUUUCUGCUUGCCCUAGCAAUGAGUAUUUCCUCGAAGCCUGGCUAAUAAGACUUAAUCUCACUGGCUAUCUUUUCAAAGCUUUGAUGUUAAUUAGCGUUAGAUGAGAGAAAGAGCACACAUUUUGCGCAUUAAAAGAAUGUAAAAAGCAAAUGAAAUGUGUCUAAUAGAAACAUAAUUAUAAAAUAAUUUCGUCAGUUUACAAAAAUAAUCUUAAAUUAUUCUAUGAUUAGAAAGAUUCAUAUUCUAAUUUAAAAAUAUUAAAGAUUGAAGAAAUUAUCUUGCUUUAAUCGUAUUUUACAUUUGGAUGGCGAUUUGGACAUCAUUCGGUAUUGAGUGAUUGUGAUUUAUCUUUACAACCUACAUGGGUUUUCAUGGAAUAUACUUUUGUUUGGAAACGGCCUUUGAUUUGCUUAAUACUAUGCAAAGAUAACCAGAAAGAGCACACUCUUAUGCAUGUUGAAAAUGACAAGGGAAUUCAUAAAUUUUUUGGGGAGAAAGAGAGUUUUAAGAUGCAAACUAAUUUAGCAGAGAACAUAUGUCUUUAUUUUUGAUUUAUUCUAUCUUUUUUUUAUUGGUUAAAGAGAAUUUGUUGAAAUAAAAAAUUAUUUCAUGUAUAUUUGAAGACAGUUUCUCUAAUUUAUCCAUUUUUCCAAUUUUAAACUCAAGAAAAAACAAAUUUUCUAUAAACUGUUGCUUUAUCCACGUUCUGACAUUUAAAUUAAAGAUAAAAGUUAAGAGAUGAUAAAUAAAUAAGCUAAAAAGCUUACUAGUCAAAUUCGGGCCACAUGGCAAAAUAAUGUCAUGUGUCUUGCCAUGUGGCAAAUGUAGAUGAAAAAAGUUGUGUCACAUGACGAUCACGAAGGCGAGAAUUCUCUCGGCUCUGGCCUUAAUUAUAUAUAAUAGGAGAGGAUUUCGCCUCUUAAUCAAUAUUACAAGAUUGUAAUGCACCAAAGGAUAUUUUAUGGCAUUUAAUGGUAAAAUUUUGAUAUUGAAGUCCUCCUUUGCAUUCAUUUUUUAUUAUAUAGAGAUAAUUGCAUAUGUUAUUAUAUAAUAUAAACAGGGUUAGAAGUGUUUGGACCUAGGGAAAAUUGUCCAAAAAGUUCUAAAUCUAUUGAAUUUUUAUCAAUUCAGUCAUAAACCUUUUAACUUUACCAAUCCAGUCAUAAAUCUUUUCAUUUCUUGCCGAUUCGGCUAGCCAAUUUUGACCAGAAAAUACUGACGUGAACAAUUUUUAAUAAUAUUUUAAUAUUUUUUUGAAUUAUUAUUAUUUUUUCUGUUUUUUCCUUCUUCUUUUUUUUCUUUUCUUGGCCUUUAAAAAUUGUCAAUGUCAACGCCGACAAUCCCACUUGGUACGGCUGGUGCCACAUCAACAUUUUUCGGCCAAAAUUGGCCGUAUAGACUGAAUCGGCAAGAACUGCAAAUGUUUAGGAUUAAAUUGACAAAGUUAAAGGAUUUAUAAUUAAAUUGACAAAAGUAUAAUCGAUUUAUAACUUUUUGGACAAUUUUUCCGUGGACCCAUUACAUAUUGCUCAGUCUAGUUCAACCUUUGGAAUAUAUGCUUUGCAUUUUUAUGCUCUUGUUGGCUCGAUGCAUAUUUUCAAAUUGAAUAGAAAUUUGAAAGAUCUCCGUGUAGUAAAAUAAAAAAGAGAAAUCAUUUUGAUUUGAGGCAAAUCCCUUUUCAAUUUGCCUUAUAAAGUCGUCAUUUAACCCAAAUUUAUUGAAAUGAUUCAUGGGCCACCUCAUUUUUAGCCGGCCUAGCAUAAUGGGUUUUAAAAUGAAAAGCCCAAAACAAAUCAAUUUUUUUUUUUUGUCUAUAAAAUGAAUCAAUUUAAAUGGGUAUAUUAUGAAUCCAACUCACCUUAUAAACAAGGCUCUCUUCAUUCUUCAUAAGAACUUCUACAUUCUUCUAGACCUGACUCUUUUGUCUGUCUCCCACUUCGGUUCCACAGAUUUAACUUGGUAGUGGUCGUGACAUUAAAAUUAAGGAUUAAUAUCAUAAAAAUCUAAAAUUGAUACAUAAGUCAUAAAUUUAUCUCAAAUUAAAUUUUAAUUAUCAAAAAUUCUAAAUUGAUACAUUUAUAACAUAGUUACCCUCAAUUAAUUUUUAUUAAAUUGAAUUAAUAUCACGAAAAAUCACAAAUUUAUAUAUAUGUGACGAAUAUAAAUUAAAAAUCUCAAAUCAAUAUACCUGUCAAUUAUUACGUAUCAUCGAAUUCAGCAAUUUAAUGAUAAAAUUUAAUAAAAAUUAAUUAAAAGUAAAUUUGUCGCGGUGUAUCAGUUUAAGGUUUGUAAUAGUAUUAACCUUUAUAAUUAAUUUUAUAUUUAUUUUAUUAAGAUAGAAUCGGGCCCAGUUCGUGACCGAUCCAUCUCGUCACCCUACCCGAUAGCACGAACAGGGCGACAAAGCAUCGACGACGGGAAGCCUGCUUCUCUUUCUUCCUCUGCUUUGCUCUGCUUUUUGUAUCCAGUCAUCGACCACCUUGCUAGCUUCUAACGUUGAACAGGUGGUUUGUCUUGCCCAAUCUUCUCAGCUUGCGUCUCUCUCUCUCUCUCUUCCCAUCGCUAUUCGGCCGAAUUAUCGACUGUCUCUUCUGGGUUUUCGAGGUGCUUUUGUGGGGACGUGGGAGGAUCUGUGGGCUUGGGUUCUUGAAGUCGGCGUUAGUUGUAUUGAGGGGGGCGGGGCGGGUGGGCGUGUGCUGAUCGGUACUUAUUGCUUGUGUUAAGUCCCGUGCGGCAGUGGGUUGUUGAGGUUUCUGAGGAGUCGAUACGAUGGAUGGCGCUGGAGCUGUGCUUGACAUGGACGAUUGGAGGGCUCAACUGCCGCCCCAGGCACGGCCGAGGAUUCUCAACAAGAUGUGAGUGCUCUUUCCUUUGCUUGGGUUUCAUCGUUAUCGUAGGGAAAAUGUGGAAUUUAUGAUGGAUCAUUGCUUAGGGACGAUUGCCGAGGGUUUAGUAUGUUAAAGUAAUGGUUUUACAAUAUGGUCAUGUUAUUAGUUGAGGCGCAACAUGAAUUCUGAGGUAGCUUUCGCUGUAAUUUUUUUCUCUUAGGAUAGUUUAGUUAAGUCUCAAUAUGGGAUUUAGCGGGUAUGCAGGCCGGUAGCUCUUGUUACAUUGGUGAUUAUAUAAGAUAAGAAGAUGGUUGUAUUUCUUUCUUGAUUGAAAUGGAUUAUCUCCUAUUUUUGUACACAAGCAGGAGGGUUUACCAUAGUAUGUAGAUUAUCAUAGUCGCAGAGGUAAGGGCAUCUGCCUUUCUGGCAGGAGAACAGUUACUGGAUGAUUGGCCUAUUAUGUUUGUGACAGAAAUCUACUCAUCCAGAGCCUAAGGAUUUUUAAGCAUCUUAUUGCUAGUUAGUUGUGUUAUUCUCUAUUAAUCUGGAAUUUGUUUUUCCCCUUUCCAAUUCAAUAGCAUCGCUAUAGUCGUUGUAGGGGUUGAAGGUCCAAAAGUUUUCCACAGAAAACUUAAUCUUCACCUACCUUGAGGUGCAUUGCUUGAACUCCCACCCAUACCACUUGUAAUAGGAGGAGAUGCUGUCGAUGCAUGUGGGUUAGGUAUUGCCAAAAUUAAAUAGGUUUGUGAAUUCUUGAAUGUGUUGUUCUGAAUCAUUUCUCAGUUUGCUUUCUCGUCUGGGAGAAAGCUAUUUGUAAUUUGUUGAACAAUAUGCAACUUGCGCCGGAUUCUUUUAUCUAUUAUCCAUUGGAUUUUAUGACUGUUAGGAUUACGUAAUUUCAGAUCUGUUAUACACUGGAUUUUGUGACCAUCUCUGGCAAACCAUUUCUUCUGAACUUUCAUCCUUUUCUUACCCACUCUCAACUCCUGGCCCUCUUCCAGCCCUUGACCUCUCUGUUUUCCAGCUCUGGCGAGCUCCCUAACCUCCAUUGACCACCCUGAACUCUGGCGAGCCAUUGAUGACGGCCCCCAUUGGCUAUAUAGGCUCUUUUCCUCUUCUUUUAUAUUGUUGUUUGCUUUCUCUGAGAUGUUGAAGACUUUUCCUCUCAUCUUCUUUGCUGCGUGCGAUUGUUGAAGCUGGUUUUGUUGUGAGAGACCUACAAGGUAAAAGGGCUUUUUAUGGAACGAAAAUCUUUUGAGCUUGUGUUAGAGGUGGAAAAGGAGGACUUGUUAAGAGUGACGGAGUAUGCCAGAUGGAGGAGAUUGUCGAUAUACCUCUAUAUUGAGGACUUGAAAUGGUGGAUGGAUUACCAUGCACUUGUAGAACCUGGUAAAACAGGCAUAUGGGGAAUUAGAUGUCGUAGUUGGAAGAAGUACCAACCUUCCAAACAUGUGGUGGCAUUGUAGUGAUGUAGAAUGAGAAAUCAGGCAACUUAGUAGAUUGCUUAGUGGACAAAUUUAGUGUCUCGUGCCUGUUUUGUGGUGCAGAAGUGGGGAAGAGUGGGUGUUUACUGGGGUGUAUGGUCCUGGAGUGGGUAGCACUAGGGGUUCUUUCGGGGAUUAGCUCUCUGAUAUUAAAAGUAAAUGGGGAGUGCGGGGAGAGUUCAACGUGGUAUUGUUUCCACAUGAACCGGAUGGGAUUGGUACUGAAAUAGCUUGCAUGAGGGAAUUUUGGCAGAUCUUAGACACCUUUUGCCUGAUUGGCUUGUUGUUGGUAGGUUGGGAGUAUACUUGGUCCAGGGACUGGGAGAGGCUAUCCUUUUCACGCUUUGAUGGGUUCUCAGUUUCAACAACACGGGAGGAUAUCACCCAAACUCAAGUCAAAAGUUACCUCAAGUGACCUCAGACCACCAUAUAAUUGUGUUAGAGAAUAGAGUUAUUGAAUGGGCCCCCACUCCUUUCCAGUUUGAGAGUGUUUGGCUCAAACUAGAAGAUUUCAAGUAGGUAGUUAUCAGUUACUGGAAGAAUAGUUCUUUCAGGGUGUAGGACAGCUUCACUUUUGCUUCAAAGCUCAUGGGGCUAAGAUAUAUUCUGAAACAUGAAGUCAUGAGAAGGUUGGAAAUAUGGGAAACAAUAUGAAAGAGACAAUUCAAGAAGUUGAAGAGCUUAAGGAUAAGGAGAUCCAAAUGACUUUAAUAGAGGAAGAGCAUUUUAGGAGAAUGGAAUUUAAAGAGCUCUUGCGUUGUUGAUUCAAAUGGAAGAGACCUCCUGGAGACAUAUCUCUUGGGAGAUUUAGCUUGAUGAUGAUGAGAGAAACACAAAGUCCUUUGAAAGAUGGCCAAUGCUCAUUGAAGAUAUAACUUCCUCAGUAAGUUGGAAGUUUUUGGGAUGGCUGUUGAAAUGUAAACGCCAUAGUGUGUGGUUAUCUAGAAUUCUAUGCUGAUUCAUUCAGGGAGAGAUGUUUUGAGAGACCGGAAAUGGAGGCUUCUCUUGAUCCCAAUAUGGUUGAGAUGCUGCAAAUGCCUUUCCAGGGGGAAGAGAUUAGAAGGGUAAUCGUGGAGUGUAAUGGAGAUAAGGCACUAGGUCCUGAUAAAUUUACGUUUAAAUUUUUCGCGAGAAUUGGAGAUUGUUAGCAAUGACCUUCUAAAGGUGUUCCAGAGUAGGGGGCAAGUUUGUAGAUAAUCUUGAUUGUACAUUCUAAAUUCUCAUUCCUAAGGAGCCUGGUGCGACGGAUGUUAAGGAUUUUCAGCCUAUAAGCUUGGUCGGUAGCAUCUUUAAGAUUUUUGCCAUAGUUCUUGCUGGUCAUUUGAAAAGGUUCUAGCUCACCUGGUGGGAUCUUUUCAAGACAGUUUUGUGGAAGCUCGUCAAACAUUGGAUGCUAUUCUUACUGCCAAUGGUCUGGAGGAAGGAAAAGCAGGAGUGCUUUGCAAAUUGGACAUGGAGGAGGCCUAUGAUCAGGGAUCAGGGGAGUAAUGUAUGUGUAAAGAAGAAUGUAUUUCUUCUUUUGUUGUUUGUGUUGGUGACCAAUGGUGGAGAUGGAUUUCGAAAUGCAUUUCUUCACUGAUUUUCCUGCUUAUGGUGAAUGGCAGUCCAAGAGGUCUCUUCAAGUAUUCUAGAGAUUUAAGGCAGUCCUCUGUUACUUUUGUUGUUUGUAUUGGUUUUUAAAGUGUUGAGCAAGAUGCUGAUUAAAGUUAUUGACGAAGGUUAGAUUGGUGGUUUCACGAUUGACAAUGCUUGUAAUGAAGAUUCCAUGUUUCUUUUUUCAUUUGCGGAUGACGUCAUAUUUUUCUUGAAGGACGACAUCAAACAAAUUUUACACUUAGAAGCAUACUGUUAUGUUUUGAAGCUGUCUCAGGACUGAAAGUGAAUUUGGGAAAAGAAUGAAAUAAUCCUGUGGGCGAGAAUGUAAAUUUGCAAGAAAUGUCUGGGAGUAGUGGUUAUAAGUUUGCCAGCAUACCUAUGGAGUACUAGGGUUGCAGUUGGGAUGCACUUACAAAGCAAAAGCUGCGUGUAAUCUGAUGAUACAAAGAUUUGAGAAGAGUUUAAGUAGGUGGAUGAUGGCUUUUUUGUCCAUGGGAUGUAGACUUAUGUAGAUGAAGCAUGCACUUUUUAAUCUUCUGGUUUACUUUAUUUCUUUGUUUCCAAUCCCUAUUUCAGUGGGAAAAAGACUCGAGAGCAUGCAAAAAAAGUUUCUUCAGGGAUAUUGGGAUGAUAAUCCGGGAUUUCAUUUAGUUGAUAGGGGUAUUGUAACACAAGCUGUUUCUAAUGGGGGAGUUGGGGGUAAAGUCAUUGGUUCUUGUAUGUAAAGCUUUGCUUCGACAAUGAUUGUGGAGAUUUAAUGGGGAGAAAACUAGCCCUUGGAGGAUGGCACUAGUUGCAAAAUUUGGUUUGGAAGAUUCAGAGUGGAUAAGAAAGCCUAGUCGAGGAGCGCAAGGGGUUGGGCUAUGGAAGCACAUUAGGUAAGGAUGGGAUUCUUUCAAAUAAAGACUUUCUAUUAGAAUGGGAAAUGGUAGGCAUACUAUGUUGCAUGAUGACAUCUGGUAUGGAGACACUGCUUUCAAAGACUUCUUCCUGGAUGCAUGUGCACUAGCAAGAAACUAGAUGGUUAGGGUGGCCGAUUGUUGAAAGACUGACAAUGGAGAAACAAUGUGGUAAAGUAAUAUCUUACGUAGGGCUCAAGAUUAGAAGCCCAAAGCUUCUCAAUUUUUUUUGAGUUGUUGUAUCGAGCAAUGUUAGAUGUGAGGACGAUAAGCUACGGUGGAAUUGUUGUACCUCUGGAACUUUUUCUGUCAAAUCCUACUAUUCCGAUCUCUCUUCUUGCAAUUACAACAGAGCACACUCUUCCUAUGGAAAUGUAUUUGGAAAGUCAUGGUUCCUUUGAAGGUUUCAUUUUUUGCUUGGCAAGCUGCUUGGGGAUGUAUUCUUACUUCAGAUAAUCUCUAGAAGAGAGGAAAAAUACUGGCCAAUAGGUUCUUUUUGUGCAAGACUGAAGAGAGAGCAUGAACCGCUUACUUUUAUGUUGGAGCUGGACCAGAAAGAUUAGGGCUACAGUUUUUGCAAUUUUAGGAGUAAAUUGAUUGACCUUGGGCACAGUGUGACAUUAACUUUGGGCUUGGAGAGGGACUUUCAGUUUGUGUGUCGGAAAGAAACAGAUUGCUAAGAUGAUUCCUCUUGUCUUUUGGCUCAUUUCUUCACUUUUGGUAUAGUAGGAAAGUUCAAUUUCAUACAUUUAGUUUGUUGGAAAUGCUACAAAGUCUUCUGUGCAUUAUUUUGUAUGUGGUUUGGCUUCUAUUAUAAGCCAUUUUGUAGGGGAAGUACCCCCUCGGUACUUCUUGAUGAAAUCUUAUUUAUCUUUGAGAAAAAAAAUUAUUGGCCAGAAAUAAUUUCAGCUGAAGUGCAAGUCUCUUUUGGUACGCAGAUUGGAGACUUUGCUGAGACAUCAUCCUGUUUCUAAUCGAGAAGGUUUGCAAGAACUCAAUAAAAUUGCCUUGAGGAUUGAGGGAAAUUUUUACACUGCUGCAACAAGCCAGGUAUUAUUUGAUGUCCAUGUCCACUACGUGCAUCUCAUUCUCUUUGCUCUUGUCUUUAAUUGCUUUUUAUGAAGUGGCUCUUGGAGCUAGUGCUUGCUUAUUUUGUGUGAAGUUUCUAUGUGGAUAGAGGAUGCAUAAACAAACUGGAUACGCUUUUGCUUAAAAAUCUUUUAGAAGCUUUUUUUUAUUCUUAUAAUCUGUCAAGAAUUUCUAUGAUUUGUGCAUUUAUAUGGUAACUGGAACUGUUUAAAUAUUAAAAUAUAGCUUUGCACCAGUGAGAUCAGGUUUGCUCAGUGCUGUGAUAUUGUACUUAAGUUUUAAGUUGCAGUUUUAAAUUGAUAUCUGCUUCAUUUUCUUUCUAAUUUGAUUAUUUAAUUUGUUUGGUCUGUUAUGAAGUAAUUUAAUGAUUUCUGCUUCCUUUCCCUUUUAGUCCGAUUAUUUAAGGAAGAUAUCUUUGAAGAUGUUGACAAUGGAGACAAAGGCUCAGAAUACCAGACCUUAUGCGCUGCCAUCUAACACUGCUGGGAAUAGCUGUGAGGACUCGGGUACAACUUGAGUCCCUGUUACUUGAUACCAUUGAUGUAGGAGUUAAAAUUUCCGUUUUGUUAUCCCUUUAUAUAUUUACAGAUAUGUAUCAUUCUUCUUACACGUAUUUUCAUUUAUGUACUACUAUUUUCCUUUUUUGGUAUAUUGUUUUUGGGGGACUACAGCAGGAGUCCUAAAAUUUUUGACAGUCGUCCACUUUUGCUCAUUAGUUAGCUCUUUUAGGUUUUAGUUGACGGAAAAUCUACGUGGCAUUUUACCGAAAAAAAAAAAAAAAAUCUACGUGGCAUUUUUUUUUUAUUAACAGCCACGUUGGAUUAAAAGAUAAUAAAAGAAGUCAUGUGGUAUCUUCCGUCCCCUAAAAAUUGACGAGUGAACGAAAUGACUCAAGUGCAUUGACUGUUCAAAAUUUGUUUUGACUUAAAUGCAUGAAUAGAAAGUUUUAGGAGUUCAAGCACAUUAGCAUGACAAAAAUAGGAAUUGGCCCUGGAAUUGUCCUUUUUUGGGGCUUUACAUAGUACACAUUUGUAUACCCACUACAACAGGUUGGGGGGAUUUCGAUUUUCUACCCUGAAGUCAAUUUCUUUUUCCAAUCUUCCUUAUUUGUAACCUCAAAUGCACAUUUAUACCAUGUGCAGUGGCACAUUUGAAUUUCUUUGUUUCAUUUGGAACCUAUUGAUUUAAAAAUGGGUAGAUCUUUGUUUUUUUUUUUCUUCAAUCAGAUAUGCAUUUGUGAAGUUCAAGUUUUUCUAAGCGUGGUAGCAAGCUUCAGUUUAGCUAGAAAGGGCCAUAUGUUUGCAUCUUUUGUAACUUCCUCCCACUUCUUUGUCUCAAAUUUUCUUUUUUAGAAGUGACUGUCUCUGAUGGCCUUGGAGGAUGCAUGCUUGCCAAAGAUGAUUCACUUUUCUCUUUAUGUUUUUGUUUUCUUUAAUAUUUCAAGAUUAAUUCAAGUACAUGCACUUCACAAAGAUUUUUAUUUAGUACUUGCUGAAAAGAAAAAGAGAGUAAUUUUUUGUCAUUUUUUGCAUAUCCAUUAUCCAUCUAGAAUCGCUUGCUCAGAAAGUUUCAAGUUGGAGUAAUUACAUAGGGCUCUAAAGGUUGUCCUCGGUGUGCAUCUAUCCCUCAUUCCUUUCAUCUUCUUGUGCUAUUUGCAGUUAAUGCUGCUAUGCAUGUAUUGAUAAGUUUUUUUGAUUCACUAACAUGUAGAUUUUGUAUGUUAUCUCGAGUUAUCCAUCCACAAAUUCAAAGCCAAAGCCAACCAAUUCCUAAUGCCUUAGCUGUGGAUCAGCCUCAAGCAGGUCAACAGUAGUUGGUUUGGAAUACUCAGAAUAAUUUUUCCUUCGCUUCCGCCUGGUCAGGCCAGCCCAUUAAUCAAAUAAGUCUGCCUCCACUCCAAAUCAAAUCUCUCUCUCUCUCUCUUCCUUGUUUUCUCUCUUGCCUCUUCCUCUUGGGCAAUUUUCUCUGCAAAUUAUUACACUUUAGUGGACUUUGUCACUCUCUUGCUCUUUAAAUUUUUGACUCUCUUCAACCGUCUCCAUUCCCUAAUGAUGUGUUUGGUAACAUUUCUGUUUCUGAGAACAAUUUUUUUCAGAAAUAGUUUUUUUUUAUUUUUUUUAUUUCUACUCUCCGGAAUAGUUUCUGAGUGAAACAAUGCAUUUGGUAACUGAAAAAAUUUCUAUUAUUAGAAUAGAAAAAGAACAUGAAUGCGUUUAGUAGAACGUACAAGUUUUUUUGUGAUGUAAAAUAUAUUUUAAUUUUUUAAUAUUUUUUGAUAUUUUUGUGAUAUUUUUUUGAUAUUUUUUUGAUAUAUUUUUUUUCCCUCUCUUCUUCUUUCUCCACCAGCCGCUGGCGGGUGGUGAGGAAGAAGAAAAGAACAAAAAGCAAAGAAAGAAAAUAACUUAUUUCUAGAAAUUGUUUCUAAAAAUAAGAAGCUACUUUUUUCUACUUCUGUUACAAAUCUAUUCCCUGACCACUUAGAAAAAUUAACUGACGUUAUUUCUUACCUUUUACCAAAAAUAAAAAAUAAAAAAAAAAUUAACUGACGUUACCAAAUUGAUUUUUGUUCUUUUUCUAUUUUAGAAAGCAAAAGAACAAAAAAACAGAGGAAUAGAAAUGUUCCCAUGAAGAGCCUAAGUAGCCUCAAGCUUUUCUCUAGGGUUUUAGAUCUCUAUCCUUCACAAGCUCUCUCUGUUUGCUCUUCAAUUUUUUUUUCUUGAAGAAAUGCCAGAAGACAUUUUGGGGUUUAGUUAAUUUCCUUUUGUGCUGAUCAGAGUUUAUAUAGUCAUCUCCUCACAUUUCUUGCCAACCUUACUCUUCAUCAUUAUCAGCAGGCAAAGGCAAAAUCUUGAAGACUCCUCUAUCCAUGGCCAGUAUCAACAAUGGACUUCGCCAUCAGAAACGUGCACGAUUACCUCCUUCCAAUCAAAAUGAAACCCAGAAUCCAGUGGAUUACAUCAGCAAAUUGCCCAAUGACAUAAUCGUUCAUAUUUUCUCCUUCUUGACUACAAAAGAUGCCGUCAAAACUAGCGUCUUGUCCAAGCAAUGGCGUUCCACUUGGACCUCUAAUCAGUACAUGAGUUUCUCUCUGCCCCCUGGCAGUAGCUCGAAUCUGAAGAGCUUCAUUGCUUUUGUCGACUCAGUGCUGUUACGCUGCACUGCAGUUCAGGUGAAAAGAUUCCUCUUUGAUGCUCCUUGUCAUGCCUUCAUGCAGUCGAGUCUUGAUACGUGGCUCGAGUUUGCUAUCAAGCAUGACGUCGAAGAGGUAUCGAUAACCCCACAUUAUUGGCGUUACAACAUUUAUGCAUUGCCGCAAAUCUUGUUCCUCUGCACCACGCUAGUGAGUUUGUGCGUGUCCCAAUGCUGUUUUUCGGUGUUAAGUGCUGUGAAUUGGUGUUCGCUGAAGAUAUUGCGCAUUGAAUAUGCGGAGUUAAACGAUGAGGGAAUGGUGAGAGUUUUUAGUGGCAGCCCUGUUCUAGAGUUCCUUGAGUUGAAAAGUUGCCGGGGCGUCAAGCACAUAAUGGUUGAAUCAAAAAGCUUUAGAGAGUUGGUGAUUGAUUCUCAUGAGUUUCGUCCUGAUCAAGGUUUGAUGUUGAAAAUUUGGGCUCCUCAUCUUCUCAAAUUGCGCCUAUUGGGCAAUUCUCAAGGGGGAGAGUUCAGUCUAGAUGAAGUAUCUUCCUUGAUUGAGGCUGAGUUAAAUUUCGAAAUGGAAAGUUUCGCACUCGACAAGGUUAAGGCUCAUGGGGAUCUUGUCAUGGGGCUUCUCAAGAGGCUGCAUCAUGUGACGAAAUUAGUGAUGGGGAGCUGGUGCCUUCAGGUGCGAGCUGAUUUUUUUAGCCCUGUUAUUUCUGGUUGAAGUUGUGGGCAUACAUUACACAUUCUUCCUUUUGUAUUGCCUAUCGGUGCUUGAUGAUACUGUGCUCAUAAAUUGUUAUUUCAAACAAACAUUGUUAUCCUAUUAAACUUCAAUGGAAUUUUCUGUGAAUGAGGCCUUUUUUCCUUGUCGUAGUAAAACUUUACACAUCGUAACCUGUUAUCGCAUUUAUGGGUCCAGCAUUACAUUCACUUGGUUAAGGCUAAAAUAUGAUGUCCUUGUUUGCUCAUUCCUUUGGUUUGUCUGCUAUUGUGAGAGGUCGUUGGAAUUUCAAGCAUGUCUUAUGUUUGAUCUUCUUUAGUGCUUGAAGAAAGUAAAAAUGAUCAGUUUCUGCUUCUUCUACCACGACGAUGUGCUUAGGUGCUGUCGUUGAUGGAGGCGAGAGAAGUGUUUCUUCCAUCCUUACAAUGUCGGCAUCUGAUAUUACUCGGCACAGCAGACCACGAGGGAGUUCCAGCUAUAGUGAAAAUACUCGAAAGCACGCAGCGCUUGGAGAAGUUAUUCUUACAAACAACUUGCACACUCAAUUCUGCGGUACUUAACUGCUAGAACCCUUUCAGUUCAUUUGGUUUAAUUUAACACCAGAUUUGUCUGAACAUAUUUAGAUUGUGAUUUUUAGCCUUAGCCCGCAUACAACCUGUCAUUUCUUUUCUUCUCGUUAUUGAAAACCAUUUUUGUACCUCUGACCUUUUAAUUGACAUUUUGGAUUCUCAAUAGAUUUAUAUAUCUCUUGUUGUAGUAAAUGCUAUUUUAUACUGUCAAACCUCGAUAUUGGUCUCAUCUAGUUCCGAAUAUGUAUCUCCUCCUUAGUCAUGAUGUUCUAUAUCUGCAGGUUAAGUUCAAUGCGGAGGGUGUAGGCCGUCACAACUCUGCUGGAGAAGAAUUUUGGAAUUCUGCAAAGUGGAGGAUCCACCAGUGUUUGAUGCAUCUCAAGCAGGUUGAGAUUGUUGAUCGCGGUGCCAAUUUGCUGUUAUGGGAAUCUGUUCUUUCCCUGCUCAAGUUUCUCCUCCAGAAUGCACUAUGUCUGGACAAAAUUUUGAUCAAUAGUACCAAUUCCGAAUCAUCCCAAGCAGUUGAAGUGGCCGGGAUUCUUCUGUCGCACCCGAAGUGUUGUCCAAGCACGAAGGUCAUUCUUAGAUGUCCUUCCCAAGGAUGUCCGUCUAAACUUGUGCGUUAAUCCUGAUUAUUUCAUUACCAUUGGUGACUUCUCUUUCUCCGUUUUGUACCCCCGAGUUUUAGCUUAACAUUUACAGGAGAUGUGAUUGAAUGCAACGCCCAGGGAAAAAAUUUGAAACAAAAAUUCCCUUUCUGUUUGUUUAAAUGGGAACUCUUAGCUUAGCUUAACAUUGUUUCAUGAAGUUGCAAUGUGUCUGUCUUACGAAGUAGCUAAUAAUGUAGACCUCAGUGAAUAACAUAGGUUUAUAAUAUUUUACCAAAACUUACUGACAUAGUUUGUAGUUUUAGAGUUAUAUCACCACUCUCAUAUCAAAUUUCCACUUGUACUUUGAAAGACUUACCAAACAUCCCCAGUAGAGUAACUUAUCCAAUUUUUUUCUGAUUGUUUUCAAAUUAUUAACUUUUAAUUUCGUAGCCUAUUUUGUUUUAAGGUUACGAACUCUUACAUCAAAUUAUAAACCAUAAUUUUAGUAACUUACAAACUUAACCCUAAUUUGAGUGAUUUACAGACUCUUUUGAUUGAUUUCCGUUUAUAUUUGAUUAACGUGCCAAUAUUUAUUUGAUUGUCUUGACAAAAAAAAUAGUACUUUUAUUGUUUUCAAAUUUCAAACGUUUUUUUGUCUUACUAACGUAACAACCAUUUAGAGGUACAAACUCUAACUUAGUUUGAGUACUUAACCAACUUUUAUACAAUUACUUUACUCUUACUUAAUAGGGUUAAUACCAUAGAAAAUCUAAAUUUGGUACAACUAUAACAAUUUUACUUUACCCAAAUUGGUAUACUUGUGAUAAGUUUACCAUUUGAUAGUUUUUGUUAAAUUUUCUAGCAAAUUGCUAAAUUAGAUAAUAUGUGAUAGUUGAUGGAUAUACUAGUUUAGGAAUUUACUCUCCGUUUGUCAUUAAUAUAUCAAUUUGUGGUUUUUCAUGAUAUUAAUCCAAUUUAAAGGAAAUUUAUUGAUGGUAAAUUUAUUACAAAUAUAUUUGUUAGUAUGAGAUAAAUUUGUCACGGGUAAUAUCGGUUUGGAGUUUUUCGUAAUGUUAACCUUAUUUCAUAUUGCCAACUUUUUUCUUUAUAACCUUUAUUUGAUUGUUGCGAAUUCAUGUGACUCAGCUUUUUAGGGUGCAUUUGGUAACUAUUAUGUUAUUGGAAUUAAUAUUUGUUAUGAAAUGGUUUUUUCUUAUUUUGUUCUCUGGACGAAUAUCUAAGCAUUUAAAUGCAUUUGGUAAAUGCGUAAAAUUUAUAUUAUUGAAAUAAGAAAAAAAAAAAAAGAACAUCAAUGUGUUUUGUAAGACCGUCAUUUUUUUUUUCAUGACAUAGCAUUUCUUUUAAUAUUUUAAUAAUUUUAUGAUAUUUUUCCCAUAUUUCUUUUCUCUUUUCUUCUCUUCUUGUUCCUUCUCUAACUGGUUGCCAAGCCUUGGGCAUGACUGGUGAUCGGCCAGAUAAGAGUGAGCGACCUUGACCUUGUCGGUUUCGGGGGAGCCUCGAUAGCCCCCAACAAGGUUAAGCCUUGCCUAACCACAAUGAGGUUGCUAGACCUCAUAUUUGGUUGGUUGUCGGCCGUUGUUAAGCUCGGCAACCUGCUAGAUGAGGAAGAAGAAGAAGAAAAUAAAGGAGAAAAAAAAAAUGGCUUGGUUCUAGAAUAGUUCUUGAGAACAAUGAAGGAAUUUUUUUUUUUUUUUUUACUUUUUGAUUCUAUUUUAAAUAAAUUUCCAGAAACAAAUAUGCUCGUGUAUAGAAAAAUUAGUUGAGGCUGUUAAAAAGAUUUCUAUUCUUUUUAGGAAAAAUUUCAAAUAGAGGUCUUAAGUACCUUCAUUUUCUCAAAAAUGUUCGGAUCUUAUUUUAAAUAAGAGCCUAAAGUAUCAUCAUUAUUUUAAAUAAUGAUAUAAAAUGGAUCUUAUUUCAAAUAAGGAUUCAAGGUGGCUAUAUCUAUUUCACAUAAAGACCUGACUUUAUGACUGGUAAGGGCAUUUUCGUCAUUUACCAUUUUUUUAAAAAAAAAUUCCUUUUUUUUUUCUUUUUUUGGUUUGUCUUCCUUCUUUGCCGGUGGUUGAUCGGCCGCUGGCAAUUUCCAGAGAGGUCUUGGUGAGGGUUGCCUCGCCCGAUCUGGUGAGGGCCACCCUCAUUAGCCAAUUGCGAGGGACAGCCUUGCCUGGGCGAGGUGACCAUUGCCUUGGGUGUGGUUGCUUUGGCCAAAUUUGGUGAGGGUGGCCUCGCUUGCAACCAACAAGGACUUGUAGGCCUCAGUUGACCCCUGCCCAAGGCCGUCGGCCCUUUCCGGAAAGAAAAAGAAAAACUAGAAAGAGAAAAGAAAAGAAAAUAAUACAAAUAGAUUAACAUUCAAAUUAUAUUCAGACAAAAAUGCCCCUUGAUCAAUUGGAAUACUUAGCCAAUCGACAAGGUCUCCUGGCCACUUUAAGUCAUUAUUUGAAACGAUCAUGGUUAUUUCAGGCUUUUAUUUGAUACAAAAUAUAGUCUAGGCCCAUUUUGAGAAAAUAAAAUAUUUCGGGCUCUUAUUUGAAAUUUUCCAUUCUUUUUAUGUUUUCAGAAAAUAAAAGAACAGAAAUAAUCCAGAACUAGCCGGUUAUCAAUAAAGCCUUUAGAAAUUGAGCCUCUCUCCUCAUGCACGCUGCCCUCCCUUCAAUCGCCGGAGAGAGCAAGAAGGGAAACAAGCUACCGAGAGAUGGGCCAUUCCUCCUUUUCUAUUUAAUUGGGUUUUUUUUGUUCUUUCAUUCUGUUGGGCCUUGCCUGUAUUCCUACGGGCCUCAACUGACAAUGUGGACUCAAAUUCGUGGGUCUAAUGAGCCCGCUCUCCGAUUGAAAUUUUGAAAGAACCAAAUUGUUGGGCAAAUGGGUUGGGCUAAAGUUACUAGUUGGGUUGCAUGCAUUGACCCGACCUUCUAUUUUCUUUUCUUUUUUUUUAUUUAGUGCUUGAACGGUCAACAAAAAUUCAGGUGUCAACAUACGUGGGAAAAACAGUUAAUUUGGAUUCUCUUUAUAAAGUAGUUUAUAAGAUAGAUAAAUUCAUAUUUUGAAAUUGGAAUACAUGAGAGAUAAAAUAGAGUUAUUAAAUUAUGCACUUGUCCGGACACAUUUGUCCAUUAAUAGAUUUUUUUUUUUUUUUUUGGUGAAGUUGUCCAUUAAUAGAAUUGUUAACUUUUCAAGUCAAGAAUUGCAUUUCUGUUUCUCUUUGUCAUAAUAAAAAUGUUACUUGUCAUUAACACAAGAUUAUAAUCUUUUGAUUAGGUAGCAUUUUCCCUUUUUAAUUUAUACAAAUAUCUCAGUCCCAUUCGAUGUGCGAGUUAAUGUCUAGUAAUUAGGACCAAUUAUAUUACUUAUUGCGAAAGUUAAUUUAUUUAUUAAUACCAGUAAAAGAGAAUUGACUUUCAGUGUGAGAAAAUUGUAAAAAAAGAAAAUAAUAAUAAAUGUAUUAAGGAAUACGGAUUGCUGUCUUCCUCUAAUACGGUGAUAAUUGCCAAACUAGUCGGCAUCAAUUGCUUGGUUACAUAAGAAAACCCCUAUACAGCCGAGCUCUAAUUAGGAAAAAAAAAAACUAGAUUCCAGUGGCAUCUUAUGAAUUAAUCUUAGAUACUUGGAAGGAGCUCUAUCGCAUGAACUUAGAGUUGCGAUGAGCAAACUCGAAGCUAGUUAAGAAAGAAAGAAAGAUUGGAAUUGUUCCUUUGUACACUCGACAACUAUUACUAGAAAACAUCGAGAUGAUCGGAUUCCAUUGCGUUCUUUUUAUAUUGAAGCCACUAUGUUUCUUUUUUUAUUGUUAGAUAUUAUUUCCAUAAAAAUUGAAAUUUAUGUUGUCAAAAAGAGAAAUUUCCAAGAAAUCUAGUCCCUUUCUACAUUGUUGAUCUAAUCUAUGGAUAAAUUAGUAAGUAGAUGGAAUUUAAUUAAAUCAAACAUUGCAUGAAGGAACGAUUUUUUUUUUUUUAAAUGCAAUGAAAUAUCAUUAUUUUGGAUUGACAAUUAAUAUCAUCUAUGAACUGCUUAUGAAAAUAUAUUAGGAUACCUUAUUGUGUAUAAUGUUUUUAGUAUAUAUUUAAGAAUGUAUUUUUUUCCUUAUAUUUAGCAACAUAAUUUUUCACAAACAAAACAUGUGAAACACUAAAUUAUGGUAACUAUCCUAAAUAGAAAAGGAAAGAUAGAAACAAGGAGGAGUACGGUUAUCUCUUUAAACUACAAUUGAAAGAUUGGGGGCAAUUUUAUAGUCAUUUGGGGUAGAGUAACAUCACCCUAAAUAAAUAAGCUAAAAGCUUAUUGGUCGAAUUUCAAUUGAAUUUCGAGCCAUGUGGCAAAACUAUGUAGGUGUAUUGCCAUGUGGUGUUAAUAAAGGAAAGGUGAGAUGCCACGUGGCGAACAUAGGAGCAAGCAUUCUUUCAUCUCUAGUCUUAAUUAUAUAAAAUAGGUUAGGACACCUAAAUUUUGGCGACUCAAUCAUUCAUUUAUUGCAUAAAAAUUAAGGAUCAACCACGACCCCUAAAAAAAAUAUUAGAAUUAGAUUGUGUAGCAUAUAGUUUUAGGAGCAUUUAUUAUUAGUCUAUAGUUGCAUUUGUAUUGGACUAGUGGACAGGUUUGAAUUAAUGGCUCUAAAAUUUAAUUCAGUGAAUUGGACUAAGCCCGCAACGAGAGAGAAUUUGGCCAAGGCCAUGAACAUUGUUAGUGGUAAGAAAAAACAUAUAAAUUGGAGGGUUGAAUUAAGAAAGAUGAAUUUCUCGGGGGGCAAUCAUAUUAUACUCGUUUGAGAUUUCGGCGAUUGACGAACAAGAUGAAGAAGAUACUGUCAAUAUUUUGAUGGAAUCAAGCCGGCCACUAGUCUAACUAAAUUGGGAAUGUGAUUUGCGGGCAAUGGGUAAGAAAAAAAUUUGAUUCCUGCACAUUGAGAAAUUUAAAAAAGGAAAGAGAUAAAAAUCAUAAUUAUAUUCAGCAUCUACGAAAGGAGCAAAGACCGGCUCUCUUUCCUUGGAAGAUCCUCGGCUACCCUACGUAUAUAAAGCAUGACCUAUUGUGAGAGAAAACCAGGCCGGCAAUUCAUCAUUCAAAAGGCCACAAAAUUGAAAACACACGGCUACAAUCGAGAGGGAAAAUAAACUAGGGAGAAAAAAAAAGGGGAGUUGUCUUCCUUGAGGCCUGCUCAAUCUCCGCGACCGCUAAUGCUUCUUCCCCGUGCAUCAUCAUCGCGCCGAGCCCUGUCCGUGACGAGGCUAUUGCUUAUUGAUCCUCGCCCAGCCCCUGUCCAUGCCUGACCCGAGUUAGACGUUGCCGCUUUCAGUCCACACCGUUGCCUCUUGAAUCAACGCGGGACGAUGUUGUUUCUGUCUCGACCCGCAAUGGUCCCUGCUGCACCAACGACUAGGGGUGUUAGGAACUGAAUCGAAAAAUUCGGUUUUCUCGGUUCGCUUCAAUUUUCAAUCCUUAUUAAAAAUCAAUAUUUUUUUAUUGGUUCCGUUUUCAUCGGUUAACCAAACCGAACCACAAACUGAUAAAAUCAAAAUUCUCUCCCGACUCCCGUCUGGGGCUUCGGGCCAGCUCCGAUUCUUAGUUUUCACUGCUUGAACAGGCACGCUUCCUUCUUCUUCGACCCUCUCUCUUCUUCCCCGACCAGCUCUCUCUCUCUCUUUCUCUCUCUCUCGCCGCCAGCUGCUCAAAUCAUUACUUUGCUUUAGAUCUGCCCGGGUUCUUGCUCUUUGAGUCACGGACUCCUGUUGUUGUUGUUACUUCAGUUGAUCUGAUCAGAGCGCUCGCGCUGCGAUUCCAUCGAGGAUGGCCAUGGCGAAGGCGGCUCGAUUGCGGGGGAUGCCAGUGAAAGAGAACGGUGUGAAGCUGGAGGAAGGGCUCACUGUCUUCAAGUCCGAUAAGUUCAACGCCGAUGCUGGGGGAUUUUUGUGAAUUUUCAGAAAAAAAAAAAACCAAAAACCAAAAGCUAAAAAUCAAAAACCGAAAAAUCGAAUCGAAAUUUCCAUUUUCGUAUUCAGUUCGGGUCUUAUUCGGUUCGGUUCGGAAGUUUUUUCUAAGUUUGGUUUUACAAUAAAACUAAACCGUUGACACCCCUACCAACAACGACUUGCUGACCAGUGGCUGAGAAGUUCUACGCCGCAAGCCCCCACAUCAACAAUGAAGUAGCCACGCGUCGCUCAAAACCGCAGCGCUAUUGCAAUACCCGGUAGUGACAACUCAAGCAAUGCUGGUUUUUCUUUAGAGGAAGUCAAAGUUUGAUAGUCAAAGGAAACCUUCACGAGACCAGUCAAAUUCGGUCAUUGAGGGGUCAUCAAGGUGACCAAAGGAAAUUUCCUUUGGGAUCAUUCGGUGGAUCUUCCUUGAAGACGUUGCAGCGGCUCCUCACGUCAUCGCCCUUCCAGCAGGCUUGUCUCUUUAUUGUCCUAUUCGAUCUUUCCACUGCAGGUUUUCCAGUUAUCCGGCGUUUACAUAGUCACGACGAGCUUUUCUUCCGACGAUACCAUCAUCGUCCCACCAUACUGCCUCGACGAGCUGCUGUCCCGGUCCGAGCCACCGCAUGAACCAUCACAGCUCGCCAUAGCCGCGUCAACCUGUGAGCCCACUGUCCGCUGCUCGCUGUCCUGAAGAGCCCGCUGCCGCUCGACACAGUCCCAACAAGUUGCUGUCGCUCGAGCUCUCCGUCCCCAGCUCCGAACGCCAGCUGCCCCUCCCCCACAGCUACAGCACCUGCAGCUGCAACGACCUGCCAACACUGGCAGCCCAAGCCUCCCUCGUCAUUGCCAUCGCUGCCCUGCGCCCGAGGAGCAUAUCGUGAUCCCGGUCCAGUUGUGUUCAGCCCAAAUUUGGAAAGAUUCUCUUCAUUUAGGUAAGGUGCAUAUCUCUAAUGUAUGUACUGCCUAAUAUAUGUCUAGUACCUAAUGUGCACAUUUCUAAGUAAUAGACAUUUUCCAAUUAGGAUUUAUGGCCUAAUUCGCAACAGCACACUAAUUUUUUAUUCCAUCUAUAAGGCUUUAGAUGGAAUAAUUAAUCACGUGGGAAUAAAAUUGAUAUCUUGAUCUCUAAGGCUUAAGAUCAAUUAUCAAUUUUAUUAGCAAAAUAAUCAAGUUGAUUAGAUAUCGUUUCCAAAUUCGAACAAUGGAUAAUAUCUUUGACGACCACGGAUGAUUUGGUGCUUAUCUUGCUUUAAUUGCUUUAUUUAUCCCAAAAAUAGGGAUAAGAACGCUUCAAGUGCCAAAAGUUGGCACAAAUGGACACUUAAGUACCAAAAGUUACGAAAGUGACACUUAAAGUGCCACUUUGUAAGAAAAGUGGGACCCCUGAGUGCCACCUCCGGCGAAGGCAGCCGGAAAUCAUACGUAGCAAUUAAAUAUGAUUAUUUCUCGUCGAGGUGGCUCGCCGGAGAGCUGAGUUAGCUCUAAUUCACCCAAAACGACGUCGUCUCCUCAAGUUGGCCAACAUAGAGCCCUUAAAUUAGCCAAAACGACAUCGUCUCCCCCAUUGCCCCAAAUCUAAAACCCUAAAUCAGGCAAAUUGCCAUUGAAGCGUUGGAGCCCUAAUCCCGAACCCUAACUUGAUUUGCCCCAAAUUCUACGGUCGGAUAUUAGGAAUGGAGAGCAGGACUUUCAGCAGCGACUCAAAUUUCUCUCGCCAAAGCGAAGGAGAAGGCGAGCGUUUUUGUUUUUGUGGGCUACCAAGUCCAAGAAGAACAUCGUGGACUCAAAGGAAUCCUGGGAGAAGAUUCUAUGGAUGUGCCCGAUACAGAGAAGGGUCGAAGUGCAAAUAUUUCGAAUGGGUUGAUGCGAAAUUCUCUCACCGAGCUACAGAGGUGAUAUUGGACUUACUUGAUGGAUGUCAUCAACCUCCAUCUACACCUGUGGACGACUUGGACGAGGUUGACUCAAUGCAAGCUCAAGCAUCUUUUGCUAACCAUUUGAAGAAUAAAGUUUCAAAGAUGAAUAUUGAACGGAAGUGUUACCGAGCGUUUAUUGUGUUACUGUUUUUUUGUUUAUCCUAUUUUAUGAUGAAAUGUAAAGUAUUGGAAAAUGAGAAGAAGUUUCUCCGACUGCCAUAGUUGUAAAUGAGGUCAAGGAAAGGAAAUGAAUGAAUGAAUGAGAUGCUGUUUGAAUGAAUGAGAUGCUAUUUGUACUAUAUUUUUGCUUAUUCUUAAAUAUAAAUCAGUGAUGAUGGAAUGUAUAUUGGGUGAAUGUGUUGUGGUGACUUCUUUUCUUCAACUGAAUGUAAACCAGUAGCAAUGAAUCGAAUGGAGUUGGCAUAAGUUGAACAUUCGUAUAUAUAAACCAGCAGCUUCUCUGGUUUGCUGCAAAUCACCAUUUACACAGGACAGACAUGAGUGAUUACUCGAGUGCUGUAAGUUGUAUAUAGUGAUCACUUAAGUGCCAGUCGUGAUUAAAAAAAAAGUCAUUUAAGUGUCAAGUUAGUAUUAAAAGUGAUCACUUAAGUGCCAUUUGUGAUUAAAAGUGAACACUUAAGUGCCGAAUUUUUUAGAAUGUGAUCAGUUAAGUGUCAAUUUUGUUUGUACGUUUCAUCUAUAAACUACACCAGCUAUCAGCCACCACGACCGCCCACCACUGGCCACCAUCGGCCUCUAGCCAUCACCACCAACCACAUCAAGCAUUCCAGGCAUCCACUUGAGCCACCACUAUGCUGCUGGUAUUCUGCAGUGCAGAAGUUCCUGGUACCUUACACCAGCUUGCACCAACACUACCUGGUGCAAGAUAUGCAUAUUGCACACUUACAUCUUGCAUCAAGUGCAGCACAAACCCCCAACCCCCCAACCCCUAUAAUAGACCCACCAGCCUAUCAGUAGGCAUCAACACCAACAUCUCAGCUACCACACCAGCAUGUAACCACCACCAUAAACCCACCAUUAGCAGCCACUGUUAGUGGUGGGUCAUGGGUCUGUUGCAAAAUGGGUUCAUGCAAACUAUACUAGCUGCAGCAAAAGGCCCCAACCCAAUCCACAUAGUGGACCCACCACCAUCAGGCUUCACCAACCGCCACCACCAGCCACACAAGCACCCUAGUCACCACCACAGAUCCACCACCAGAAGCAGAAAGCAAUAAGUAAAAGUAAAAACAAAAUACAAAAAAUGAAAAAGGCACCAAAGAUGACAAGCAACAAGAUCGUUUCAUUGAUAUUGAAAUGAAGUCUCACAAAGUCGAUGACAAACUAUUUAAAAGAAAACAUUCAUAGUAAAACAAUUGACUCGUCAGCCCCCCAAAUUAUAUCCCAUCCCAUUUCAUUAAUCAAUAUGCACAAUGCCUCAUGUUCGUGCUCCUUUCACUUGAUUCAUAAUCCUUGUGCUUUUUCUAACUGGACGUGAGGUUUCUUCUUCAACUGUCUCAGGAUGCGUUGAUUUUGAUGGAGGUGCAAUUGUCCUAGGCUGAACUGAUUGAGAAGGAGCUGGAGCUGCAACUGUCGUAGGCCGAACUGAUUCAGAUGGACCUGUAACUGGGUUUUUCUUACUCUUCUUUCUUGUUGGCGCAGCCAAUGUCUUCUUAUUCUUUGUUGGCGCAGCCGUUGAUUCUUGAGUUGGGCCUUGAGAGAUAAGAACCUCUGAACUUCUCCCAGGCUUCAAAAAGAAAACUCAAUUAUUAACAAAAGUUUGCACCAUAAAUUAAAUUAAAUACAGCCUAGUAAGCUUAUAAAACUUACAUUAAGAAUAACUGUUCAAGAACGCUCAUCUGUAUAAAGCCCAUAACCAUACUGUUUUAGCCUCUUUCCAAGAGCUCCUCUUGUUCGAAGGGGAACGUCAGUUUCAGGUACUUGUGAUUGGUUAGCCCUUCUUCUCGCAUGUGAUUUUUUGGGCUCUUGUUGUGGCUGUUUAGCUACAGCAGGGGCUUCUUCUGGGCAUUUGAAUGCUAGACGUCUUGUAGAUGGCCUUCUUGUAGGUGGCUCAUGAUUUGGCUUUCUUUUGGUUGUUUUUCUAUUUAGCCCUUCAGCUUCAAUGACACAUUUUGUUGGCUUUUGUGGUGGCCCUUGGGAUGACCCUUCUAGUGGCCUUUGUGGUGACCUUGGUGAUGGAUCUUGUGGUGACCCUUCAGUUGGGCCCUUUGUUAACAGCUGAGCUCUAGCUUGCCUUCUUCGAACCUAAGAAAAGACAAAGGAUAUCAUAAAUAUAACAUCAAGCCAUUGUAAAGGAAAACUAAACACAAAUUAUUUAAGUUAUCGGGUAUUUUUUUCUCUGCUUCUGCUGAAGAACAGUCGACUUAACUGGCCUUCCAGUUGCUUCGGCUAAUCUUUGAGCUGGUUGUCUACCUGGCCUUGUUUGAACAGACCCUUCAGUUUCAGGUACAGCAGGGGCUUCAACCAAUUCUUCACGUGUCAUUCUCUUGACCCGACAAAGACAAAAACAUUAUGUCAAUUAGUUGUACAUAUCUGUUUAUACAAACCAUAAAACAACAUAAACAUAAUUGUCAUGACUUACUGGGUUUAUUGUUGUCGACUGAAGAACAUAUGACUCACUUCGCAUUUCUGUUUGUCCUUCUCCAAUUGUCCCUUCACUAGGCCCUUCGACUGGCCUCAACUGUUCCUGCUGCUUCCUUAAUUGACAGCAUUUAGUAUUGUGUCCUACUAUGUGGCAAAAAGAGCACUUCAUCUUUACACCUGUCCUACUCAUCCUACGCUGACUUGAGACCUCUCCCUCCGUCAUUCUUCGUUUUUGCUUUGGUCUUCCCAUUCUCUUCUUUAGUGGCAAAGGUUGAGGUGCUUCGUGAUCUGUUGGCUCCCAGAACUUGGUACCUCUGAUUGGCUGCAACAUGCAUUAGUACGAAGCAAGAUAUCUCGGUUUCUUGUACCAAUCAUCAAGGUAGUCUUCUGUGUUGUGGCCCUUCAAUUGAAUGGCACAUAUGACAUGUGCAUAAGGAAUUCCACUUACUUGCCAUGCUCUACAUGAACACUUCCUCGUACCUAAAUGGACAACAUACUUAUCAGAGUCCUUCAUUAUCUCAUAUCCUUCAUCCCCAUUCCAAAUGGGAUGACAAUAUCUACUCGUAGCCAAGUUCUCAUCCAAUUUUUUAGCAAUCCUAGGACCACAUUGCCUAGUCCAGUUUGCAGCCUCAUCCCUUUGUUUGUGCAGCCGAGUCAUAACCAUAACCCUUAUGUCUUCAAGCAUCGAGAUAAUUGGUUUGCAUUUGGCAUCUAUUAUCCUCCCAUUGAAUGCUUCACAGAUGUUGUUAUUUAUGUUAUCACACUUGAAUUCCCCGCUGAAGAAUGCCCUACACCAAUACUUUGGUUCUGUUUGGAAUAGUGCCUCAUAACCUUCCCUUGUCAAUUGAAGCAGUUAUUCUUUGGCCAUCCUAAAAUUAGCCAUAUUCGUGCUCUUUGCUAGCUGCCAAAAUUUGAACUGCAGCUUCUCCCCUUUAUAGUUCUUUCCCCAAUUUACAUAUAUGUGCCGCGCACACAUUCGAUGCUCGGCAUAAGGCAACAACUCAGCUAUUGCUGGAACCAGUCCCUGCAAUAAUUCAAAAAAAGAAAAGAAAUGUAAGCAAACGACAUGUUCAUAUCAACAAGCAAACAAUUGACCAAAUCUUUCAAAGAGUACCUUCUGUUGAUCACUCAUGAACGCCCACCCUACACCAUUUGUUAUCUCCAAAUCAGCCAUCAAAUUUUUUAGGAACUAGGACCAAUUGUCCUUGUUCUCUACAUUCACAACAGCCCAAGCCAGUGGAAACAUCUGGUUGUUUGGAUCUAUUCCAAUUGCAGCCAGCAAUUCUCCCUUGCAUAAGCCCUUCAGAAAACAUCCGUCCAAUCCUAUAAUCCGUCUACAACCAGAUAAAAAUCCUCGUUUGCAUGAAUCGAAGCAAAUAUAGAACUUAUCAAACUUGGUCCCAAUAUCAGGAAGUGGUCUCUCCACAACCUCUACAUACACUCUACUUGAAGGAUUUUGCAGCCUACACUCCCAAGCAUAAUCCCACACCUGUCCAUAUUCGUUGCUGUAUUGAUCAAUAAGUAUCUUCAUCACCUUUUGCUUCGUUCUUUUGCAUUGAUUCCUGCUUAUAUUGAUGCCAACCUGCUCCUUCACCAGCAACUUGAACUGAGUACUAUUCAUAUGAGGCAUCAUCUUAAUCAAAUUAAAGAAGUGCUUGGACAACCAUGCACUUGUUAUUCUUUUAUUUUCAAAAUUAAUGGAACAAGUAUGUUCCUUUUCGUACGCUCUAAUAUGGAAAUAUCCACUUCUCCUAACAAAUGCGCCAUAGAUCCUCCAUGGACAAUUUUGCUGCGAACACUUAGCUCUUACAAAUGCAUUAGUGUUUCUAAUGAAGUCAAUGUUCUUCUGUGCAGCAAUGGAGUUCUUCAGUAUAGCUUCCCUAAAUUGUUUUGCAUCUUGAAAUUUCAUACCUACCGACAAAGUAGGAGAGGCAACGAAUGGAUCAUAAGAAGGAAACUUACUUUUCCUUCUCCUUGUAUGCACAACUCCUUCAUCUUCUUCAAGCUCAUCCUGGGAAGUAACAUUCUCAAGGCUUUCUUCAUAAUCAGUCUCCUCACCAACGGCAACAACAUCUACAGGGCCUUCGGCCCUAUUUGGAACUUCAUCAGCUACCCGUAAAGCUGCAAAUUUAUCUGUCAAAAAAUCCCUUUGCCUUUUUCUUAACUGUACAAGCUCCCCGUCGUCGUUAUCACUUGUAAAAUUUGCAGUAGGCAACCCUUCAUCAUCAUCAUCACUUGAUUUAGCUACUUCCCAAUCUAAUCCAAUGAUUGUGACAUCACCUAUGUCAUCAUCACUAUGGUGAACUGCAUCUGUGCUCCUCUCCUCUCCAUCAUGUCUAUCCUGCCUUUCUUCGACCCUAACCUUAGUACUACCUUGAAUAUCAUUUCCUUCUUGUUCUAUUUGGGCGCUUUCUUCAUCAUCAUCUUCAUCCUCACUUUCAUUGUACUCAACAUAUAUUUUUACCUCUUCACCAUGAAGAUAAUGGUAUAGAAUAUCCCUAAAACCGUUAUCGUUUUCUAAGGUUCGCAAACCAUCUUUUAAGCCUUUCCCAGGAAUACAAUAUAGCAACUUCUGAACUUUACAAGGCAAAUAAGUUAGUAUAUCCCUAACAAAUCCUAUAUAAGAUGCAUUCUUAAUGUCGACAAAAAUGGUGCCCUCAUUUCCACCCUCAUACUCCCACUCAUCCUCCCCAAUUACAAAUUCCCCACCAUAGCAAACUAUGACAGCGACAUAAUCCUUGGCAUGAGCCAUUUCUGCACCAACAACAAGACAAAGAAUAAUUAGUUUUGGGACCACAUCCACAAAGAACAAUAGACAAUCGCACAAGGGAGUCCCCCCACUCUCAUGGACUUUAUUAAACAGGUCCCCACACUGACAAUAUGCCCCUAUAUGACAGCCAAAAAAGAGGUCGACACUUUAAUAAUUUACCUUCCCUUCCCCUACAAUAUUAAUAAAAAAACAGAGGCCCCCACACUGAGAAUAUGCCCCUACAUGACAUCUAAGAGGUCGCCACUUUAAUUAUUUGCCUUGCCUUCCAUUCCCUUAAAAUAUAAACCAAAAACAGAGGUCCCCAUAACAAGCACAGCCCAAGCAAUUUUGUCUACUAUCUUUUGGUGAACUAAACCUGCGAUGUGAGAAUGUACAUCCACUUAAUCGAAUCUAUUUUUCCUGUGAAAACACAUAUAGAAUUUCAUUAAAGGCAAGCUUGAUGUAAAAUUAUAGGGUGAAAGUUCUGUUUCUCAUCCAGCCAAGAGGAGAAAUCAUACCCUAAUCUAUAAUGUUUGGCCAUUAAUAUAUUGUGUCAAGAGGUCAUUACACAAUCCAAGCCCUACAUUUAUCCAUUGCAUAGUAGACUAAUACUACAUGUCAAAAGAGCUCAUAGUUUAUAAACUUUAAAAUGAGGUACUUACAUGUGGUUUCAAAUUUGUCCCUUGCAGGUAAAUGAACUUAUAUAAAGUAUCAAAACAAAUUUUGCACUCCUCAAUGCCCUGCAUAUAUGUCGACUAUAUGAUUAGAAACAACAAUCAGGAAAGAAGUCUAAAAGAACGAAAAGAUAAGAAUCAAAGGAACAAAAUCAGAUUGAUAGCAAAGUUGCGUGCUCUUUGCAGAGCACUUAAAGGCCAUUAUUCCAGCCACCUGAUUCAAUAACUUUUCACUCAAACACAUUAGUUCCUAGUUCCACAUUAGUCAAUAUUUUGUCUCACUCGAGGCUCGACUGUAGAAAUCAUCAACCGAGGUGAGCAUCUCCACACAAGGGAGUAACCAAACAGAGCGCACGCAUUUCAACAGCAUUUCCAUCGGAGCCUUAAUAAAAUAAUCGAGCGAGCCCUAAUAAAAUAAUCGAGCCCUAAUUUCAUCACGAGGGAGGGGGAGAAGGGGCCUAACCUGGAGGAGCGACGAUGGUGAGCGGGGAUGACGACCAACGAUGCUGAGUGGCAACGACAACCAACAACGGCGACCGAUGACCACCUAUGGGCGUGAACGGCGAUGGAGAGAAGGGCGGCGACGACUGAGAUCUAAUGUGAACGCAGAUGGGAAGGAAUGGCGACGGCCAGGUGUGCUUAAGCCAAAAUGACCUAAACAACGUCGUUUAACACCAACGAAAAAUGACGUCGUUUAGGUCAGCUCACUCAGUGUGGAUGGACGACGUUGUUUUGUCGUCCAUGUGGGUUUUUUUUCUUUAAACAUUUGCCACCUUAGUAAAAGAAGUCGUCGGAAAACGCCACGUAUGCAAUUUGGUCGGAUUUUGGCCAGAUUGGCACUCAAGUGAUCCAUUUUGCUCCGAUUUUGGCACUUAAGUAUACCUUUCGUAACUUUUGGCACUUAAGUGUCCAUUUGUGCCAACUUUUGGCACUCUAGGGGUCCGUGUCCCCCCAAAAAUACAAAAAAGAUUGCAUUUGUAUGUAGAUUAGAAUUGAUUUCUUAGAUAGAGCUGCAUGAUAGAAUAGUUAGAUUUUUUUCUAAUUAUAUUAGAAUGCAUGUUUAGAUGGUAUCUAGGUUAGAUAAUAUCUUUGAAUUAAAUUGUAUGUCGAGAUAAAUUUCUAAGUUAAGAUAGGAUUCAGAUUAGUCUAUUUCCUAACUUAAAAUAGAUAAUAUCUCGCCUUAGUUAGAUUUUUAUUUUUAGCAAUUUCUAAUUACAAUUUUUUAUUAAAAAAAAAUACAAAAAAUAUCAUGCGCAUGUCAUCUAGAAUUAGGUUCAUGAAAUGCAUGUCAUUUAGUGAUUGUUGCUAAGUCCAUUUAAUUAGAAGUUGCUUGUCAUUAGAAUUAGGUCAUUUAGUUAAAUUGCAUGACAUAUAGCUUAAAUUUCAUUAAACAAGAGAAAAUCCUAAAAAAGAUUGAGUGAUUGCGAAUCAUAUUUAGGGCUUUUGAUGUGAAUUUUGAGCUAACAUUGCAGAUGCUUUCGUUGUUACAAGGUAAGUCCCGUAAUUUAUUUAUUGUUUUCUCGGGUGUUAGAUUGGUGGUUUGCGCACCCGCAUGAUCACCUCACAUGUUAGAGAAGUAAAUUAAAAUCAAUUCAAGUUGCCUACAAAACAUUUUUUAAAAUAAAAAUAAAGUACCAAAAGAGCGUUAGAGAAAUCUAGGGUAAUCAAGUCCCCGAACUUAUAAUCUCUAAUUCGCAGGAGUAAAGUAAAUCUCCCGUUAUUUUACUUGGAUUUAUAAUCGAAACGCUAAAAAUAGAUUAGGGGCGACUCUUAGCUAAUAAUCUUUUGUAUGCUAAAUAUUUGAACCUAAGUCGUGAAUUGAUAUGUGCUUGGGAGAGUCCAAGCUAAGUUUAGGCUUGGCAAUUCAUUAGCCAAACCUUAGGUGGUGCACCCGAGGUUAGGUCGUGACAUCACACCUUUAGUAUUAUGAGAUUAUAAGUUGCCAAAGGAUAUUUUCUAGUAUUUAAUAGUAAAAGUUCAAGAUCGAAAUCCUACUUUGCAUUCUUUUAAUUACAUAGAGAGAUUUGCAUAUGCCUUUCAUGGCAAAACAAUUGUCAUAUAAUAUAAAUGGAAUCACUUGGGCCAAUAAAUCAUUGCAAAUGCUAUAAAAGUAAUGGAAUAGACUUAGUCUAUAUGAACCAACGCCGUUAUAGCUAUUGCGCACUCGUUUCCUUGGGGGGCAUGCUGUAAUAGUAUUGGUUUAGAUGGACCAAGUCUAUUUAAUUUUUUUCACGUAUAAGUUGCAAAGGCACGACAACUCCAAUAGGAGCAUUCACCGUUAACCAAAUCACCUAUGCUUUUGACACUUGCCAAAAUGAGUCUCUCAUUACUGCAACUAACUUGUGGCUUAAAGGAGGCUCAUGUUCCACUAUAUGCGAGACGCCAAUGCCUAAGCACGAAUCAUCAAUCGUUUGCAGUCUAGAGGCCAACCUAGAGCAUUUACAUGCGAACUCCUGAAUUUACCCAAGAAGAAGGGAAAGUUGAACUGUCCUUGUAGGACAAGUAAACCAUUUUCCCAACCUAAUGAACAAACACAGUGGUCUUGCCAUUUGGUUACAUUAAGCCGUCCGCAUAAUUGAAUCAUACAUAAUUUGAAAUGUAAUGGAAACUAAGGACUUUAGGGGAAAAAUUGCUAAUGGAAGUCAGAGAAGCUCGAUCCAAAGGAAAUCCCAAACUCAAGAAACUCAAAAUGAAGUGAUGUCAAAGCAUUUGUUAAGCCCUUAUGCUUGCAUAACUCAUAAGGGAGUCUAUUGAAAUGAUAAUGGACUAUAAAUUCAGCAAUUCUGGCAACUCUCCUACAGCCUUCUUGCAGCUAAAUCAGAUCAUGAGGGUCAAUGGGUACUCCUUGACACGACUUCCUCAAUUCGGAAGUCGAUUAUCAUCUUCCCCAAUCCAACUGUCUCCUUGAGAAGAAACUUAGCCAAGACCACCAAAAGUUUUGAUUUCUCAUUGUCAAAUUCGAACCUGACAAUUUCAAUCUUUUAAGAUGAUUUGCCAUACAAUGGAACUCCUUCUGUGAGCGCCAAAAUUGCUUUUCAUCAACAUCAUGGAGCUCUAGGAAAUCCUUGUUCUUGAACCGAACAUGCACAUCGAUGGUAGAAGCAAUAUCCUAGCAGUUACAUUAAGCACCAAAAAACAUAACAAUUAAAAAAUGUUGGGGGAAACUGAUUCCCAAAAAUAGCGAUCCGACAUUCAAUCGAACCCCAAAAACAACGAAUGCGAAGGUGUGCCCAAGAAACACAUGUUACACCGAUCAUAAGGUAUAUUACGGAGUCGAACGUACCUUAUCUUUCACAGAUUAUACACCGAUGUUGUAGUUCGAGGAAGAAUUCUGAUACUGUUCUUGAAGAGGAGCGUAGGGGAGAAACUAACAGAGCGUAAAGUAGAGAAAGUAUUCUCUCUUUUUAAGAUUACGUAACUUCUUGGAUAACAAACUUAAAAAAAUUUCCCUUUUAUUAUUUUAUCUUCAAUAACUGCCUCUUCUUCAAUGGGCCCUUCAUUUAAGGGUCGGGUUUUUGGCCCAACAUGGGCGGACGGGUUUAAAUAAGCUCGUCAUCACAUAAAAAAAUACCCAUCAUCUUCCACUCGCACAUGGUGGGCCAAACAGAAUCCUCUUUACCUCUCUGCAACAUUCGUACCAAUGAAUAAUUCGUGCGAUCAACAUACUUUGAGAGCUUGUUGCCAUAUACCUGUAAGGAAUAUAUAGCAGCUCAUAAUGGGCAUCACACUUUGAGUAGAUUUAUUAUGCAGUACCUUAGAUCGAUCGAUCACAUUUAUAUUUUUCUUGAUCUAUUUUUAAACAAUGAUAAAUAUUGUAUUCACAAUUAUAAUUUUUUCGACCAGUGAAUAUAAAACUAGAAUGUGAUUCUCCAAAUUCGAUAUUCCUAUUUCCUUGAAACUCUCAAUUUUAGUUUAACUUGCUUUUCUAAAAAUAUCCCAUUAGAUCGAAUCAAUUCAUGAUCAUUGGCAAUAUUCUAAGAUAACAAAUAUUGAAUAGAAAUCUUGAAAAUAAGUAAGAGUCAUGAGGGCACUUAAUUGAGGAACUCUUUUCCUCAAGAGUCUUAUACGGCAUAAAAGUUGAGAUCAAAACUUUUCCCAUUCUUGUUGGUCGUUUUAUGCAUACGUAGUAUGAAAUAUAUAUACAUUGUCAAUACCAUAUAGAUGAUAAUUCAUACAAACCUAAUGUCUAAUUUGAGUUCAUGUAUCUACUCUUUCACAGAAUUCAUCAGAACUCACAUCUGGCAUCACAAAUAAAUAUAGUAAAAUAUGUGGGUUAUUUUACUUUCGAACAUAGUAAAUAUAUAUGUCACAUUAUUUUAAGCUUAUGCUCUUGAUUAUCACCUAGAUAAUAAGCUUAAAAACUGUCUCAUCUCUAUUUAUCAUAUAGUAAAUAGAGGCGAUUACCUUUGUGAGUGGGCUAACAUUUUAUUUGUCCGACAUACUUUCUCAACUUUAUAUAAUAUACUAAGCAUUAAGAUGCAUAAACGUCGAACAAAGAUUUAUAGGCAUUAAUAAUGAAAACACAAAUUCAUUAAAUGUGAAUACAUAAGGAAAAUUACAAUAUUCAACAUAUUAGCCUCUAUAUAGUCCUAGAGAUUUCACAUGGCCAUAAAACACAUAUUUAGAUAUUGGCUUCAUCAUAAGAUUUGCUCUAUUCUAUGCGUAGAUAUGUAUCGUGAGUUCACAUCUUUUUGUGCAACCAUAUCUUUGACAAAACUAUACUUAGUAUCUAUUUACUUGGUCUUAUCAUGAUAUUUUAGAUCUUUGGUGCAUGCUAUUGCUACUUAGCUAUCACAGUUAAUCAACAUUGAGUUUGCAGCAUUCUCAAUAACACCAAAAUGAUCCAAAAAUCUCUUAAGCCAGACACUUUCUUGUAUCGCUGUUGAUAAUGCCAUGAACUUAGCUUCCAUCGUGGACAAGACUAUACAUGUUUGUUUCUUACUCCUCCAAGAUAUGACGCCAUUAUUAAGUAAGAAAACAAAUCUAGAUGUAGAUUUCCUUUCAUCUAAAUCUCCUCCCUAAUCAGCAUCUGAAUAAUUUUCAAGUCGUAGAUCAUUUCCUUGGUAACUCAGUGUAUAAUCAACAGUUUCCUUCAGAUAUCUCAGUAUUCUUUUAACGGAUUUCUAAUGUGCUUGACCUGGAUUUGAUUGGUAUCUACUCACCAUUCCAACUGCAAAACAUAUGUUAGAUCUUUGUACACAUCAUAGUGUACAUUAAGCUUCCAUUAGCACUAGCAUAAGGAAUAUGUUGCAUUUAUUCCUUCUCUUGUGGAGUCCUUAAAUACAUUUUAUGGCUUAAUCCUUCACCUUUAGCAAUAGGAGUAUCUAUGGGUUUACAAUCUUGCAUACGAAAUCGUUCAAGAAUCCUAUUAUGUAUGUUUCCUGCGAAAGAAAUAAUGAUCUUUUAGAACAAUCUCUUGAAAUCUUAACUCCAAGAAUGUAUGCAACAUCACCCAUGUUUUCAUCUCAAGUUGGAAGAUAACCAACUCUUGACAGUAUUAACAAACUCCAUAUUGCUUCCAGCAAUCAGUAUAUCAUCAACAUAUAAUGGUAUGAUCACAAAUUGAUCUUUGGAUAUUUUGAUAUAUACACAAUGAUCCUCAUCAAUUAUUGUAAAAUCAUAUGCCAUUAUUGUAUUAUGAAAACGUAUAUACCAUUAUCUUGACGACUGUUUAAGGCCAUAUAUUGAUCUCAAAAGUCGACAUAUCUUUUGUUCAUGGCCUUUCAUAAUAAAACCAACAAGUUAUUCCAUAUAAAUUUCUUCUUCUAAGUCUUCAUUGAGAAAAGCAGUCUUUAUAUCCAUUUGAUGUAAUUCAAGAUCCAUACUAGUUACUAUUGCCAAGAUUAUGCGAAUCGAGUUGAAUCUCACCACAAAAGAAAAUUUUUUCUCAUAAUCAAUUCAUUUAUGUUGAUUAUACCCCUUCGUCACAAGGCGGGCUUUAUGUUUUUCUAUUGAGCCAUCAGCUUUACGUUUUUAUUUUGAGAAUCCACUUGUUCCCAAUGGCUUUACGUCCUUUUGGAAGAUCAACCAGUUCCCAAACAUGUUUGACUUCAUUGACUCCAUUUCCUCUUUCAUUACAUGUAUCUAUUUUUCCUUACUAGGGCAAUUUAGAGUCUCAUUAACAUUUAUUGGCUCAUCUUUAUUUUGCGGAGCAACCAUAAAAGUUUUCAUUUCAAUGCCAAAAUGUCGACGGGGAAAACUUUUGUGACUUGUUCGCCACACGGGAGAUGGUACGCUUUGUACAUCAUUCCCCAUUAUGCUCCCACUCGAGUUAGAUAAUGACGAUAUCGUCUUAUCAUGUGGUUGUAAUUGAGAGUAAGUUGAAUUAAAUUCAUCACUUCUCAUGUUACUCCCACAUGGACGAACUCUACUAAGUUCAUUAUCUUAAUUUAAUGUUUCAAAUAGGAAGUAAUCCUCACCUAUUUCGCUAUUCUUAGGAAAUUCAUUCUCUAAGAAUGUAAUAUCCCCUAAUUCGAAUUCAGUUAUACUUCAACUUUCUUGCUCACCUAUAAACAUAUACCCUUUGAAGUAUUCAGAGUAUCUUAUAAAAAUAUCAUUCUUACCUCUGUGACUCAAUUUCCCAUACUUGUGAGAGGGCUCAUGAGUAUAUGCAGCAUAAUUCUAUGGUUUAAGAAAACUUAAGUUUGGUUUAUCUAUCCAUAACUCAUAUGGAGUGGAAGUAACUGAUUUGGAAUGCAUACGGUUAAAUAUAUAGGCAACAGUUAAUAAAGCACGACUCCAAAAAGUGAUAGGUAAAUUAACAUGCGUCAUCAUUGAUUUAACCAUUUCCAGUAGGGUUCUGUUUUUUUCUUUCCGCAACACCCUUUUGUUGAGAAGUAUAUGGAAUAGACAAUUAGCUUUAUAUUCCUUUUUCAUCACAUAAAUUUCUGAACUCAUCGGAUAAGUAUUCUUGACCUCGAUCGGAUCUCAAUACUUUUAUUUUCUUGUCUAAUUGAUUUUCUACUAAGCUCAUAAACUUUUUGAAACAACUCAAUGUUUCAGAUUUAUGAGAAAUUAAAUAAACAUAUCCAAAUCGAGUAUAAUCAUCUAUAAAAGUGAUGAAAUAAACAACCCCGUGCCUUCUCCUCACAUUCAUUGGACUACAGAUGUCAGAAUGGAUUAAAUACAAAGGAAAUUCAGUUUUUUUUUUCCAAAUGGUUUCCUUUUUGUUUUCCCUACUAGGCAAUGCUUACAUAUGUGCAAAUAGACUUUUUCAAUAUUGCCCAACAAGCCCUCUUUGGCUAGUCUAUUCAUAUGUUGUUGGCCAAUAUGACCAAAUUUAGCAUGCCACGCAUUCAUAUCAUUAUCAUAUGAAUUUGAAGACGUAAAAAGGGAAUAAUAAACAUUAACAUCACCACAAUCAACAUUCAAUACAAUAAAACCAUUUAGAAAAUAGCCACAAUCAUAAUAGUUUGUAUUUAAAUACAAAUCUAUACCAUUAUUAUGAAAGUUUAUACUAAAACUAAGCUUAACUAACACUAAAACGGACACUAAAUUUCGACGAAUCUCCAAAGCAUAUAAUACAUCAUGUAGGAAUAAAGUGCGUCCACCACGUAUAUUCAAUUGGCAGGUGUCAAUCCCUUUUAUUUCGGCUUUGGAGUUAUUUUCUACAUAGAUCCACUUAGUUCUAGUCGGUACUUGUCAAAAUUCCACGAAGGAUUCUCUAUCUUUCAUUACAUGGUCUGUUGCUCCCAAAUUUACAGUCCACAAGAGAUUAGAUUCAGUUAAGAAUACAGAACUUCACACAUAAGCAAAGUUCUCAAAAGUAUAAGGGGUGUUUACCUUCUUUGGCUCACGAUAGUCGCAAGUAUAGUAAUCAUUCUUGUCACAAUUGUAACACUUCACCUUUGACAGCUUCUUCAUUCGAUGACGCUUUUCUCUUUCAUAUUGGUCAACUUUUGGUUUCUUCCCUAAAAAACUUGCUCCCUUGCAUUUCCACUUUUUGAACUAGGACGUUUGCGCUUGGAGCUCGAAACUCCAUGUGAGCUAGAACCAGCAUAAUAAAUGUCAGUUUCUGACUUAGCCGCCAGGAGGUGGUCCUUUUCUAGCUCAAGGUGGUACACAAUAUUUUCAAAGGUUUUAAUAUUCUCAUUGUGGGUCAGGUGCACCUUCAUAUGCUUCCAACUCUAAGGCAAUGGACGGAUCAUUGCUUGCACUUGCUGCUCAUCAGUUAGGACAUGGCCAGUAUCAUUCAGUUUGUUAAUAAUGUUUGACAUAUUUCUCAAGUGUUGUUUCAUGGUCUGACCAUGAGGUUUCUUGUAGGAGUCAAACCUUAUAGUGAGCUGCCUUAGUUUGGUCACCGAUGUAUGAUCAAAUCUUGCUGCUAACGCUUCCCACAUCAUGCAUGACAUCAUUCUCCAUGCUACUCAGCAACGUAAUGUGAGCAAGAGAGUUCCUUCCCUUCCAUGCAACAAAUGCAUCAUUAUCUCUCUUAUGUUGUGCAGUGUUCCCAUCUUUAAGUUCUUCGAUAGUUAGGUUAAAAGCUUCUAGUGCCUCUUGCUCUUUUAGCACAUAUUGAAUCUUCAUAUGCCAUAUUUCAUAAUUAUCGCCGUUCAGCUUCUCACUUUUAUUUAAUUCAGCGACUAUGCUCUUAGUGGCUGAAGCCAUUGAGAUAAACAUAUCAGACAUAUAUGCAUGAAUUAUUAAUGUCUAUCAUUUAUGCAUCCGUUUUGCAUAAAACCAUCAUAUUAAUGAGUAAUUUCAAAUAAAGUUUCAGAAUUAAAAUGUUACUAAGUUUCCAAUCAUCAUCCAAAAAUCCUAACUUGAAAUUAUCAUUAAUAUAAUCUUCUAUGCAAAAUAAGUUCUUUGAAGCUACAAAAACUUCUAUGAACUACCCAUAACGAUUAAUAAUAACAAAAGCAAAUGAUAAUGGACAUCCAUUAAUGAUUCAAGAAAAUAUUUCCACAUAAUGUAACUAACACACCAGUUGCUACACCGACAUUAACGAGGUAGAAAAUAUUUACAUAUGAUAUCCAUAAAUUUUACUAAAUAAAGACCACUCGAAACAGCUAAUGCCAAGUCAGCCUAUGAAGAGGGAAAGACUCUUUUUUGUUCAAUUUCUUGAGCUUUGCUUUUGUAAAUUCUUCAAGCAUUCUCGGCAGCCACGGAAAAACAGACGGAUAUCCCUUAGGAUUUCUCUGCACAUUCAUCCCUCGCCAGAUUGAAGUCGUUUCUUGGGUUGCAAUCUUUGUCGACGCACAAGUCAAANNNNNNNNNNNNNNNNNNNNNNNNNNNNNNNNNNNNNNNNNNNNNNNNNNNNNNNNNNNNNNNNNNNNNNNNNNNNNNNNNNNNNNNNNNNNNNNNNNNNNNNNNNNNNNNNNNNNNNNNNNNNNNNNNNNNNNNNNNNNNNNNNNNNNNNNNNNNNNNNNNNNNNNNNNNNNNNNNNNNNNNNNNNNNNNNNNNNNNNNNNNNNNNNNNNNNNNNNNNNNNNNNNNNNNNNNNNNNNNNNNNNNNNNNNNNNNNNNNNNNNNNNNNNNNNNNNNNNNNNNNNNNNNNNNNNNNNNNNNNNNNNNNNNNNNNNNNNNNNNNNNNNNNNNNNNNNNNNNNNNNNNNNNNNNNNNNNNNNNNNNNNNNNNNNNNNNNNNNNNNNNNNNNNNNNNNNNNNNNNNNNNNNNNNNNNNNNNNNNNNNNNNNNNNNNNNNNNNNNNNNNNNNNNNNNNNNNNNNNNNNNNNNNNNNNNNNNNNNNNNNNNNNNNNNNNNNNNNNNNNNNNNNNNNNNNNNNNNNNNNNNNNNNNNNNNNNNNNNNNNNNNNNNNNNNNNNNNNNNNNNNNNNNNNNNNNNNNNNNNNNNNNNNNNNNNNNNNNNNNNNNNNNNNNNNNNNNNNNNNNNNNNNNNNNNNNNNNNNNNNNNNNNNNNNNNNNNNNNNNNNNNNNNNNNNNNNNNNNNNNNNNNNNNNNNNNNNNNNNNNNNNNNNNNNNNNNNNNNNNNNNNNNNNNNNNNNNNNNNNNNNNNNNNNNNNNNNNNNNNNNNNNNNNNNNNNNNNNNNNNNNNNNNNNNNNNNNNNNNNNNNNNNNNNNNNNNNNNNNNNNNNNNNNNNNNNNNNNNNNNNNNNNNNNNNNNNNNNNNNNNNNNNNNNNNNNNNNNNNNNNNNNNNNNNNNNNNNNNNNNNNNNNNNNNNNNNNNNNNNNNNNNNNNNNNNNNNNNNNNNNNNNNNNNNNNNNNNNNNNNNNNNNNNNNNNNNNNNNNNNNNNNNNNNNNNNNNNNNNNNNNNNNNNNNNNNNNNNNNNNNNNNNNNNNNNNNNNNNNNNNNNNNNNNNNNNNNNNNNNNNNNNNNNNNNNNNNNNNNNNNNNNNNNNNNNNNNNNNNNNNNNNNNNNNNNNNNNNNNNNNNNNNNNNNNNNNNNNNNNNNNNNNNNNNNNNNNNNNNNNNNNNNNNNNNNNNNNNNNNNNNNNNNNNNNNNNNNNNNNNNNNNNUUUUUUAAUUAAGUCUAUGUGGAUCCUAUGUAAUCCAUUUUUGUUAUGCAUUUGUUGUAGGAAUAAUGCCUCCCCGUCAGGCGCGCACACCUAUUCGCACAACUACAGAUGAACAAAAAGAAAGGCUUUCAAGGUUGAUAGUUGAGUUGACUGAUUAUCGAUGGGAGAGUGGCAAUUUAAUUGAUCAUGUUCUCGAGAUCAACAAGAAAAUACAAUAGGUCAUAUGGAAGGGUUAUCACAUGCCACAUUUUGAGAUGGUGCGAUUCUUUGUGAACACUUUUCCACCAAAAUGGCAAUGAGUGUUGAAUCGCCUAUGGGAGGUCAAUAGAGCUACUGAGUAUAAGAGGCUUGUAAUGGCUUUUAUAGAUGAAUAUUAUCGGGUUGGAGCCACAAAGAUUGCGACCCAAGGAAUGACUUCAAUUCGGCAGGGGAUGAAUGUGCGAAGGAGAAAUCCUAAGGGAUAUUCGUUUGUUUUUCCGUGGCUGCCGAGAAUGCCUGAAGAAUUUACAAAAGAAAAGCUCAAGUAAUUGAACAAAAAAUAGUCUUUCCCUCUUCAUAGGCUAACUUAGCGCUAGCUAUUUUGAGUGGUCUUUAUUUAAUAUGCUUUAUGGAUAUCAUAUGUAAAUAUUUUCUACCUCGCUAAUGUCGGUGUAGCAAUUGAUGUGUUAAUUACAUUAUGUGGAAAUAUUUUCUUGAAUCAUUACUGGAUGUCCAUUAUCAUUUGCUUAUGUUAUUAUUAACUAUUGUUGGUAGUUCAUAGAAGUUUUUGUAGCUUCAAAGAACUUAUUUUGCAUAGAAGAUUAUAUUAAUAAUAAUUUCAAGUUAGGAUUUUUGGAUGAUGAUUGAAAACUUAGUAACAUUUUAAUUCUGAAACCUUAUUUGAAAUUACUCAUUAAUAUGUUGGUUUAUGCAAAAUUGAUCCAUAAAUGAUAGGCAUUAAUAAUUCAUGCAUAUAUGUCUAAUAUAUUUAGAUCAAUGGCUUAAGCCACUAAGAGCAUAUUCGUUGAAUUGAAUAAAAGUGAGAAGCUGAACGGCGAUAAUUAUGAAAUAUGGUAUAUGAAGAUUCAAUAUGUGCUAGAAGAGCAAGAGGCACUAGAAGCUCUUAACCUAACUAUGAAAUAACUUGAAGAUGGGAACGCUGCACAACAUAAUAGAGAUAAGGAUGCAUUUGUUGCAUGGAAGAGAAAACUCUCUUGCUCGCAUUACGUUGCUGAGUAGCAUGGAGAAUGAUGUCAUGCAUUAGUUCAGGCAUUUGGAGAAUGCCAACGAAAUGUGGGAAGAGUUGGCAGCAAGAUUUGGUCAUACAUCAGUGACCAAACUGAGGCAACUCACUAUAUGGUUUGAAUCCUACAAGAAGCCUCAUGGUCAGACCAUGAAACAACAUUUGAGAAAGAUGUCAAACAUGAUUGACGAGCUGAAGGAUGCUGAUCAUGUCCUAAUUAAUGAGCAGCAAGUGCAAGUAGUGAUCCGUUCCUUGCCUCAGAAUUGGGAGCAUAUGAAGGUACACCUGACCCACAAUGAGAACAAUAAAACUUUUGAGGAUGCUGUGCGCCAUCUUGAGCUAGAAGAUGUCCGUCUCCUGGCAGCUAAGUCAGAAUCUGAUAUUUAUUAUGCUAGUUCUAGCUCACAUGGAGUUUCGAGUUCCAAGCGCAAACGUCUUGAUUCGUUCAAAUGGUGGAAAGGCAAUGGAGCAAGUUGUUUAGGGAAGAAACCAAAAGUUGACCAACAUGAAAGAGGAAAGCAUCAUCAAAUGAAGAAGUUGUCAAUGGUGAAAUGUUACAAUUGUGACAAGAAGGGUCACUAUACUCGCGACUAUCGCGAGCCAAAGAAGGUAAACACCCUUCGUACUUUUGAGAACUUUGCUUAUGUGUCAAGUUCUGUAUUCUUAAUUGAAUCUAAUCUUUUGUAGACUGUAGAUUCGGGAGCAACAUACCAUGUAGUGAAUGAUAGAUAAUCAUUCAUGGAAUUUCAACGAGUACUGACUGGAACUAAGUGGAUUUAUGUAGGAAAUAACUCCAGAGUCGAAGUAAAAAGAAUUGGCACUUGCCAAUUGAACAUGCAUGGUUGACGUACUUUGUUCUUACAUGAUGAAUUAUAUGCUCCGGAGAUUCGUCGAAAUUUAGUGUUUAUUUUAAUGUUGGUUAAGCUUGAUUUUAGUAUGAACUUCCAUAAUAAUGAUAUGGAUUUGUAUUUGAACACAAACUACUAUGGUUGUGGUUAUUUUCUAGAUGGUUUUAUUGUAUUGAAUGCUGACUAUGGUGAUGUCAAUAUUUGUUAUUCCCUUUUCACGUCUUCAAAUUUAUAUGAUAAUAAUGUGAAUGUGUGGCAUGCUAGAAUUGAUCAUAUUGGUCAAUAACGUAUGAAUAGACUAGCCAAAGAUGGCUUGUUGGGCAACAUUGAAAAAGUCGAUUUGCUCAUAUGUGAGCAUUGCCUAGUAGAGAAACAAGAAGGAAACCAUUUGGAAAAGGUAAAAUAGCCAAGGCCAUGUUUGGUAACCAUCCAAACAGGGCCAAAUUCUGAUUCUUUGUUCCCAAAAUUAGUUUGGGCCUAGAAUCGCGUUUGAUAAAAUUUUUGUUCCUAGGAACAGAUUGGGAAUAGAAUCAAGAACAAAAAAAAAGUUGAUUCUUGUUCCAAGAACGAAUUUGAGAAUCAAAAUCAAGAACUCUUCUUCUUCCCUUCGGCCAUCUAGAGACCGUCGUCCACCAUUGCUCGCCACCGUCUGCCAUCCGCCGCCACCGGUUCGGCGAGCUCGCCGAAGGCAAGCCCAGCCACCGACGAGGCUCGGCCUCCCUAGAUCUAGCGAGGCUCGGCCUCGCCGGGGCUAAGCAAGGGCUGGGCAAAGCCUCGUGACGCCCAGCCCCACCGGUGGCCAGGCAAGGCUCGCCCAGCUCCGCCGGUGGCCUGGCAGGCCUCGCCCAGCCCCGACGAGGCUGGCCUGGCCACCAGCGAGGCUAGGCGAGGCUCGCCCAACUGCUCGCGAGGCUCGGUCGACGAGGGUCGGCCUUGCCGAGGGCCGGUGACGCUCUGGUGAGGUCGCCGACCCUCGUCUGGCCGAUCGCCGAACCGGCGAUUGGCCACAAGAAGAAGAAGAUGAUGAGAAAAAGAAAAAAAAAAGAAAAGGAAAAAGGAAAAAAAAUGAAAAGGAAAAGGAAAAAAGAAAAGAAAAAAAAUGAAAAAAUGAAAAAAUAAAAGAAAAAAAGGAAAAAAGUAAAAAAAAUUAUUUAAAAACUAAAAGAAAUUGAUUCGGAAUAGAAUUAAUGAGCACGGUACCAAACACAAUUCUAUUCCAGAAUUAGAAAUUUUGGACAGUUACCAAACGACUUAAAAUGUUUAGAAUCAGUUUCCGGGAACAGAAUCGAAAAGAAUCAGUUCUGAUCAGAAUCUACUCCCGGGAACAGAAUCGUUACCAAACGCGUCCUAAAUUUCCUUUGCAUUUAAUCCAUUCCGACAUCUGUGGUCCAAUGAAUGUGAGGGGAAGGCACAAUGCUGUUUAUUUCAUUACUUUUAUUGAUGAUUAUACUCGAUUUGGAUAUAUCUAUUUGAUUUCUCAUAAAUAUGAAAUAUUGGGUUGUUUCAAGAAGUUUAUGAGCUUGGUAAAAUAUCAAUUAGACAAGAAAAUAAAAGUAUUGAGAUCCAAUCAAGAUCGAGAAUAUUUAUCGAAUGAGUUCAGAAAUUUAUAUGAUGAAAAAGGAAUCGAAAGCCAGUUGUCUAUUUCAUAUAAUCCUCAACAAAAUGAUGUUGUGAAAAGAAGAAACGGAACCCUACUAAAAAUGGUUAGGUCCAUGAUGGCGCAUGCUAACUUACCUAUCACUUUUUGGAGUGAUGCUUUAUUAACUGCUACCUAUAUACUUAACCGUGUGUCUUCCAAAUUAGUUACUUCCAGUUAUGGACAUGUAGAAAACUGGACUUAAGUUUUCUUAAACCGUGGGGUUGUGCUACCUAUACUCAUGAGCUCUCUCACAAGUAUAGGAAAUUGGGUCACAAAGGUAAGAAGAAUAUUUUUAUAAGAUACUCUAAAUACUCCAAAAGUUAUGUGUUUAUAGGUGAGCAGGAAAGUAAGAGUAUAAUUGAAUUUGAAUCAUGGGAUGUCACAUUCUUAGAGAAUGAAUUUCCUAAGAAAAACGAAAUAUGUGAGGAUUACUUCUUAUUUGAAACCUUGGUUCAAGAUAAUGAACUUAGUAGAGUUCGUUCAAAUGGGAGCAACAUGAGAAGUGAUGAAUUUAAUUCAACUCACUUUUAAUUACAACCACCUGAUGAGACGAUAUUGUCAUUAUGUAAUCCGAGUGGGAGCAUAAUGAGGAAUAAUGUGCAAAGUGUACAAUCUCCCAUAAAGUAAACAAGUCGCAAAAGUAUUCCCCGUCGACGUUUUGGCAUUGAAUGUGAAACUUUUAUGGUUGCUUUGCAAGAUGGAGAUGAGUCAAGAAAUGUUAAUAAGGCUCUAAAUUGCCCUAAUAAGAAAAAAUAGAUAUAUGCAAUGAAAUAGGAAAUUGAGUCAAUGAAGUCAAUAUAUGUUUGGGAACUGGUUGAUUUUUCAAAAGGACGCAAAGCCAUUGGGAACAAGUGAGUUCUCAAAAUAAAGCGUGAAGCUGAUUGCUCAAUAGAAAGACAUAAAGCUCGUCUUGUGGCGAAUGGAUAUAAUCAAUACGCCUGUCCAUCCAUGUUGGGCCAAAACCCGGCCUGUAAGUGAAGAGCCCAUGGAAGAGGUUAUGAUAUUUGAGCGGUUAAGAUAUAUGAGCGGUUAUGUUAUUUUGAAUUAGCAUUUUUAGAGAGAGAAAUUACGUUCUCUCAGUUUUACACUCUCAAAAAAGUUUCUCCCUAAAUAGAACAGUACUCUCCUCGGCAAUAUCGAGAUUCCUCUCCGAACUGCAACAUCGUUGUUUUAAUCUGUGAAAGACAAGGUAUGUUCGACUUCAUAAUGUACCUUAUGAUCGGUGUAACAUGUGUUUCCUGGACACGCUUCCGCGUUCGUUAUUUUUAGGGUUCGAUUGAGUAUCAGAUUAAUUUGGGAAUCUGUUUCCCAACAAGCUUGUCAAAUCUGGUACAACACAUUAUAAAUUCUCACAAACCCAAAUGAAUCUAUAAUCACAUCAGAACAAUUAACUUUUUUCCAUGCAGCUUCAAAGCAUCCCGGCUUUUUCACAAACCAAUUCGUUUAUGAAAGUAAAUGCAAACGUGUGUAAAACAUGAAUCGCAAUGAGAGACUUGAUUGUACUUCAGCAGCUUCAUGGUAAAAGCCCAAAAGUAGAUGAUAUGAAGUUGACUGCCGAAAGCAUAUAUGUAACUAUGUCUAGAUUCAAAGAUAGAAUAAUACCGUGAAUUUAUUGGAUUUUGGAUUGCUUAUGACUAGCCUUUCCAGCAGCGGAAAACUCUGCAGCAAGUAUGCCAUCCCUAGAAGGUCGCGUUUACAACCUGUAGGAUACAUUCUCUUUACCUCUGCAGCCGAUAGAAGCUGAAAACAACUUGAAUUGUGAGCCAAGUAGCAGAACAAGAUAUGACCAUUGCUUUUACUUUCUAUUACUACCAAGAAGAAAAGCUUUAAUGCGAGCUCAUUUAUUAUGGACUUAGCUGUUGAGGUCCAUAUAUGUAUGAUAUAACAGGGAACAUCUUUUUCCACAAAUGAGGAAGCACCUCGGUCACUGCUUGACUGCUUUAGCAUCAUUCGAUGCUCGUGGAACAAAAUAUGACUUCGGAAGGCUGAAAUCAUACAAAUGAUUUACCAUCAAGCAUAAGCUUUUACGAACAUGCAAUGUGCAUGAAAACUGCAACUAGCCACUUUGCUGAUAAAGAAAAAGGGGAGUGGACCAAUUUAGCUAUAAGAAAUACUAAGAAUUUGAUUGAUUUGGUGGUUCUUAGCGGAGCAAACUGAAAAUACAUAAAACCGGAUGGCUCUUUUCGUGAAUAUAACAUAGGGAAAAAGAAAACUAAUGCGCGCACGACAACAUUCUCUGCCUUCUGAUACAAAGCUUCAAGAGCAAAUGGAUCAAUACCAGCUUACAAGGACAAGAAGGACAUAACAUACUUAACGAAAAGGAAGAAAGACUCGCACCUCAGGAACCAGCUUCCGAUUGUGAUUUUCACGACAUUUUGCAGCUGCUCAGGAAGUAACUUCAGCCGGUCAGAAAAGUAGCCAAGAAAAGCGGUUGGCUUCUUAAAGUUCAACUCUGCCUCUGCUAAUGAAAUACUAAGUUUAGUCUAAAGCCUGUAAGGACAGAUCCGCCCGACAGACGCAAUGAAAGCAGAUUCAGAGCCGAGCUGUUGAGCGACGGAAUAUAAUCAGCUUCGAUCACUGACUCUCUUAGAGAUCUUGAAUCAAUCCAAAGGUUGUGAUUGCUGGGCAAGAACUGCAAUGUAAGAGAUUCGAGAACGGGGCUCCCGCUCAAGAUUUUCAUAAUCUUCUUGUUACGCAACCUAACGUUGUGAAUACACAAUCUCUUAAGAGAAGGCCAGUUGACGAUAGCAUCUCUUGCGAAACGACAUCUAGAUACUCGCAAGCUCACCAGCGACGCACAAUCGCACAAGGUUCGAGGUACGGGGUGAUACAAGCGUCCAAGCCUAACGAAGCGUCUUCCACUUUCCGCGCCACGGCAAUGCGAAACCACCAAUAGAGUGGGAUGUAUAAACCAGACAUCGAAGAAGCGUCGAGAUGGAACUUCUCUAUCUUAGCAGCUGUGCAGAGACUCAGUGCUCUGCCGGUCGAAGGAAGGACACCGUCUGACCGGGGAGAGAGAUCGAUGUAUGGAGUGGAGGUCCAAGCGAAACGCCAUUGCCUGGACAACAUGCUGGUCUUGACCACGUCUUUGAAGGGCAAGAAGGAGAAGAUGCGGUGGAUUAUGGCGUCGGGCAAGUGGCUGAUGUGAUCAACCUCCGCCGCUGGCGGCAGUGGAGAAAUCAGAAGCCGCCGUUUCCCCGCCAUGAAUGGAUUUUGAGGGACUUGGAGGGUUUUAGGAAGAAGGUGUUGGUGAGUUGACCUAGAAGCCAAAUCAGAUCACCCGAAAUCCACGCAAAUUAGGUUUCGAAUAUUGUUUUCACGAGAAUUUUGAAAAUUAUAGCUAAGUCAUAGUAACAUAAUGGGGGAGACUUUUAAUUUUCAUCAAAUACUUUUGUUAGCAUUAAUAUACACAAUCGGAACAAACAAUCUUAGAUAGAUUAUAUGCCCCCUCCAUAAUCCAGCAAAAACCAAUAAAAAAGAAGACGACGCAUGUUUUUCGAUAGGCGUCGGGCAAGUGGGUGAUGUGAUCAACCUCCUCCUCCACCUCUGGUAGAGAAAUCGGACUCCCCGUCUCCCCGCCAUGAAUGGAUUUUUUUGAGGGACUUGGAGGGUUUAUGAAGAAGGUGUUGGUGGAUUGACGUAGAAGCCAAAUCAGAUCACGGAAAUCCACACGAAUCAGAUUCCGACUAUUAUUGUCAUGAGAUUCUGAACAUUAGAGCUUGGUCUUUGUAACAUAAUAAGGGAGAUUUUGACUUUUAUUAAAUACUUUUGCUGACCUUACUGGAAACACCAGCCAAUAAAACACACACAAACAUGCAUAUGAACAUUUGAUACGAGAAAAAAAGAAAAAAAAGAAAAGAAAAGUGAUUUGGCAGUAUGAGAAACUUAUAAGUAAUUUUAAAUCUUUGAGAAACUUAUGAGAAACUUAUGAGAAAAGUAAUUUUAGUAAAUGAAUCCAAUUUAUGGUAGUAUGAGAAACUUAUAAGUAAUUUGAAAUCUUUGAGAAAUUUAUGACAAGUGUGUGAUAGUUAAAGUGAUGGGGUGACUUGCGUUAAGGACUAUCUUCAAAUUAUGUUUCGUCAAUUAUUUAGUAUAGAUUUUUGCUUUCCAUCUUAUAGUAGGCAAGUAUUUUAUCGAAGUUCUUGGGUUGAAGUAUGAAGUUGAAAAACACUUUUAAUUUCCUUUGUAGUAUGGAGAGAUUGAAGACUUAUUUAUUUAAUUGAAACUUUUAACUCAAAACUAGUUAGCGUUAUUACACACAAACAAAAAAGCAAUCUUAGAUAGAUUAUAUGCCUGUUCCAAAAUCAAGCAAAAACCAAUGAAAAAAGAAAACGAUGCAUUUUAUUUUAUAAUUGUAGAGGAUAGUGUAUAAUCAUUAUUUGAAUCCAAAUUAUUAACAUUGUUGAUGUGAAGGGAAAAAACAGUCAAUCUAUAGUGCAGAAACAUCUAUAACCUAUAAUAUAUGCAUAUGUCUAUAUAUAGCCCUUUGUUUCUUUAAAUAGUUGUAUUCAAUGUAUAUGAUUACUUUCUAGGAGCCUUUAAAAACUUACUUUCGUUAUCGUUUCAUAACUUUUCUGUUUCCUUCACCAUAACAUAACUAAUUAAGAAUCCUAAUGGAUUUUCAUAUAGUGCAAUUUAGUUUUCUUAUUGCAUAUAUGCGCAAUUUUAGAUGAAACUGUCCAUUAAGGGAUUUAUUCUAUUUAUCUAUUGUUACUAGCUAAGGCGCACAAGGUUGGUGAUGCAAAAGAUUGAAAUUUAAAAGAUUUUACAAAACAACCUUAUUACAAAAAACUUGAAUCAUUAAUUAAUGGAAAGAACUUAUUCACAAAAUAAUGAAGAAAUCGUCCACAAAUACGUGGGAAGAAAGCAGUGUUGCAAAAUUUGAAUUCUCUUUGUAAGGUUGAUUAUCAAAUAGACAAAAUUCAAAUUUUGGAUUUGAAAUAAAGUAACAUGCACUUGUCAAGAUUUAUCAAAUGACGCAUUUGUCCUAGGUAAUACUUGAGAGUUCUUCUACAAUGUAAGGUAGAAAUGAAUCAAUAAAGUAACAUGCAACUCACUCUUUGUAUUUCAACACUUUGAAUUCAAAGGAGGAAAAGAGUGAUGGACUUCAAAUCCUCUGCAUUGCGAAACGUCAAAGCAAGAAAUAUGAGCAGUUGAAUCUACAGCAAGAAUCAAAGCUCCCAAUUUUGUUUUGUUAGAAGGAAAAUUUUUAAUUCACACGAAAAAAAAGUACAUGACUUCAAGAUAAAAAUGCAAAUCCACAAAAUAAGUAAAUAUGCAAGAUAAAUCAAUUUGGUAGGGCCGACAAAAACUUGCCCAUUCCACAAAGGCAAGACUAUCGUGGCAUCAAAGCACAUUGGGCAAGCGAUUACUAAAUGUUGUACUAUCAGUGAUGAGCACACGUUAAGAUUUCCCUCUCCAGUAGUUAUGGCUUUCCUAAAAGGCGAUGCAUGCCUAGAUUCAGCCUCCUUAACACCAUCAUUAUAUAAAGACAACACCGCCAAUAGGUUGAAAGAGUAUAGAAAAUGCAUUGUAAAUCCCACAUCUAUAACUAGAUCGGAAUAAUAGAACACCCAAAUCUAGAGCUAGAUCUAGCUCUACAUAAGGAGAGAAGACAUGCAAAGAAGACAUGCAAAAGAGAUAUUAGUUGAUCACAAAAUCACUUUCUGAUAAGCCAACUACUCUAAGCAUCAGCAGAGAAGCCUAGAGACUUGAGAAGUACCCGACCAUAUGGAGGAAGCACCAGGGCUGGAUCGAGCUAGCGGAUCCGGAAGAGCAAAUUCUUCCGAGGUGCUGACACUUUGAACUUCUAGGCUCACAGGACAAAACUCUUCACUUCCGUGGAGGAUGUCGAUAGCGUCGUCGGCGAAAUCAACAAAGUAGUCUUGAAGUUGAGGAGAUAGAGAGGUGGCAAGAGGGAGAGGCAAAAGGGAGAGGGGAAGGAGACCUUCCUCACGGAUGUGCUAGAAGAAGUGGGCGGUGGCUUUGGGAAAAGACAUAAACCCCAAGGGAGAGGGAGUCGUGAAUUUAGGAGCAUCGAUCAAAAGCUCCUAGAAUAGGGUACUGAUCUAAAGCAACACGUCACGAAUUAAGCAACCUGCGAAUGUCUAGUACUGAUCCUCGAGGCGCUAUUCCAACGUAGGUUUUUUCUAACUAUCAUUCCGCUAUUGAUGGGAUUCAUCUCUGCAGUUAGACGUUGGCUGCCAACCAGUUUGAUGACUACCUCUUAGCUGAGAGGAAGAAGCUAUGAUUUCUUAACUGGUAUGUAAUGACAUAGUUAUGCUCCAAGACAUAGUUAUGCUCUAUGGAGAACUCAUGGCUCAGAAGAUUGCUGUUCGUGUUGAAGCCUGCUGUAGCUGGAGACGCACACAUUGUGAGCCAUUUUACCGAUAUCAAAAAAGAAAAUAAUGGAAUUCGUUUGUCUCGAUGUUUUCAAGUAAUAGUUGCCCAUGUACAAAGAAAGAAUUUUAAUCUUUCGUGUUUUCUUAACUUUAGUAUCAAGUCAAAGGCCGAGAAAACAUCGAAUGGAUACAUGUUAGCUGUCACCAAAAGAACACAUUGAUAGCGGCAAAGCUAUUGUUCCACGGUGGCUAUAUUUCGGAACUUAUUGGCGAGGAAAUUAUUUUCUUCGUCCCUGUUAUUUUCACUGUUAAAUCUCGAUUAUCUUAUGAAUUUCAUUAGGAUUUAUUCAAGAAUGAUAGACCUACCGCGGUAAAAUUAUCGAGUCCAAAGCCAUAAUAAACGCGAGUGACAAGAAACCCACAAAACCCACCUAAACCCUAGCUUCAAUGGAAGUAAUAACUAUCAAAUGAGCGAUAAUUCUCUAUAAAAAAAAAUUAAAAAAAAAAAAAAGGGAGAAGGACACUAGGAGAUGUCAGAAGUUAUGCACAAUACUCACUUUAGUGUCAAAUAUUUUUUUCAAAUUACUUAAGUGUCAUUUAUUUAAAAAGAAGAAGAAGAUCAUUUAAGUGUCAAUUCUGAUUUAAAUAGUCGGAAAUCCAUCGUGUCAAUUUUUUUUAUCAAUUUUUCCGGCCCACUUGACGCCAGCUUGCCUAGUUAGCACUACCAGUCCCUAAACUACAUUGUUUACAUAUUUGUUCCUGUUGAGGUGGAAUAAAAAAAUAAAAAAUUGAUUUUUCUCUUCUUUCUCCUCCUUCACAUAGCACUGCCCGUUUAGCCACCAUCUCCAACCCUUUCAGCAUUGCUUGCGGUCAGCCCAUGCUACGCCUCCAUCAAUGCUCGCAAUCGGCUCUGCCAUUGCUUGUCCAGAUUGGGCCGCAAGCCUAGCUCUUUCCACGGAUCUCGCGGUCAGCUCUAUCGUUGCCCACCCCUUCUGCUAUCGCUUUGGUCUCGUCCAUGGCCACAAGCCUAGCUUGUCUGUGGCUUGUGGAGCGGUGAUCAAUCCCCGAAGCUCGGAAAUCAUCUCAAAUUGAUGUCCUCGAUCGUCAGCCCCAAUUUGUGAAGAAAUUCAAUUCACUCCUUCAUGACCUAGACCGUGACUAGAAGCUCCAACUCGUCGAGGACAAUUCCAAUCCCACAAAGGAAUUCGUAAACCCUAAUGCAAUCCUCCAUCCUCUCGUUCUCCAUCUCAACCAAGCUGGACGAGGACAACAAGGAGUCCCCAUCCAUCCGACCCAGUCGAACCCUGUUCGAUCUCACGCGAUCACAUCGUCUGGCCUGGAGGAUGAAUUUCGCUCCAAGACAAAAGUAUCGAACCACGAGAUUUGCAAGAUUCGGCGAUCGUAGCAUCUUUGCAAAUGGAGGUUCUAUCCCCAUGAGAGCUUGAAUGAGAGAGAAAGAGAGCGAAAAUGAUAUCAUGAAUGUAUCCUUUUUAGUUGCACUCGUUAUUUAAAAACUUUAGUACAUUUAACUCGAGGUGAUUUGAUAUUGUUGGGUAAAACUAUGGCCCCCUCUUAAAUCACGGGCUUAGCAAUUGAGAUUCAUUAAAUCUGUAGUGUAUUGAGUCUAGGCAAAUCUUUCUUUUUAUCGCAGGCAAAAAGUCAAGAUAUUAUGGUAUGGAUCAAGAACAUUCAUUCCGAUUCCAUUUGCUCCCAUCGAAUGUAAGACGACAUAUGAACAUAAAGUGCAUGAACUCAAUCCACGCAGAAAUGUUUUCACAUGUUUACAUGUUCUACAUUCUCUAUUGAAACAUAAUUAACUUUGAAGACAAAUUACAGGUGACUGGGAUCGCAAUUGACCAUUACAUGAUGCCAAAACUCAGGGGUUGAUGAAAAAAUCAGUAUUUAUACACAAGUCUAGACGAACAUCCUUGGAACGGAUACCUAAGAAUGACCUUCGUACUUGGAGAACACUUUGGGAGUGACAGAAGAAUCUAGGUCACUUCCAAGCAGCACCCAUCUAGAUCCAGGCGAGGGUGACGUUGCUUGAGACCAAUAAGGGUGACCCUUGUCAGUCGCUUGUGCCCGGGUACCAGCCAUUGUCAAAGCCCAAGGAUCGGCAUAGGAAGAAGGAAAAAAAAUAAUAACUAUAAAAUUAUAAGAAAAAAAAUAAUAACUAUAAAAUUAUAAUAAAAAUUUGUUCACAUACACCAAGCAAUAUCAAUGCCAAUAAUUUCUUGUCAAAAUUGGUCAGAUGAACUAUAUUAAUAAUUUUUUUUAAAGUUCUAUAACUAAAUUGGCCAAAUUAAAAAGUUAGGAAAAGACCACCAAAAAAUCUAUUUUUUAUUUUUUUUAUGAUCCGAGAACCGCCAUACAGUUGGCAGUCGACGGCAUAAACCUGGGACAAACCGAGCCCACCCACCUAACCCGGCCGUAGUUAAGUCACACAAGCAACCACGAAGAUUUGAACCCGCUCCCUUAGCGGGGGGGAGCAAAAUGCAAACCACUCGACCACCAAUGGAGUGGGUUCCAAUUUUUUUUUUUACGAUAUGAAAAACCCCAAAUUUUACUAACCGUAACACAUUUACCCCCACCAAGGAUAUUUUCAUCUUAUUUUUUCUAUUUUACCUUUUUCUAUUUUAUUUUUUUUCAUUUUUUUCUUCUUCUCUCUUCCCUAUGCCAUGGUCGACGGAGGGAAGCCGGACUCGGGCAAGGGUGGCCCUUGCUGGCUCGAGGGUUGCCCUCGCCUGGGCUAGCUAGGGCGGCCCUCACCGGUGUCAGGCGAGGGCAGCCCUCGCUGGCAUCGGGCGAGGGUUGCCCUCGUCAAAUCUGACUAGGGUCGUCAAAUCUGGCUAGGGCCGUCAGAACGACACGUCAGAACGAAAGUUCUCCCAAUAAGAGGACUGAAAGUUCUACCACCACAAAAGAAAAGAAGAACGACACGUCAGAACGAAUCGGUUAAUUUGCAACAGGUACAUAUAAUUACAUCUCCUGAAAAUGUUAAGCUAAAAUUCAGGGGUACAAAACGGAGAAAAAGAAAUCACCGGUGUUGAUGAAAUGAUCAGGGUUUACACAGACGGACAUCCUUGGAAAGGAUAUCUAAGAAUGACCUUGGCGCUUGGAGAACACUUUGGCUGCGACAGAAGAAUCCGGGCCACUUCAAGCCGCGGUGACGGUUCAAAUGCUUGGGAUGAUUUGGAAUUGGUACUGUUGAUCACUAUUUUGUCCAGCCAAAGUGCAUUCUGGAGGAGAAACUUGAGCAGGGAAAGAACAGGUUCCCAUGCUAGCAGAUUGGCACCGCGAUCAACAAUCUCAACAUGCUUGAGAUGCAUCAAACACUGAUAGAUCCUCCACCUUACCAAAUUCCAAAAUUCUUCUCCAGCAAUGACGCGAUGGCCUACACUCUCCGCAUUCAACUCAAUCUGCAGAUGUACAACAUCAUGACUAAGGAGGAGAUACACAUUUGGAACUAGAUGAGACAAAUAUCGAGCUCUGAGAGUAUAAUAUAGCAUUUACAACACCAAGAGAAAUAUAAAUCUAUUGAGAAUCCAAAAUGUCAAUUAAAUAGACAGGGACAAAAAUAAUUUUCAAUCACAAGAAGAAAAGAAACGACAGGUUUAUAUGCGGCCUAAGGCUAAAAUUCACAAUCUGUAUAUGUUCAAGCAAAUCUGGUGUUAAAUUAACCCAGUGAACUGAGAGGGUUCUAGCAGCCGUGUACCGCAGAAUUGGGGGUGCAAGUUGUUUGUAAGAAUAACUUCUCCAAGAGCUGCGUACUUUCGAGUAUUUUCACUAUAGCCUCAGGAGCUCCCUCAUGACCUGCUGUGCCGAGUAAUAUCAGAUGCCGACAUUCUAAGGAUGGAAGAGACAUAUCUCUCGCCUCCAUUAGCAACAGCACCUAAGCACAUCAUUGCGGUGAGAGAAGCAGAAACUGAUCACUUUACUUUCUCUAAGCACUAAAGAAGAUUAAAUAUAAGACAUGCUUGCAAUUCCAAAGACCUCUCACAAUAGCCAACAGACCAAACGAAUGAGCAAACAAGGACAUCAGAUUUAGUCUUAUCGAAGUCAAUGUAAUGCCGGACCCAUAAAGGUGAUAUCAACUUAGGUGUGAAAAGUUCUUUUAUGAAAAGGAAAAGAGCCUUAUCCAGCAAAAAUUCCGUUGAUAAGAUGACAAGGUUUCUCUGAAAUAACAAUUAUUUGAGCAUGGUAUCAUCAAGCACCAAUAAACAAUCUCACAAUUUAUCCUAAUCAAAUGGCAGAGUGUGUAAUGAAUGUCUGCAACUUGAACCAGGAAUAAUAGGGCUAAAAGAAUCGGCUUGCACCUGAAGGCACCAGCUUCCCAUCACUAAUUUCGUGACAUGAUGCAGCUUCUUGAGAAGCCCCUUGACAAGAUUGGCACGAGCCUUAACCUUAUUGAGUGCAAUUUUCAUGUUGAAAUUUAACUCGGCCUCAAUCAAGGAAGAUACUUCAUCUAGUCUAAACUCUCCCCCUCGAGAAUUGCCCAAUAGACGCAAUUUGAGAAGAUGUGGGGCCGAAAUUUUCAGCAUCGAAGCUCGACCACGAAACACAUGAGAAUCAAUCACCAACUCUCUAAAACUUUUUGAUUCAACCAUGAUGUGCUUGACGCCCACGCAACUUUUCAACUCAAGGAACUCUAGAACAGGGCUGCCACUCAAAACUCUCAUCAUCCCAUCAUUGUUCAAAUUUGCAUAAUCAAUGCGCAAUGUCUUCAGCGAACACCAAUUCACAGUGCCAAACACCCUAAAACAGCAUUGGGACACACGCAAAUUCACCAGCGUGGUGCAGCAGAACAAGAUUCGCGGCAACAGAAAAUCUUUGUAGCGCAAGUAACGCAGGUUUACUGAUACCUCUUCGACACCGUGCUUGAUGGCAAACUGGAGCCACCUAUCAAGACUUGAUUGUAUCAAGGCGAAACAAGGACCAUCAUAGAGGAAUCUUUUUGCCUUAAUUGCGGUGCAGCGUAACAGCACCGAGUCAACGAAAGUGAUGAAGCUCUUCAGGAUACUGCCAAGGGGUAAAGAGAAACUCAUAUACUGAUUAGAGGUCCAAGUGGAACGCCAUCGCUUGGACAAGAUGCUGGUUUUGACGGCGUCUUUUGUGGUCAUGAAGGAGAAGAUAUGAAGGAUUAUGGCGUCGGGCAAUUCACUGAUGUAAUCCACUGAGUUUCGCCUUUCAUCUUGAUUGGAAGGAGGUAAACGAGCACGUUUGCCUGCUGAUGAUGAUGAAGAGUAAGGUUGGCAAGAAAUGUGACAAAAAGACUAAACUCUUAUCAGCACAUAAGGAAAGUAACUAAACCCUAAAAAGUCCCAUGGCUUUUCUUCAAAAAAAGAAAAAAAGAUAAAUCAAAAGUGAAUCAAGAGAUAGCACGUGAAGGAAUUGAGAUCGAAAACCCAGAGGAAAGCUUGAGCUACUUAGGGAAUGGAGGCAUUACAAAGAAUGGAAGAGUGAGAGAGCAACAAAGUCCACCGGAGUAUGAGAAUUUGCAGAGAAAUUGCGGAAGAGGAACAAGCGGGAGAGAAAAUGAGGAAGAGACAGAGGCAGAGAUUUGAUUAGAGGAGUGGAGGCUAACUUAUUAGAUUAAUGGGCAGGCCAAACCAACCUGAACUUCAGAAGGAACAAUUAUUCUGAGUUUUCCGAACUAACCACUGUUGAUUUGCUUGAGGCUGAUCCACAGCUAAGGAAUUAGCAAUUGGUUGGCUUUGGCCUUGAUUUUUUGGAUGCAUAACUUGAGAUGACAUACAAUGUAUACAAGUUAUGUUAGUGCAUCAAGAAACCGGAUCGAUACAUGCAUAGCAGCAGCAAAUGCAAAUAGCAAAGAAAGAUUAAAGGAAUGAGGGAUAGAUGCACCUCGAGGACGACCUUUAAUUACUUUAAAUUGAAACUUUCUGAGCAAGUGAUACUAGAUGGAUAAUGGAUAUGCAAAAACAGACAAACAAUUACUCACUCAUUUUCUUUUCGGCAAGUACUAAAUAAAAAUCUCUGUGAAGUUCAUGUACAUGAAUUGAUCUUGAAAUCUUAAAGAAACAAAAGAAUAAAAGAGUAAUGUAAAUUAUCUUUUGCAAGCAUGCAUCUUUUGACACCAUAAGAGAGACUCACCUUUUGAAAAAGAAAUUUUGAGGCAAAGAUGUGGGAGGAAGUUACAAAAUAUGCAAGCAUUUGGCCCUUUCUAGUUGAACUUGUUCUUCACAAAUGCGUAUCUGAUUCUAUGAAGCAAACAACCAAGAUCUUACAAUUCUUAAAUCAAUAGGUUACAAAUGAAACAAAGAAAUUCAAUUGUGCCACUGCCCGUGGUAUAAAUGAGUAUUUAAGGUUACAAAUGAGCAAGAAUGGCAAAAAGAAAUUAACUUCAGGGUACUAAAACGAAAAUCCACCAAAAGUCCCAUGUGCCAGUGGAGCAUUUACCCUAUAAAUAAGCAGCACAGCUUGUCGUGGGAAUAUGAAUGUGUACCAUGUAAAGCCCAAAAAAAGGAGAAUUCCAGGGCCAGUCCUAAAAUUUGUUAUGCUAAUGUGCUUAAGUCCUAAAACUUUCAUUUCAUUCAUUCAAGUCACAAUACUUGCAAUUGAAUACACUUGAUUCAUUCCAUUAAUUCUGUCAAUUUUAAGUGGAAGGAAGAUGCCACGACUUUUUUUUAUUAUCUUUUAAUACUAUGUGGCCAUUAAUAAAUAAAAAAGUCAUGUAGAUUUUCCGUCCACUAAAACAUAAAAGAGCUAAUGGAAGAGCUAAAGUGGAUGACUAUCACAAAUUUUAGGACUUAAGUGCACACAAUGAAAGUUUUUAGGACUCAAAUGCUGUAUCAUAACAAUUUUUGGGACUUAAGUCUCCAAAAACAAUGAAUCGAUAAAAUAAAAUAAAAAAUAGUGCAAGCAUAAAAUUUGUGUAAGACAAAAUAUACAUAUAUGUAAAUAUACAGGGGGAUAACAAAACAGAAAUUCCAAUUCCUAUAUCAAUGGUAUCAAGUAACAGGAACUUAAGUCGUACCCAAUUCCUCACUGCUAUUCCCCGAUGGCAAAGCAUUAGGUAAGGUACUCUGAGACUUUGUCUCCAUUUUCAACAUCUUCAAAGAUAUCUUCCUCCAAUAGUAAGGCUAAAAGGGAAAGGAAGCAGAAAUCACUCAAUCACUUCAUAAUAGACCAACUAAUUAAAUAAUCAAAUUAGAAAGAAAAUAAAGUAGAUAUCAAUUUGAAACUAUAACUUAAAACUCAGUACAAUAUCACAGCACUGAGCAAACCUGAUAUCACUGGUGCAAAGCUAAUUUUAAAUAUUUAAACGAUUCCAGUUACUACAUAAAUGCACGCAUCAUAGGAAUUCUCAAUAAAAGAACGCUUUUCAAAUUUUUUUAAGCACAGCCUAUCCGGUUUGUUCACGCAUCCUCUAUCCACAUAGAAACUUGAUACAGAAUAAGUAAGCACUAGCUCCCGGGAAACACAUAAAAUGCUAUCAAAGAUAAGAUCGAAGAGAAUGAAACGCACAUGGUGGACAUGGACAUCAUAUAAUACCUGGCUUGUUGCAAGAACGUAAACAUUUUCCUCAUACCUCACAGUAUUUUGCACUUCAGCUGAAAUUGUUUUUAGCCAAUAGAUAUAUAUAUUUCCACAAUGAUAAUUAAGAUUUCAUUAAGUACCAAGCAGGUACCACCGCUACAAAAUGGAUUAAAAUAGAAGCCACCCCCAUACAAAAUAAUGCACAAAAAGACUAGCAUUUCCAACAAACUAGAUGUUUGAAAUUGGACUUUCCCGCAUACCAAUAGUGAAGAGUGUACAAACAAUUAUCCCCAAAAAAAAAAAAAUCCCACGAGGAUUCAACUCCUUGAAAUGCCUCUUUAUUCCUCUUUCUUGAAAUGAGCCAAAAAAACAAGGAGAGGAAUCAUCUUAGUCAUCUGUUUCUUUCUGACACAAACUGAAAGUCCCUCCCCAAGCCCGAAGUUCAUGUCAUACUAUGCCUAAGGUCAACCAAUUUACUCCUAAAAUUAUAAAAAGCAUAGCCAAAAUCUUUCUGGUCCACCUACAAUGUCAAACUUAGUGAUUCACGAUCUCUUCUUCAGUCUUGCACAAAAAGCACCUAUAGGCCAGUAUUUUUCCUCCCUUCUAACGAUUAUCCAAAGUACGAAUAAAUCCCCAAGCAGCUAGCCAAAAAAAAAAGAAACCUUCAAUGGAAUCUGAACUUUCCAAAUAGAUUUUUACGGGAAGAGUGUGUUCUGUUGUAAUUGCAUCUGAGUAGAACAGAGAUUGGAAUAGUAGGAUUUGACAAAAAAAGUUCCAGAGGUAUAACAAUUCUACUGUAGCCUAAUCGUCCUCACAUCUAAUGUCUCUUCAUACAACCCCCCCCCCCCCCCCCCCAAAAAAAAAAAAUUGAGAAAACUUUGAGCUUCUAAUCUUGAUCCCUACACAAGUUACUAAUUAUGACACUGUUUCUCCGUUGUCAGUCUUCCAACAAUCAGCUAGACUAGCUCUCUUGUUUCUUGCUAAUGCACACACAUCCGGGAAUAAGUCUUUGAAAGCAGUGUUUCCACACCACAUCAUCCUGCAACAUAGCAUGCCUAACAUUUCCCACUCUAAUAGAAAGUCUGUUUUUGAAAGCAUCCCAAUUGUCCAAGCAAAGCUUUAUAUAUAAGAACAAACGACUUUACCCCCAACCCCCCCAUUAGCAACUCAUUGUGUUACAAUACUCCAAUUUACUAAGUGAAAUCUCAGAUCAUCAUCCCAAUCUCCCCAGAGGAACUUUUUUUGUAUGCUCUCAAGUCUAAUAAGACAAAAAUUGUUAUGUAUUUCCAUUAAGCUUAGGCUAGUUGGUUUACCAAUAAUCAAAGGUAAAACCAAUUCUGAGAGAGACGCAAUUAGAAGACUCAUGAUGGAAGCAACUUGUUGCAAGGGCUACAUCAGAGGGACGUGUUUGGUUUCAUCGACAUGGGCAUAGAGGUUUUGUCCCUUGAGAAACGGGAUAACUUGUGCUCUCCAUAAUAAGUUUUGGAUGCAGAGAGAUAUAUGCACCACAAAACAGGCAUGAGACACUAAAUUGGCCCACUAAGCAAUCUACUAAGUUGACUAAUUUCUCAUUCCACAUCAGUACAGUCCAACCACGUGUUUGAAACACCAGUAAUUCUUCCAACUACGACAUCUAAUUCCCCAUACGCCUGUUUUACCAGGUUCUACAGCUGCAUGGUAAUCCAUCCACCAUUUCAAGUCCUUGUUGGAGAUGUACAUCAACAAUCUCCUCUGUCCAGCAUACUCUGUCACUCUCAACAAGUCCUUUUUGGUCUGUAACAAUAAAUCAAAGGAUUUUAUUUGCACAAAAACCCAUUUACCUUGUAGGUAUCUCCCGACAGAACCGGCCUCAAAAAUUGCACGCAGCAAAGAAGAUAAGAGGAAAAAGUCUUCAACAUCUCAGAGAAAGCAAACAGCAGUAUAAAAGAAGAGGAAAAGAGCCUACGAUGUCAAUGGGGGCCUUUGUCAAUGGCUAGCUGGAGUUCAUGGUGGUCAAUGGAGGUUAGGGAGGUCGCAGGAGCUGGAAAACAGAAGAGACAAGAGCUGGAAAAGGUUCAGGAGUUCAGAGUGGGUAAGAAAAGAAUGAAAGGUCAGAAGAAAAGGUUUGCUGGAGAUGGUCACAAAAUCUAGUGUAUAACAGAGCUGAAAUUACAUAAACCUAAUAUAGUCAUAAAAUUCAAUGGAUAACAGAUAAAAAAUCCAGUGGAAGUUGCAUAUUGUUCAACAAAUUAUUAAUAACUUUCUCCCAAAUAAGAAAGCUAAACUCAGAAAUGAUUCAAAAUAACACAUAUAAGAAUUCACAAACCUAAAAAAUUUUGGCGAUGUCUAAUCCACACGCAUUAAUAGCAUCUACUCCUAUUACAAGUGGUAAGGGUGGGAGUUCAAGCAUUGCACCUCAAGGUAGGCAAAGAAAAAGUUUCCUGUGGAAAACCUUUGGGCCUUCAACCCCUACAACAACUACAGUGACACGAUUGAGCUGGAAUGGGGAAAAUUAAAAUUGAGAUUAAUAUGAAAAAACACAACCUACAAGCAAUAAGAUGCCUAAGAAUCCUCAGGCUCUGGAUAAGUAAAUUUUUGUCGCCAGCAUAACAGGCGAUCAUCCGGUAACUGUUUUCCUGCCAGAAAGCCACAAGGCCUUACCUCUGCAAUUAUGUUCAUCUACAUACUAUGGAAAACCCUCCUGGUUGCAAACAAAAAUAGAAGAGAAUUCAUUCCAAUUAAGAAAGAAAUAAAACCAUCUUCUUACGCUAUAUUAUCACCAAUUUAACAAGAGCUACCGUCCUACAUACCCUCUAGAUCCCAUAUUGACAAUUACCUAAGACUAAAAAUUAUCCAACCAGAAAAAAACUACAGCGAAAGCUACCCCAGAAUUCAUGUUGCCCCUCGACCUAAUAACAAGACGAUAUUGUAAAACCAUUAUUACUUCAUUAACCUGCUAAACCCUUGGAAAUAGUCCCAAAGCAACAAUCCAUCAUGAAACUCCACAAUUUUCCCUACGAAAACGAUAAGAACCCUAGCAAAGGAAGGAGCACUCACAUCUUGUCGACAAUCCUCUCCCCUGAUCGGGGCGGCAACUGAACCCUCCAACAGCGGCCAUCAAGUGCAGCUUCGGUGCCCCCGCCUCCUCCGCCAACCGGUCGAGUGGGCCUCCAGUUAGCGUUGACCAUCAUACCCACCCGUCAAAAACCUCAACAACCAACAACCGCACGGGAUUUAGCCAAGAGAAACAAAACAAUCAGCACACGCCCACCCACAAGCAGAUUCGAAUGGCAUAAACCAACACAAUCAACGCCGACUUCAAGCAACCCAUACCCACGACUCCUCCCACGUUCCCACAAGACCCAUCGAAAACCCAAAAGGAACAGUCAAUGGAUGGCGAAAGAAGAACGUCGACCUCGCCUGUGGGAGGAGACGAAAGAGGUUAUGGCAAGAGAACCGUGAAGUGGGUCUCCUUUCAUUGCUAUUGUAGCAUGCCUAAAGAGGUAACGUAAUCACACAUGUUUUUUUUUUGGUUUUUUUUUUUUUGUCAAUCCCACUCUAUUCCUACUCUACACUCACUCUCAGACUUUUGCUCUACACUCACUACUUUACACUGACUCUCAGACUUUUGCUCUACACUCACUCUCAGAUUUUUGCCAUGCUCCAGACUUUUACUCUGCCUCUUGCAGGGCGCGGAGUCGAAACUCACUCCUGAAAUUUACGCGUCCCGAUCCCAUCUCCUGAGAAGGUGGGGAUUUGAACCCCUCACCUCCCCCUUCCUUAUUUAUUUUUUUUUUUGUCAUUCCUACUCUAUUCAUAGUCUACACUCACUCACAGACUUGUGCCCCGCCUCUUGUAGGGCAUGGGAGUUACAACCCACUCUCGAAACUUACGCGUCCCUACCCCAUCCCCUCCUAAAAGGUGAGAAUUUGAACCCCUCACCUCCCCCUUCCAUGUUGGAAGGAUGGCCACUGGGGCGAACCUCCAGUGGUUCCCUUCCAUGUUGAAAAUGUGGCUACUUGGACAAAUCCCAGUGGUUAUAAUCACACAUGUUAAAAUGGCGUCUUUCGUAACGUUCGUGUUGAAAAAUGGUUUCAAAGAAAAUUGUUUCUGGGAAUGUUCCGGGGAAUAAAUUUUUAAUAGAAAAACGCAUUUAGUAAUUGUAUAAAAUUUUUGUUCCUGAAAUAAUAAAAUAAUAGAAACACAUGUAGUAAACUUGUAUAAUUUUUUUUUGUUUCUUUUAAUUUUUUAAUAUUUUUAUUUUAUUUAUCAUUUUUCCUUUUUCCUUUCUUCCUUUUGGCCGGUCACCAAGGCCAGCGACUAGCUGACAAGGGCUAGCGGCCUCGCCCAAUCACGGCAAGGCUCGCCAGCUCUCGACGGCUGGUCAUUGGCCAUGGCUGAGGCCGGCAACCGGUCAAAGAAAAAAGAAGAAGAAAAAGGAGGAAAAAAAAUGUUUCUCAGAAUUGUUCCCGAGAACAAGAAAUAAAUUUUUUAUAUUUCUUAUUUAUGUUCUAAAUCUGUUCUUGAGAACAAAAAAAAGUAGAUUUUUUGUUCCUUAAAACAAAAGUGUAAACAAACGUGUUUCUGUUCUUUUUUUGUUUCUCGGAACAAAAUAACAUAAAUUUUUAUUCUAGGGAACAAAAACACAAUUAAACAAACAUGCCUAAACUGUCCGCAAAAUAAAUGGAAUGAACCUUUUUCUAAUUCAAAACCAAUUUUCUAUUACACCAAAUGUCUUUUAUGUCCCACUUUUGUGCUUAUAGUCUGUUUGGCAAUCAUUCUAUUGUUGGAAACAAUUUCUACUUAUAAAUAAAUAUUUUUUAUUUUGUUCCUUAGAUGAGUUUAUGAGUAUUUGAACGUAUUUGGUAACUGGGCAAAAUUUUUAUUUCCAAACUAUAAAAAGAAUAAAUAUGUAUUUGGUAUGAUCCUACAAUUUUUUUUUAUGACAUGGAAUUUCUUUUAAUUUUUAAAUAAUUUUAUGAGAUUUUUCUUUACUUUCUUUACUUUCUUUCUUUUUUUUCUUCUUCCUCCCCUAGUUAGUCGCUUGGCCUCGGUCAUGGCUGACAAUAGGCUAGACGAGAGUCGGUGACCUCGUUGGCCAUUGCCAAGCCCCACGACUAGCUAGAAGGGGAAGAGGAAGAAAAGAAAAGAUAAAGAUAAAGAAAGAGGGGGAAAAAAAGGAACGAAAAGAAAAUGACUUGAUUCUUGAAUUGUUUCAGGGAAUAAAAAAGUAAUUUUUUUUUACUUUUUAAUUAUGUUUCAAAUUUACUCUUAGGAGUGGAAAAAUUAACUGACAUUACUAAACUGAUUUCUCUUUUUUCUUUGUUAUGGGAAAAAAAACAAAAAUAAUCAAGAAUUAACUGGUUACCAAACAAGACCUUAGUGAAUUGUAUUAUGCCUUCUCAUGGGUUUGAUGGGCCGAGCCCUUUAGCCUGCAUGGACCCAAAGGGUGCACUUCCGAGCGUUUUUUGUUAUGGUUCGGCCCGACCCAAAUGAUUGAGAUGUCAUUUCAGGAAAGCAAUGUGAUGGACAAGGAAGAGAGGAAAAUAUUACUUUUAAAAAAAAAUUUGUUUGAUUCCAAGUCGAUGGCAAAUGUCAAUUUGUAAGUGGAUUUAAGUAAAUAAGUGUUUGCAUUUGCUAACGGGAUACUAUGAUACCACCAUAUAUUUUCGAUAAAGCCAUCUUGGAUUCACACAACUCUGUUUGCCUGCCAAUCUCUACAUUAGUUUCCUCGUAGAGUUUUCACUGCUAUUUUGGAUGGAACUAUAAUUAAGGGUAUAUUUGUAAUAUUGGUAUGAGUUUGAGGCUUUUGUUGAUCCCAAAAUGUUCAACAAAUGGCACAAUAGUGGAUGUAGUGUAAGAAGGGAAGAAAAAAAAAAGGAAAGAGAAAAAUAUUAAAAAUAUCAAAAUAUUAUUACGAAUUGUUAAUGUCAAUGCUUGUAGUAUCACGUAAGAUGGCCGGCAUUUAUGUUGGCAAUUUCCAGCUAAAAUUGGUUGGAUUGAUUGAUCUAGCGCAAAUAUAAAAUGCUUAAGACUCAAUUGGUAAAAAAGAGUUUAAAAUUGAAUUAAUACAAUUGCAAUAGAUUUAUGAUUUUUUGGUAAUUUUCAUUUUAUAUUUUAUGACUUUAGGAUGCUAUCACGUAAAUUUGAGUGUGCAAAAUAUGGUUAGUAAGAAAUAUAAGUUCUUACAAACUUCAAAAUGUUCAAGAUGUGAAAGUUGGGAGAUCAUCUAAAUAGAAAAAGAAAAGAUAGAAAAAAAAGGAAGAGUAGGGUCAUCUCUUUAAACUACAAUUGAAAGAUUGGGGCAAUUUUAUCCUUUUAGUGUAAAUGGGAGUCGAUUUAGUCAUUUGGGGUAGAGUAACGUCGCCCUAAAUAAAUAAGUUAAAAGCUUAUUAGUCGAAUUUCAGUUGAAUUUCGAGCCAUGUGGCAAAACUAUGUAGGUGUAUUGCCAUGUCGUGUUAAUAAAGGAAAGGUGAGAUGCCACGCGGGGAACAAAGGAGCAAGCGUUCUUUCAUCUCCGGUCUUAAUUAUAUAAAAUAGGUUAGGAUUUUAUCACACCUUUAGUAUUAUGAGAUUAUAAGUUUCCAAAGGAUAUUUUCUGGUAUUUAAUAGUAAAAGUUCGAGAUUGAAAUCCUCCUUUGCAUUCUUUUUAUUUUAUAGAGAGAUUUGCAUAUGCAUUUCAUGGCAAGGUCAAUUGUGAUAUAAUACAAAUGGAAUCACUUGGGCCAAUUAAUUAUUGCAAAUGCUAUAACGUAAUAGAAUAGACUUAGUCUAUAUGAACCAACACCGUUAUAGCUAUUGAUCACUAGUUUCCUUGGGGGGCAUGCUAUAAUAGUACUGGUGUAGAUGGACCGAGUCAAUGGAAUACUUUUCACGUAUAAGUUGCGAAGGCACGAUAACUCCAAUAGAAGCAUUCACCGUUAACCAAAUCACCUAUGCUUUUGACACUUGCCAAAAAGAGUCUCUCAUUACCGCAACUAACUUGUGGCUUAAAGGAGGUUCAUCUUCCAAUAUAUGCGAGAUGCCAACGCCUAAGUGCGAAUCAUCAAUCAUCUGCAGUCUAGAGAACUUAAUAUUUUUCAACCUUGACGUGCAACGCUUGAACUUCCACCUGUACCACUUGUAAUAGGAGGAGAUGCUGUCAAUGCGUGUGGGUUAGGUGUUGCCAAAAUUUUAUAGGUUUGUGAAUUCUUGUAUGUGUUAUUUUGAAUCAUUUCUCAGUUUGCUUUCUCAUCUGGGAGAAAGCUAUUUAUAAUUUGUUGAACAAUGUGCAAGUUGCACCGGAUUCUUUUAUCUAUUAUCCGUUGGAUUUUAUGACUAUGUUAGGAAUAUGUAAUUUCAGCUCUGUUAUACACUGGAUUUUGUGACCAUCCGGCAAACCUUUUCUUCUGAACUUUCAUCCUUUUCUACCCACUCUCAACUCCUGACCCUCUUCCAGCUCUUGACCCCUCUUUUCCAGCUCUGGUGAGCCAUAACUCUCUAACAAAAAGGGAAAAGGACACUAGGAGAUGCCAAAAGUUGUGGAGCGGUGAUCAAUCCCCGAAGCUCGGAAAUCAUCUCAAAUUGAUGUCCUCGAUCGUCAGCCCCGAUUUGUGAAGAAAUUCAAGUCACUCCUUCAUGACCUAGACCGUGACUAGAAGCUCCAACUCGUCGAGGACAAUUCCAAUCCCACGUAAGGAACUCGUAAACCCCAAUGCAAUCCUCCAUCCUCUCGUUCUCCAUCUCAACCAAGCUGGACGAGGACAACAAGGAGUCCCCAUCCAUCCGACCCAGUCGAACCCUGUUCGAUCUCACCGCGAUCACAUCGUCUGGCCUGGAGGAUGAAUUUCGCUCCAAGACAAAAGUAUCGAAACACGAGAUUUGCAAGAUUCGGCGAUCGUAGCAUCUUUGCAAAUGGAGGUUCUAUCCCCACGAGAGCUUGAAUGAGAGAGAAAGAGAGAGCGAAGGAGAACAACAGAGAAAGAGAGAACGAGAGAAAACAAUAGAGAAAGAGAGAUUUUCUCUAAUGCAGCGUUGUUUUGCGAUUAUGGCCACUUAAUCGUCCAUAUGGACUUUCCUUUUCUUUCUUUUUUCUUUUUUAAUGAAAAAGCCACCUAGGCAUUGAGAUUUAAUUAAAAAAUCCAUAAGCACUGACAUAAUUUUUUCGUGCUAAAGUGAGUGCCUUAUACAAUUUUUAGCAUUUGUAAUGUCAUUCUCCCUGCUAUUUACUAGGAGUGAUCGGUUCUAAAGUGGAUAGGUUCUAGAUCUAGACCCUAUACCCUAUGUUAUUAUAACCUAUUCUCUUUUUUGGACUCAUUUUUUUUUUUUUUGCACUAGAACCUAUUUUGGAACCCAUCCUAUUUUUUCAAUCUAGUUAUGGGGUCUACCCAAUCUGCACUGGAAUCUGUUUUAUAACCACCCAAUAUAUUAUAAGGCUUCUAAUUUGACAUAAAUACGCGAGAAAACAACAAUGUAAUUCUACUAAUUUGUAUUGAAACAUGGAGCACAUGUAAUGAAUAAGUACAUAAAAUUUUUAACUAAACAAAAAAUUAAAGAUUCACGAGGCUAAUUAUCAUAAACAAACAUUGCAAGGCAAAGUAAAAAUUUUAACAUUUCAUAAACAUAAGUAGCAACACAUGGGUCUAAUAUUAAUCUCAUUCCCACAACUACUACAAAAAGUUGUUCAUUUAUCUAAAACAGUUAACAAAUCUUUUUUUAACACUAGUAAAAACCAGUUUCAAAACCGAUCCAAUCGAUCCAAUUCCCAAAUGGUCCUUUACUUGAAACUGGGAACCGGACCAGUUUCAACUGGUUCCCAAAAAAUGGAACUAGUCCCCACAUCAGUUAAAAAAGGAACCUGUUCUUGAACCUGUUUUCCAAGUAAUCCGAUUUGAUUAUGAGUAAACUUGGUUCAAUUGCACAUCCUACUAUUCACUAUUUAGUACCCGUUAAAAAAUGAUUAGAAGAAUUACGAAAACAAAAAAAGAAGUCGAUUUGAAGAGAAAGGUGGGUUGCAUGAGCAAUGACAAUUUACUAUUUUUAAGAGAGGAGAGCGAAGUGGAUCAUGAGUGGAAAGUGGAAUAAAUAUUUUUGUAAUCUUGAGUGCAAAUGGUUUUCGUAUAUUACCGUUAAGCCAUUGGCACUUGCUUAAUUCAAUUAUUUAAGGGUCACUGUGGUCAUUUUAAGUUGGACACUAAAUUAAAAGCUGGUUUUAUAUAUCAUAUUAAUAACCACAAGAGGUAAGAUUACGUUGGAUAGGGUCUCUCCUAUGCACGAAAAAGAAAAAAAAGAAAAAGAAAAAAAGAAGGAACUAGAAAAAUGAGAGAAAAGGAAAUGAAGGGAAGUCCUUUGUUGAAAGCAAGGAGACAAUAAAUAGUCUGUUUGGUAACAUUUCUACUCCGAGAAUCAAUUUUUUUUUUUAUAAAUAGUUUUUUUCUAUUUCUUUUCCCUUGAACAAUUUCUAAGUAAAAUAACGUGUUGGGUAAAUAUAAAAAAUUUCUAUUUUCGAAAUAGAAAAAGAAUAGAAUGCGUUUGGUACAAAUCACAAAUUUUUUUUUUUUGCAAUAUAGAAUUUAGUUUAUUUUUUAAUAAAUUUUUUAGAUUUUUCUAUUUUCCCUCCCUUUUUCUUGCUCCUCCUUUAGCAUGUGGCAGUGGCAAUGGCGGCAGUGACAAUUGGUGGCUAGCGAAUGGCGACUACAGUCAAUGGUAGAUGGCUAGCAAAUAGCAGCAGGGACCAAUGGCAAGAGGUGACAGACGACGGACGGCAAAUGGUGAGGAAGAAAAAAAAGAUUUCUAGAAAUUAUUCUCAGAAACAAUAAAUUAUUUUUUUCUACUUGAUAUUUUUGUUUCAAAUCUAUUUUUCAGCUACUAUUCUAUUCUUGAGAAUAAAAAUAUUAGUUGAUGUUAGUAAGUGGAUUUCUAUUCUCUUUUUGUUCUAGGGAAUAGAGAAAAAGAACAUAAAUUAGAAAAAAUAGGGAUGUUACUAAACGAAGCCAAAGCCACCACGGUAGCUAUUUUCAAGUGAUCACUUUGCAGUGGUCAUUGUGUUAUUAUUAAUUUAAAGAUUUGAUUGUUUCACGAAAUAUUAAUGAUGUUUAAAACAUUUUCUUCAAAAUGAUCAGUUGUAUUAUUUACAAAUAUAAAUUAACAAAAAAAAUUCCCAUCGUCAACGAAAAUAUUUAGAUAUAAAUUGCCAUCCAUAAAGAAAAUAUUUUUAUUGGUUAAUUAUUUUAAGUGGUUAUUUUUAGGGAAAUAUUUUCUAAAUCAUCUAUUUUCUAUUAAAUAAACAUAAUUUUAUAUUUCUUUUCAAUUAAAGUAGAAUCCUAUGAUUAAUAACUCAAUUAAAGCAUGCGUCGCUCAAGUCUAAGCGGCAUUCAACUUAGGCUUGUCUAUGCUUGUCUAAAAGAACUUACUUUGAGAUGUACAUGUAUCUCGACACAUUUGUCUCCGCGGACCAAUUGAGCUUUAGCCAAAGGCAAGAUUGAAAUCACGAUCAGAAUUAUCAAGGUCGAGCAGAUCAAGAUACCAUGCUCCAAUUUACUCAGAAAUUUCCAAUGUUCGUUUUUAAAAAGAAUCAAGAAAAUGAUUCGAGAAAUUUGAAAUCUCUUACCUUUUCGACAAUUCAGUAUUAAACCUUUUGACUUCGCCAAUUAAGUCAUAAAACAUUUUCAUGUUUUGUCAAUUAAGUUUAUUUGACCAAUUUUGAUUAUAAAUCACUAACAUGGACACCUGUUAACAUGACAGACGCUAAUACGAAUAAUUUUUUAUUGGUUUAAUAUCAUGAAAAAUCCAAAACUGGUACAUAUACAAUAAAUUUACCUAAAUUAAUUUUUUUACCACCAAAUCCUCCAAAAUGGUACACAUGUAACAAAUUUAAUCAAAACUCAAAAAAUAUUUGUAACAAAUUUAGUUUUUGUUUAAUGGAUUAUUAGCAAGAAAAACUAUAAACCAAUACACUUAUCACAAAAAAAAAAAAUUAAAUUGGUAUAUUCAUUAACUAUUACAUAUUAUCCAACUUAGUAAUUUAACAAAAAAAUUUCAUGAAAUCUAACAAAAGGUAAAUUUGCCAUAGACAUACCAAUUUGAAAUAAAUUUAUUAUAAAUAUAAUAAUUUAUGGUUUUUCAUUUUAUUAACCAUAAUUUUUAAUAAUAUUAUAAUAUGUUUUGAAUAUUUUCAUUAUUUUUUUCUUUUUUCUUUUUCCCUCCGCCAACCAUCCCUAAGGUUGAUGGUCAGUAGACGUCAUCGGCCUUAGCCGAGUACUGCUUGCCUAGGUUGGCAAGGGCCAUCCUUGCCAGAUUCAACAAGGGCAACUGUUCACUAAAUUGGUGAAGGUUGACUCUAAAGGGCAACCCUCGCCUGAGGCCAAUGGCCUCCACCGGCUAUUUACCAGGCCUGAUAAUGGCUAGCGAAGGGAAAAAGGUAAAAAAAAAAAAGAAGAAGAAAAAAAUUAAAUAAUAAAAAGAAAAGAAAAUUAGAAAAUAAUUAAAAAAUCCAAAAGGCAUUAAAUUUGUAUUAAAAAUUAUCCAUGUCAACGGUCGAUGUCAGAAAUUUCUCUUUAAAAUUGGUUAAAUAGAUUCAAUUAAUAAAAUUAAUAAAUUUAUGACUAAAUUGAUAAAAGCAUAAUGAAUCUAAAAACUUUUUCAACAAUUUUCCUAAGAUAUUUGGGCCGAGCUGUUCGGACCGAUCCAUCUCGUGACCCGACCCAGACCACGAACGACUGGACCAACAAGAGACAAGUGGCAGCUGGCCACAUCAGUGGCGGCGAAUAUUCUUCUUCUCCGCUUGUUUUGCUUAGCUUUGCUUAGCUUUGCUUCGGACAUCGAAUCCUCGGAACAACGAACUGCCUUGUCGUCUCUUGAUAAUGAACAAAGCAGAAAUCCAGUCCACCCUCUUCAGGAAAAGUACAAUAGAAAUGAAAGGAGACCCACUUCACGAUUCUCUUGCCAUAGCCUCUGCCGCCUCCUCCCUCAGGUGAGGUCAACGCUCUUCUUUCGCCGUCCAUCGACUGUUCCUUUUGGGUUUUCGAUGGGCUCGGGAGGUGGGAGGAUUCGUGGGUUUGGCUUGCUUGAAGUCGGCGUUGAUUGUGUUGGUUUAUGCCAUUCGAAUCUGCUUGUGGGUGGGCGUGUGCUGAUUGUCUUGUUUCUCUUAUUGCUUGGCUAAGUCCCCGUGCGGUUUUUGGUUGUUGAGGUUUUUGAAUGGUGGGUAUGAUGAUCAACGCUAACUGGAGGCCCACGCGGCCGGGUGGCGGAGGAGGCUGGGGUACCGGAGCUGCACUUGAUGGGGGCUGUUGGAGGGUUCAGUUGCCGCCUCGAUCACGGGAGAGGAUUGUCCACAAGAUGUGAGUGCUCCUUCGUUUUGCUUGGGUUUUUAUCGUUUUUGUAGGGAAAAUUGUGGAGUUUUAUGAUGGAUUGUUGAUUAGGGACCAUUUCCUAGGGUUUAGCAGGUUAAUGAAGUAAUGGUUUUACAAUAUUGUCUUGUUAUUAGGUCGAGGGGCAACAUGAAUUCUGGGGUAGCUUUCGCUGUAGUUUUUUUCUGGUUGGAUAAUUUUUAGUCUUAGUUAAUUGUCAAUAUGGGAUCUAGAGGGUAUGUAGGACAGUAGCUCUUGUUAAAUUGGUGAUAAUAUAGCAUAAGAAGAUGGUUUUAUUUCUUUCUUAAUUAUAAUGAAUUAUCUUAUAUUUUUGUUUUCAACCAGGAGGGUUUUCCAUAGUAUGUAGAUGAACAUAAUUGCAGAGGUAAGGCCUUGUGGCUUUCUGGCAGGAAAACAGUUACUGGAUGAUUGCCUGUUAUGCUGGCAACAAAAAUUUACUUAUCCAGAGCCUAAGGAUUCUUAGGUAUCUUAUUGCUUGUAGGUUGUGUUUUUUCAUAUUAAUCUCAGUUUUGUUUUUCCCUUUUGCAGCUCAAUUGCAUCAGUGUAGUUGUUGUAGCGGUUGAAGACCCAAAGGUUUUCCACAGGAAACUUUUUCUUGGCCUACCUUGAGGUGCAAUGCUUGAACUCCCACCCCGUACCACUUGUAAUAGGAGGUGAUGCUAUUAAUGCGUGUGGAUUAGGCAUCGCCAAAAUUUUUUAGGUUUGUGAAUUCUUAUAUGUGUUAUUUUGAAUCAUUUCUGAGUUUGGCUUUCUUAUUUGGGAGAAAGCUUUUCAUAAUUUAUUGAACAAUAUGCAACUUCCACUGGAUUUUUUAUCUGUUAUCCAUUGAAUUUUAUGACUAUAAUAGGUUUAUGUAAUUUCAGCUCUGUUAUACACUAGAUCUUGUGACCAUCUCCAGCAAACCUUUUCUUCUGACCUUUCAUUCUUUUCUUACCCACUCUGAACUCCUGAACCUCUUCCAGCUCUCGACUCUUCUGUUUUCCAGCUCCUGCGACCUCCCUAACCUCCAUUGACCACCAUGAACUCCAGCUAGCCAUUGACAUCGUAGGCUCUUUUCCUCUUCUUUUAUACUGCUGUUUGCUUUCUCUGAGAUGUUGAAGACUUUUUCCUCUUAUCUUCUUUGCUGUGUGCAAUUUUUGAGGCUGGUUGUGUCGGGAGAUACCUACAAGGUAAAGGGGUUUUUGUGCAAAGAAAAUUCUUUGAUUUGUUACAGACCAAAAAAGACUUGUUGAGAGUGAUAGAGUAUGCUGGAUGGAGGAGAUCGUUGAUUUACCUCUCCAACAAGGACUUGAAAUGGUGGAUGGAUUACAAUGCAGCUGUAGAACCUGGUAAAACAGGCGUAUCGGGAAUUAGAUGUUGUAGUUGGAAGAAUUACUGGCGUUUCAAACAUGUUGGCGCACUGUACCAAUGUGGAAUGAGAAAUUAGUCGACUUAGUAGAUUGCUUAGUGGGCCAAUUUAGUGUCUCAUGCCUGUUUUGUGGUGCAUACAUCUCUCUGCAUCCAAUUACUUAUUAUGGAGAGCACAAGUUAUCCCAUUUCUCAAGGGACAAAACCUCUAUGGCCAUGUCGAUGAAACCAAAAUGUGUCCCUCUGAUGUAACCCUUGCAGCUAUCUGGCGACAACAAGUUGCUUCCAUCAUGAGUCUUCUAAUUGCAUCUCUCUCAGAAUUGGUUUUACCUCUGAUUAUUGGUAAACCAAUUAGCCUAAGCUUAAUGGAAAUACAUAACAAUUUUUGUCUUAAUAGACUUGAGAGCAUACAAAAGAAGUUCCUCUGGGGAGAUUGGGAUGACAAUCUGAGAUUUCAUUUAGUUAAUUGGAGUAUUGUAAUACAACGAGUUGCUAAUGGGGGGGGUUGGGGGUAAAGUCGUUUGUUCUUAUAUAUAAAGCUUGCUUGGACAAUGGUUGUGGAAAUUAUUGCGGAGAAAACUAGCCCUUGUAGGAGUUCACUCGUUGCAAAAUUUGGUCUGGAAGAUACAAAGUAGAUAACAAAAUCUAGUUGAGGAACACAUGGAAUUGGGCUUCGGAAGGGCAUUAGGCAAGGAUGGGAUGCUUUCAAAAACAGACUUUCUAUUAGAGUGGGAAAUGGUAGGCAUACUAUGUUGCAGGAUGAUGUGGUGUGGAAAAACUGUUUUCAAAGACUUAUUCCUGGAUGUGUGUGCAUUAGCAAGAAACAAGAGAGCUAGUCUAGCUGAUUGUUGGAAGACUGACAACGGAGAAACAGUGUCUUAAAUUAGUAACUUGUGUAGGGCUUAAGAUUAGAAGCUCAAAGCUUUCUCAAUUUUUUUUUGGUAUUGAGAGAUGUUAGAUGUGAAGAGGAUUAGGCUACAGUAGAAUUGUUGUGCCUCUGGAACUUUUUCUGUCAAAUCCUACCAUUCCUAUCUCUGUUCUACUCAGAUGCAAUUACACCAGAGCACACUUCCUGUAAAAAUCUAUUUGGAAAGUUCAGAUUCCAUUGAAGGUUUCAUUUUUUUUUUCUUUUAUUUGGCAAGCUGCUUGGGGAUUUAUUCUUACCUCAGAUAGUCAUUAGAAGGGAGGAAAAAUACUGGCCUAUAGGUGCUUUUUGUGCAAGACUGAAGAAGAGAUCAUGAAUCACUAAGUUUUACAUUAUAGCUGGACAGAAAGAUUUUGGCUACAGUUUUUAUAAUUUUAGGAGUAAAUUGGUUGACCUUAGGCAUAGUAUGACGUGAACUUCGGGCUUGGGGAGGGACUUUCAGUUUGUGUGUCAGAAAGAAACAGAUUACUAAGAUGGUUCCUCUCCUUGUUUUUUGGCUCAUUUCAAGAAAGAGGAAUAAAAAGGCAUUUCAAGGAGUUGAAUCCUCGUGGGAUUUUUUUUUUUGGGAUAAUUGUUUGGACACUCUUCACUAUUGGUAUGCGGGAAAGUCCAAACUUCAAACAUCUAGUUUGUUGGAAACGCUACAAAGUCUUUUUGUGCAUUAUUUUGUAUGGGGGUGGCUUCUAUUUUAAUCCAUUUUGUAGGGGUGGUACCUGCUUAAUACUUAAUGAAAUCUUACCUAUCAUUGUGAAACUAUAUAUAUUGGCUAGAAACAAUUUCAGCUGAAGUGCAAAAUGCUGUGAGGUUUGAGGAAAAUGUUUACGCUCUUGCAACGAGCCUGGUGUUAUAUGAUGUCCAUGUCCAGUAUGUGCGUUUCAUUCUCUUCGAUCUUAUCGUUGAUUGCUUUUUACAAAGUUGGCCGGGAGCUAGUGCUUGCUAUUCUGUAUCAAGUUUCUUCGUGGAUAGAGGAUGGAUAAACAAACUGGAUAGGCUUGUGCUUAAAAUAUUUAGAGAAGCUUUCUUUUAUUUGCAUAAUCUGUUGAGAAUUUUUAUGAUGCAUGCAUUCAUUUAGUAACUGGAACUGUUAAUAUUUGAAUUUAGCUUUGUGCCGGUGAAAUCAGGUUUGCUCAGUGCUGUGAUGUUGCACCUAAGUUUUAAUUGUAUUUUCAAAUUGAUAUCUGCUUCACUUUCUUUCUAAUUUGAUUAUUUAAUUUGUUGGUCAGUUACGAAGUGAUUUAGUGAUUUCCGCUUCCUUUCCCUUUUAGUCUGAUUAUUUAAGGAGGAUAUCUCUGAAGAUGUUGUUAAUGGAGACAGAGCAUCAGAGUACCAUACCUAAUGCUUUGCCAUUUAACUCUGCUGGGAAUAGCAGUGAGGACUCGGGUACGACUUAAGUUCCUGUUAUUUGAAACCAUUGAUGUAGAAAUUAGAAUUUGUGUUGUCAUCCACAUUUAUAUUUGUAGAUAUGUAUAUUUCUUUAAACAAGUACUUUCAUUAAUGUGCUUGCACUUUUUUUUUUAUACAUUGUUUUUGGGGACAUAUAGAGCAUUUGAGUCCUAAAACUACUUUCAUUUUGUGCACUUAAGUCCUAAAAUUUGACAUUCAUCCACUUUAGUACUUCCGUUAGCUCCUUAGUGCUUUUAGGUUUUAGAGAAUGGAAAAUCUACGUGGCAUUUUUUUUUUCUUAUUAGCGGCCACGUAUGAUUAAAAGAAAAUGAAAAAUUCAUGCGGCAUCUUCCUUCCACUUAAAAUUUAUGGAGUUAAUUGAAUGUCUCAAGUGCAUUCGAUUGCAACUAGUAUGACUUAAAUGCACGAAAUUAAAGUUUUAGGACUCAAGUGCAUUAGCGUGACAAAUUUUAGGACUUGCCCCGGAAUUGUCCUUUUUUAGGCUUUACAUAGUACACACUUAUGUACCCACUAUGAGCGGUGCUGCUUAUUGACAGGGUAAAUGUUCCAUGGGCACAUGAUUUUUUUGGGGGAUUUUUUGUUUUAGUAUUACGGAGUUAAAUUCUUUUGCCAAUCUUACUCAUCUGUAACCCCAAAUGCAAAUUUAUUCCAUGGGCAGUGGCACAUUUGAAUUUCUUCAUUUCAUUUGUAACCUAUUGAUUUAAAAACCAAAAGAUCUCGGUUUUUUCCUUUUCAGAAUCAGAUAUGCAUUUGUGAAGAACAAGUUUUCAAAGAGUGGAAGCAAGCUUCAGUCUAACUAGAAAGGGCCAAACGCUUGCAUCUUUUGUAACUUCCUCCCACUUCUUUGCCUCAAUUUUCAUUUUUUUGGUUAAAAGUGAGUCUCUCUUAUGGGGUCAGAAGAUGCAUGCUUGCAAAAGAUGAUUCGCAUUUCUCUUUUAUGUUUUUGUUUUCUUAUAAGAUUUGAAGAUCAAUUCAAGUACAUGAACUUCACAAAGUGAGUCAUUGUUUGCCUGUUUUUGUGUAUCCAUUAUCCAUCUAGUUUCACUUGCUCAAAGAGUUUAAGUUGGAGUAAUCACAUAGUGCUCUAAAGGUGGUAUUCGUGGGGCAUCUAUCCCUCAUCCCUUUCAUCUUUUUGUGCUAUAUGCAGUUAGUGCUGCUAUGCAUGCAUUGAUCCAGUUUCUUGAUUAACUUGUAUAUAUUGUAUGUCAUCUCAAGUUAUGCAUCCACAAAUUCAAAGCCAAAGCCAACCAGGCUCAAGCAAAUCAACAGUAGUUGGUUCAGAAUACUCAGAAUAAUUGUUCCUUCUGGAGUUAAGGCUGCAGCCUGGUUUGGCCCGCCUAUUAAUUGAAUAACCUUCACAAGCUCUCUCGAUUCACUCUUUGAUAUUUUUAUUUAUUUAUUUAUUUUUUUAAGAAAAGCCAGAAGACUUCUUAGUGUUUAGCUAUUUCCCUUUUGUGCUGAUCAGAUUUUAUAUAGUCUUGUCACGUUUCUUGACAACCUUUAUUUUCAUCAUUGUCAGCAGUCAAACGUGCACGAUUACUUUCUUCCAAUCAAGAUGAAACCCAAAACGCGGUGGAUUACAUCAGCCAAUUGCCUGAUGCCAUAAUCGUUCAUAUCUUCUCCUUCUUGACCACAAAAGACACUGUCAAAACCAGUGUCUUGUCCAAGCAAUGGCGUUCGACUUGGACCUCUAGUCAGUAUAUGAGUUUCUCUUUGCCCCCUGGUGGUAGUCGGAAAUCCAAGGGCUUCAUCGCUUUUGUCAACUCAGUGCAGUCACGCUACACCUCAGAUAAGUUGAAAAGAUUCCUCUUUGAUGCUCCUUGUCUCGCCUUGAUGCGGUCAAGUCUUGAUAGGUGGCUCCAGUUUGCAGUUGAGCAUGAUGUCGAAGAGUUAUCGGUAACCCUAAAUUAUCGGCGCCACAAAAUUUAUGCAUUGCCUCAAAUCUUAUUUUGCUGCAAAACUCUGGUGAGUUUGCACAUAUCCCGAUGCUGUUUUGGGGUGUGUGGCACUGUGAAUUGGUGUUCAUUGAAGAUAUUGCACAUUGAACAUGCGAAGUUGAACGAUGAUGGGCUGAUGAGAGUUUUGAGUGGCAGCCCUGUUCUAGAGUUCCUUGAGUUAAAAAGUUGUGUGGGCAUCAAGCACAUCAUGGUUGAAUCAAAAAUUUUUCGAGAGUUGGUGAUUGAUUCUCAUGAGUUUCGUGGUCAAGCUUCAAUGUUGAAAAUUUCAGCUCCUCAUCUUCUCAAAUUGCGCCUAUUGGGCAAUUCUCGAGGGGGAGAGUUUAGACUAGAUGAAGUAUCUUCCUUGAUUGAGGCCGAGUUAAAUUUCAACAUGAAAAUUUGUGCACUCGAUAAGGUUAAGGCUCAUGCCGAUCUUCUCAAGGGGCUUCUCAAGAGGCUGCAUCAUGUCACGAAAUUAGUGAUGGGGAGCUGGUGCAUUCAGGUGCAAGCUGAUUCUUUUAGCCCUAUUAUUCCUGGCUCAAGUUGCAAACAUGCAUUACACAUUCUGCCAUUUGAUUAGGAUAAAUUGUGAGAUUGUUUAUUGGUGCUUGAUGAUACCAUGCUCAUAAAUUGUUAUUUCAGAGAAACCUUGUCAUCUUAUAAACGGAAUUUUUGCUGGAUAAGGCUCUUUUCCUUUUCAAAGAACUUUACACACCUAAGCUGAUAUCACCUUUAUGGGUCCAGCAUUACAAUGACUUCGAUAACACUAAAAUCUGAUGUCCUUGUUUGCUCAUUCGUUUGGUCUGUUGGCUAUUGUGAGAGGUCUUUGGAAUUGCAAGCAUGUCUUAUGUUUAAUCUUCUUUAGUGCUUAAAGAAAGUAAAGUGAUCAAUUUCUGCUUCUUCCACCACGAUGAUGUGCUUAGGUUCUGUCACUAAUGGAGGCGAGAGACAUCUUUCUUCCAUCCUUAGAAUGUCGGCAUCUGAUAUUACUUGGCGCAGCAGGCCAUGAGGGAGUUCCCGAGGCUAUAGCAAAAAUACUCGAAAGUACGCGUCUCUUGGAGAAGUUAUACUUACAAACGACUUGCACCCCCAAUCCUAAGGUACACAACUGCUAGAACCCUCUCACUUCACUGGGUUAAUUUAACACCAGAUUUGCUUGAACAUAUACAGAUUGUGAGUUUUAGCCUUAGGCCGCAUAUAAAUGUGUCAUUUCUUUUCUUCUCGUGAUUGAAAGUCAUUUUUGUACCUGUCUAUUUAAUUGAAAUUUUGGAUUCUCAAUAGAUUUAUAUUUCUCUUGGUGUAGUAAAUGCUAUUUUAUACUCUCAAAGCUUGAUAAUUGUCUCAUCUAGUUCCAAAUGUGUAUCUCCUCCUUAGUCAUGAUCUUGUACAUCUGCAGAUUGAGUUGAAUGCAGAGAGUACAGGCUGCCACAUCUUUGCUGGAGAAGAAUUUUGGAAUUUUGUAAAGUGGAGGAUCUAUCAGUGUUUGAUGCAUCUCAAGCAUGUUGAGAUUGUUGAUUGCGGUGCCAAUCCGCUGCCAUGGGAACCUGUUAUUUCCCUGCUCAAGUUUCUCCUCCAGAAUGCACUCUGGCUGGACAAAAUAGUGAUCAAUAGCCCCAAUUCCAAAUCGUCCCAAGCAUUUGAACCAUCGCCGCUGCUUGAAGUGGCCCGGAUUCUUCUGUCGCACCCAAAGUGU